rnacentral:lncRNA from 1 species
ACCACAGGGGUUUUGGUUCUUGACACUUGUUACGGCACCGUAGUCUCUCCAAUCAAUACUUUGAGGCACCGCGGAGAUGUCUACGUCAUCAAACGACACCACUGGCUCUCUCUCGAUAUUUAGUGGGCGAGAUAUACCACCAGUAUAUUGAGCAACAAAUUCGUUAUUUGUCAUAUCGGUAAACUGAUUGAUGCCGAGAGUGUACGAAUUUUUAUUGCGACUGUUAAAGGUUUCGAUAUGGUUCACGUUGUUCUUGAAUAUCUGAAACCGGCGCAUCUUCUCAUCGUUGUCCUUGUAAACUCGGCCGUACUCCACCAUCCAUUCUUCAAACCGCUUCAUCAUGGGAUCACUGGGUUCGUCAGCAGAAGCUGCCGAUGGCGAAGCCCACAUCACACAGAGAAACAAGAAAAGAAACACGAGUUGAACUUUCCAAGCCAUGCUUAUGUAGCACUAAAUAUCUGCUAUAUGUAUGAGGAAAUUGGAGAUCGAGCUACAAGAGCUUUUGUUGCUGAGAGUAUGGUCUCAAGAUCGAGUUUAUAUAGAAGUUCGUGCCUUCGAAUGUAGGGGGGAGAAUUAAUGGGUGGAGGCCUACAAGAUGUCACAAAUCGCCAUCAAAUUAAGAUUAAAUAGUUCUGGACGGCUUGCGACACCACGUCAUGUGGUCACUAGUGUAGAUAUUAUUGAAAUAAAAAUUUGUAUAAAAUAAAAUAUCAGUUUGGUAUGAAAAAAUAAUAAAUAUAGUCUAUAUUAUAAACAAACACUUCUAAACAAAAUAAAACUAAAAUGAAAAAAAAAUUAAUCGUUCCAAUAAAAUUAUUCAAGCUUGUUAAAAAAAAAUCGCAUACAUACAAAUGGAUGAUUAAAAUUAUUUUUAUAAUACAAUAAUAAGAUAAAAUAUCAUAUAGUAGUUGAUAUGAUUAAAAAAAAAAACUCACAAUAAUAUGCAAGACUAUAUAUAUAUAUAUAUAUAUAUAUAUAUAUAUAUAUAUAUAUCGAGUUGAGUUAGAAUGCUAUCGAUAGCGAACGGGCUCUGUCGCCAUCCAUUUGUUUUCGAUGAUGGAGCCUUCAAAUCGACAAUCGGCAUCUUUGAACAUGAUUUAUAUCACUUGAAAUACUGAGAAAUAAAAUUUUAAAUCUUUUCGAAAUCAUUUACCUAAUGAUCAAAGGGUUUCAAAAUUUGUAAUUUUAAUAGUAGAUGUGAGAUGUUUUCUCGUUUAACGGUAUAAAGCUAUCGAAAUCAAUUAAAUUUUGGUUACAAAAUUAUUUAAACUAUUUAGAUUAAGNUUUUAAUAUAUUUUUUGUCUAAUUUGUAUAUUUAGAAAAUGAUGAAAAAUGAAUUUGUUAAAUGUUAAUAAUUUUUUAAUUUUAGAAUUUUAUUUGUUGCAUUAUUAUAAUUUAUAUGCAAACAAAUAAUAUAUUUUUAAAAUUUUAUUUUAUAAUUAUACAUAUAUAUAAUUAUAUACAUAUAUAAUUAUAUUAAUUUUUAUUUAUUAUAAUUUAUUAUUCACUAAGUAACAAAAUAGACAAUAAUAUCACUUCGGAGGUAAGUAUACCGGGGGUGGAGAGCUACACUUUUUAUAUCAUCUAUUUCCUACCAAACAAACAACAGAACUCACAGAACUGCACUUCCACAGUUAGAAACAAACAGCUGAAGUGAAUUAAUUUUCACCUAAACUCCACUUUUAUCCAAAGUCCACUUCCACCCAAAGUCUACUUACGUUGAAACAAACAUGCUCUUAUUGGAGAACCGCCAAAAAGGAUGGAGCGGGGCCAAGUUUCUCAUGGUGCUACUACUAUGUGGGCCAAGAGCCAUCUCGAUCCGCAUAAUAUAUUUUUUACAAAAAUAUUUUUAAUAGAAUAAAAGUUUUUUACUAAAUAUUUUUUAUUUAUAUAAAUAUCAAUGACUAUUUAUGAGUCCAGCUAGGAUACUAUCGAUAGCACCAAGGGUUUGGUGCUAUCGAAUUUUCAACCGUUAGAUUUAACUCUUUGAUUAUUUUUACCUGUUUGAUUAUACUAUUCAACAACCACCCACUCUACCUAGGGGAUCCACAUUAUCCUAACUGUAUAUUUUUUAAUUUAAAGACUAAAAAACUAAUAGCACCAAGCUAUUGAUAGUAUUCCAGCUUAGUUCGACCAUUUAUAUCUAUAUAUUUUAAUAUUUAUUCUUCAUUAUACAUUGGCUUCAUAGUACUAUUGUAUAACACAACCCAAUUAUGUGGCUAGGUCGAGUUACAGCAAACCCUUAUUUCCACCCUAGAAUACGCGCAUACACAAUUGCAUUGCAUAAGGAGACAAAUGUUCGAUCCAUUUUGUAAUACUAAUUAAUAAGCAGAAGUACUUGAUCACAGUAAUUAAGGAGCACACUUAACUGUAGAUCUUCAAACUAGCUUACAUAUAUACUCACUGAACACACCGAAACAUAACAGAAAUUAACCACAAUGUCGAAGCAAGCAGCUGAACAAAUGGAUGCGUACAUGCAUCCUUAUUUUAUAACUAAGCAAAUAUAUAUGAUAGCAAACUGCAUGCAGUGCGUUGCUAAUCAUCAUCACUUCCGAUCGACCUACACUGAGCUUCGACUUUCAGAAACCAUUUUAAUGGCUUCGACAUUGGCCCCUGAUUCUAGAGUGGGAUAGAGAGAAUCAAUGGCGAUUCCACAUAUUCCAGAUGACGAUGACACAUCUCUUGCCAUACGGAUGUAUCCGGCCUCACCCCAUCUGGCACCCCAUGAGUUCUUUACUAUCCAAUAUUUUUUUCCGUUGCUAUCCUGCCCGUAACCUAUAGCGGUGACGGCGUGAUUGAGACUAGUUCCACAAGGUCCGUUAAACACACCGCUCUUGUAAUAUUGAAAGUUUGCAUUGGCAUCGACAGCAACAGUUAUUGGUUGUUUCGACACAGCGUACAUCAUGCUGCUUUCGUUGUUCCUCGGCACACGUGCAUAACCAGUAAUAUAAGCUGAAUUGGGCACGCCAUUGGUCUUGCAGGUGCCUUUGGCUGCUUUGUAAGGGUAGAUAGCUGCCNUUGGAAUCGGACCACGUGUUGCACGUACGGAAUAGGGAGUGAUAAGAAAAAUCUCAUAAAUUAUUAAUACCGUCCAGGCUCUCUUGAGCGAUUAGGAUGUGUAUGGUUGCACGUAAAAUUGUGAAAAAAAAAUUUAUCAAGAAAAAAAAUUUUGGUGGAAAAAAAAUUUUACGUCUUUAGUGUUUGAUUUGUAGGAAAAGAAAAAUAUUUUUUCAUGACUGUUGUUUGGUUGAAAAGAAAAAAAUUGAUAAAAAACUAUUUAAUAUAAUUUUUUAUUAUAUAUUAUUAAUAUAUUAUUAUAAUUUUUAUUUAUAGAUUAAAUAUAUUUAAAAUUAUAAUAAAUAUAUAACAUAAUAUCUAAGCUUACCCGAAUGCCACGCCUUGUUAGAUAUGAUGAAUUCGAAGGCUCCUGAACUCCCAGCCGCCCUUUGCACCCCAGUAGCCUUUAGCACAAUCGAAACUUUGCUGCUCCGGUUGAUUUUUUUUGUAAAAGGUUUCUAAAGAUCCCUUUGUUUGAUCUUGUGAUUGAUUUCUAAACCCGUCGCAAUUGCAGGCGAAUGCCACAGCAAGCCACCUGUGCCGAAACAAAGAUUGAAAUCGGUGUUAGCAUAGCUAGUGUAAAGCAAAGUAAUAUAUAUGUAGUUGCCAUGAUAAAAGAAAAACAUUCCAACUAAACCUAAUUAGAUGUUAUUUGUCAAGUAUUGCAGCUGCUUUUAACUUGUUUCAAGUCAGUUGUCAUGCAUAGGGAUGUCCCAUUCUUUUGACUAACACCGUACAUAUUUUGCUUAACUUUCAUAAUAUUAUUGUAAUAAACUUAAUUAAUAAUAGAAAUUCAAAUAAUAACCUAACGCCUAGAUGAUUGAAAUCAAGGUCGAAGUCUAUGAUGUUAUGGUUGAAGUCUUUAAGUGUGUUUUGGAUGAGCAAUUCUUCUUAAUCAGCCAUGUAUUUCUGUAAUCAGUUUGAUUGUGACUUAUGAUCCACAGUUCCGAUCAGGCAAGGCGAUGAUUUUUUAUACUAGAUUCAAACUUCCUUGUAUGAGAAUUGAUAAUAAAUGUCUAGUGAAUGUUUAGAGCAAAAUAAUAGAUUAUUGCGUUUUAGUGGUGGAGUUUUGGUCCUUUAGCCAAAAACGGCGGAAGGCACUUCAUUGGUGAGAUUUGAUCUAAGCAACAUGUUUAAAGUUAACUAAGGUAGCAUUUGGUUGGGAAUAAUAGGGAAAUAAAGCCCUUGUUCUCAAACGCAGCUUUGUAUCGCGAGAAUAAAUAGUUAAUUCUCGAGUUUCUAAAAAUGCCCGGGUAUAGAAGAUUGGAAAGCGUUGUUCCAAACCUUUUUCUGGAAAAGUUUGUUCCUAGGUGAGCAAUAAGAUUAUUAAAGUCUAAAUAGUUUAAUUUAUGGUAUUCGAAUUAACUUAAUUAAUUUAAUUAAUAUAUUUAAAAUUACCUAUUUAAAUCUUUAAAUAAUAAAAUAAUGUAUUAAUUUAUUAUAAUUAAUUAAUUAAUUUAUAAUUAAUAAGAAGUUCGUAUCUAUUUCUAAAUAAGCGUUUUUACUAUACCCAAACCAAACGCAGCCUAAAUGGAAUAGGUAUUGUCUCCCUAAAGUUGCAAGAAAUGAAUUGCAUUGAUAAUUUAUACGCUAAAAUAUUUCUUACGCACAGGCGGUUUUGGUGCUAUGACACUUGGUUAGGCGGCAACCGUAGUUCUUCCAAUCAAGUACUCUUGAGGGCACGCGCGGAGAUGUCUACGUCAUCAAACGACACCUACUGGCCUUCUCUCUCGAUAUUUAUGGGCGAAGAUAUACGCACCAGUAUAAUUGAGGGGCAUAAAAAAUUCGUUACUUUGUCAUAUCGGUAACUGAUUGAUGCCGAGAGUGUACGAAUUUUCGUUGCGACUGUUAAAGGUUUCGAUAUGGUUUCACGUUGUUUCUUGAAUAUCUGAAACGGCGCAUCUCUCAUCGUUGCUUGUAAACUCGGCUCGUACUACACCAUCCAUUCUCACCCGCUUCAUCAUGGGAGAUCACUGGUUCGUCAGCCAGAAGCUGGCGAUGCGAAGCCCACAAUCACAACAGAGAAUACAAGAAAAGAAACACGACUUGAACUUUCCAAGCCAAUGCUUAUGUAGACUAAUAUCUGCUAUAUGUAUAGGAAAUUGAGAUCGCAGCUAAAGAGCUUUCUUCUGUGCUGAGAUGGUCUCAAAAAGAUCGAGUUUAAUAUAGUAAGUUCGUACCUUCGAAUGUAGGGGGGAGAAUUAAUCGGUGGAGGCCUAACAAGAAUGUCACAAAUUCGCCAUCAAUUUAAGAUUAAAUAGUUCUGACGGCUUGCGACCCACGUCAUGUGGUCACUAGUGUAGAUAUUAUGAAAUAAAAAUUUUGUAUAAAUAAAAAUAUCAGUUUGGUAUGAAAAAUAAUAAAUAUAGUUAAUAAUUUAUAAACAAACACUUCUAUAACAAAAUAAAACUAAAAUGAAAAAAAUUAAUCGUUUUCCAAAUAAGAAUUAUUCAAGCGCUUGUUAAAAAAAACGCAUACAUACAAAUGGAUGAUUAAAAAUAUUUUUAUAAAUACAAUAAAGAUAAAAUAUCAUAUAGUAAGUUGAUAAUGAAUUAAAAAAAAAAUCACAUAAUAUGCAUAGACUAAUAUAUACUAUAUGAUAUAUAUAUAUAUAUAAUAUAUAUAUAUCGAGUUGAGUUAGAAAUGCUAUCGAUAGCGAACGGGGCGCUCCGCGCCAUCCAUAUUGUUUUCGAUGAUGGAGGCCUUCAAUCGACCAAUGCUCAUCUUGAAACAUGUUUAUACCAGUUGAAAUAUUAGAAAGUCAAUUUUAAAAUCUUAUUCGAAAUCUAUUUACUAAUGAAUCAAAGGUUUCAAAUUUGUAAUUUUAAAUAGUAGAUGUGAAGAUAGUUUUCUCGUUUAAACGGUAAUACAAAGCUAUCGAAUCAUUGAAAUUUUUGGUUCAUCAAAAUUAUUUAGACACUAUUAGAUUAAGAUCUAUACUCCCUGCAUGCUUGAUUAUAAAUUUCUAUCAUCACUUUUUAAGAAUAUUCAUUUUCAAACGUUCAUUUCCACUUGAUGACAAGAAAGCAAUAUCCGAAAAAGUACGAACGGGUCUUCAUUUCAAAGAUCCUUCAAAUGGUAUACACUAUAUCAUUUUCAAUAAUAUCCCGAUCGCGCGAUUGGAGCUCCAUCAUGCGACGCAACCCGAUUCAAGUUCAUCUCAUGUUCCUUGAUCCAAAAGAUUCUAUCAAUCUCAUUCUCUUCACGAUAUCCUGAAGUGCAAAUUAAAGCAUAUGGUACACCCAAAAUCAAUCAUGCAUUAUACUUUUUUAGUGUAGUAAUUUUCUUAAACUUUAUAAAUUAUAUCAACAAAUUAAAUUUUAAUUUUAAAAGUUUUUAGAGGAAAAUAUAAUUAGUUUACAGCAUUUUGUUCAUUUUGAGAUCUUUUUUUAUCGCCCGAGUAAAACGCUAGUAAGACAGAUGUAGUACGCAAUCAUGCCUAUGCUGAGAUUCCUUGAAAAUUUUUGAAUGUAUCGUCAUCUUGAUAAAAAGUGGCCACCUCCAAUCAAUCCAACAAUUUUUUAAAAUUUAUUUUGUUCACAUAAUAAUUAUAAAGAUAUAAUUUUAUUAUAUAUUUAAAAUAAAUAUAAUUAGUUUAUUAUUGAUAAUAUGGAUGUUAUUUAUUAUUUAUUUUUUUGAGAGCCAGAUAGUAUAUCUACCACUUAUUUUUAAUAGUCAUUUAAAAUACAGAACUGAACAAUAUGAAUUAAUAAAAUAAUUGUUAUUAUUAAUGAUGUGAUGUAAGUAUGAUACAGCUAAAUUUUUUCCGCAGGCCAUCUAUAAUGCCUUUAUCGGACAAAUAACUCAUGCAUUCAUUCCUUUCUAUAUUAUUAGGAAGCAUUUUGGUGCUCGUCCUUUGUUUGGACAGAUGGCAAUCAUCGAAUGAGGGGGCCCCGUACAAACCUUCACUCUCCGUACCAAGGGUUAUUGCAGCUAUAUUUGUUUAUUGACAUCGACCACGUGUUGCACGAGCGGAAAGGGAGUGAUAAGAAAAUCUCAUAAAUUAUUAAUACGUCCAGGGCUCUCUUGAGUCAUUAGGAUGUGAUAUGGUUGACGAAAUUGUAGAAAAAAAAAUUUAUCAAGAAAAAAAAUUUGGAUGGAAAAAAAUAUUUAGUCUUUGUGUUUGAUUUGUAGGAAAAGAAAAUAUUUUUCAUGAAUGUUGUUUGUUGAAAAAAAAAAUUGAUAAAAAGACUAUUUUAAUAUAAUUUUUUAUUAUAUAUUAUAAUAUAUUAUUAUAAUUUUUAUUUAUAGAUUAAAUAUAUUUAAAAUUAAUAAAUAUAUACAUAAAAUGAAGAGUUAUAAUUUAGAAGAAUUAAUAAAUAUAUACUAUAUAUAUAUAUGGUUGUUUCGUUAGAAGAGAAUAAAAAAAUGAAAAGUAAAUAAAAAACGAUUUAUAUAUUCUUUUUUUAUUAUUAUAUAUAUUAUAUAGGAAAUUUCAUAGAUGCCCUUCAGGAACCUAUUAAUUUCCAUCAAUGCCCUUCUAAAACUGAUAAUAUGCAUGAAUGCCCUCCAAAUAUAUCAACAAAUUUCAUAAAUACCUUCACUAGUUAAGUUCGUCAAAGUCCCUUUAAAAUAGAGUUAUAUUUUUAAAAUGGCCAUUUUUACGCCUUUAUCUCCCCAUUAACAGUAGAAGAAUAUCUAAAUAGAUAUUUCAAGACAAUUUCUAUAUCACCUAAGUUUAAUUAUUAAAUUAAAUUAUUAAUAUUAAUUAAUUAUAAAAAUAUAUAAUUAUUAAUUGUAUUUUAUAUAAUAGUAUGUUUUAUAUGAUUCUUGGUUUUGUUUCGGGCUGAUUUCGGUUCAGGUUUGGUUUAGAUAUAAAUCAAAACGCAUUACCAUUGAGUUUGAAAUAUAAUGUGAUGUUUAUUUUUUUUCAUCUAAGCUUUAACUGAAACUAUAUGAGUUUUAUAAAUUAUAUUUAAAAGUANNNNNNNNNNNNNNNNNNNNNNNNNUUCUUAGUUAGUCAUAGGAUAUAUAUAGGAUGUUAAGAUCUGUAUAAUUGGGAAAGUGAGGGGUUUUGUAUAGAAAUUUGUCUUGUCGAUAUUAUUGAUUGUUUACAAGUGCUAAACUGUUAAAAUCUCACAACACACCAUAUGGCGAAAAACUGUAAAAUUGUUAUUUUGAUGAUCUUUAAUUGGAUCGACAGUUCAGAUGAUUCGAAAAAAUUGAAAUUUAGGUUCGAAAUAAUUUCAAUAGUGUAGGAUCAAUUUAACGGAGCCGUCGUACGAUAUGGAACGGAUCAUUGAGAAACUAACGUUGUAGCAUGAAGCAGCAUCCUCCUAACCGAUAAGCAUACGCUACUGAUGCGAUAUUAGAUUAUAAUAUAUUAAUAAUAGUAUAUAAUUAGUAUAUACUCAUGUUAUAUUAUAUCGAGCUAUAUAGUAUUAGUAUUAUAUAUGAAGCGAGCUUAUGAUCUUUGUAAAAGAAUCAUGAACUUGAGCUUGCUUGUAAUUUUUGCAUGUUAGAUUUACUAUUUUACUCUUUUCAUAUAUUAAAUAUACUAUACAAUCAAUCGACCAUACUCAACAUGAGAUAAUAUCAUCCUAACGACUCUCCUUAAUCAAGGACCAGAAAAUCUAUAAGCAGAACUGAUUUGAAUAUUUUUAAAAGUAUAAGGACUAUUUUUGUAUUAGAGAAAUCGUUGCUGCUCAAGAAAGAUAGAGGCAUUAGUACUCUUAAAUUAUUUAUCGCUAUGGAGAUUUCAAAUCUGUAAUCCAGUCCGUAAGCUUGAUAUAUAUAUUUUGAUUUAUAAAAUAAAUUUAUAUUACUUUUUGAUAAUGUUUUUAGUAAUAGACAAGCGUUCAAAAUCAAUCGAUUAAAAAAACGGUGAUAAAGAAAAUAAUGAUAUAACGAUGUAUAUUAUAGGAUAUGUGGCCGGCGCAAAUAUAAAAAAAUAAAAAUAAGAUUAAAAGAGUAAAAUGAAAACCUACGCCAAACGAAAAAAGCCUCCGCAAUACAAGGAUAUAAUCUACAUUAUACACAAGUGAACAAGACGGAUAACAACAUGCCGCCCAGCAUGACCACGGAAAAACGAAGAUCGGCGAGAUAAUAGCGAAAACAAGAAUAUCAGCGGAACUUAUAAGAUUCGCGCUUAAAUAUAAUAAUUUGUAAUUUAUAUUUAUACAUCUAAAAUUAUUAAAUUAUAGAUUAUAACAGUAUUCUAUUAAAAUAUCUAUAAAUUGUGGUUAAAUUUUUAAAGUUUAUUUAAAUUUAGUUAUAAAUAAAAUACAAUAAUAUAUAACCCUUAUAUAAUUCUGGUCCUCGUGGCCUGACGGCCCGAGGCAUGCCGAGAACAUGGAUAAAAAGGAUGUCACUUGGGCUGUCAAGCAGCGAGAAUUGAAUCGCGGCUGUUAUGUGGCCUAAGACCAUGUGAUCGGCAUAAUAUUUUUUUUACAAAAAGUAUUAUUUAAUAGAAUAAUAAUUUUUUACUUAAUAUUUUUAUUUUAUAAAUUUCAUGACUAUUUAAGCGACUGGAUAAAGCAUGAUCCGCAUCCAAGGGUAUUAUAGUGAUUGGUUUUGGAACCACGUUAAUUUAAGACUAUUUGAUUCAUUUUUAUAUCCGUUUGAUUAUAGCAUUCAACCAACACAUACUGUAACUUAGGACCAUAAUAUACUAACUGAUAUUUUUAUCUAGGGAUUAAAAAUAAAAGCACCAACUUAGCAACAAGCUAUAAUAAUGGAUAAGCAUUCGACUGAUUCGACCAUUUAUAUUAAUCUUUUUUAUACUUUAUUUCUCAUUAAUAAUUAGCUUAUAGUACCUAUGUAUUACACAACCAAUUAUGUGGCAGGUCAAAUUACACAAACCACUUAUUUCACCUAGAAUAAGGGCAUACACAUUGCGAUCAUAGAGACACAUUUCGAUCCAUUUUGAUAAUAUAAUUAUAGCAACAGUAGAAUGCUCAAUAACUGUAGAUUUUUAAAUAGCUUAUCAUAGAACAUACCAAACAUAUACAGAAAACACAUCUAAGAAAGCAGCUGAAAAUAGGAUGCUACUUGCAUCCUUAUUUGCUGGUUUUAUAACUAACAUAUACUGUAAUAGAAAUGCAAUGAAUGCGUUGGCUAAUCAUCACAUGGAUGCCCAUGACCUAAUCACUGAGGUUCGACUUUCAGAACAGGUAGGUGCCUGGUGACGAAUUGCAUUUAAUGGACUUCGACUUGCCCAGAUUGUAAGUGGGAUAGAGAGAUCCAUGGCUAUUACAUAAUCCAAAUGACGAAUGACCAUCUUGCAAGGCGGAUUAUCCGUCACCCAUCUGCACCAUAGUUCCUUAUACGAAAAUUUUUCCAGGCUGUAUCUUCUGCCAGUAACCUAUAAAUGGGAUGCAUGAUUGAGUCUAGUCACAAGUCGUAUAAACACCACCGUCACUUGUAAUUUGAAAGUUUUGCAAUUGGCAUCAGAACAGGGUCGAAGAGUAAUUGGUUUGAUUGAAUCACAGCGUAACAUCAUGCUGGCUUUCGUUGUUGCUGCUUCUCCGCACAUGUGAUAAACUAAGUAAUAUAGGCUGAAUUGCAGGCUUGUCUGUCAGGGGCCUUAUGAAGUUUGAUAAGGUGAGUAUAGCUGCGAUGCAGCCUUGGUUAGAAUAUUAUAAUCGAAGGCCUCGAACUCCCAUCCGCUUUGCACGCGUUAGCUACAGACAAUGAAGUAGUUGCUGCUCCGAUAAAUAAUAUAAUUCCCAGCUUUGAUCUUGUAGAUGAUCUACCGUCGCAAUUGCACGAAUGACCCCAGCAGACUGUGCGAACAAAGUAUAAAUUCGUGUUAGCUAACGUUAGUGUAAAGCAAAAGUAUAAAAAAAAUAUAUAUUAGUAGGUUGCAUGAUAACAAAAGAAGAAAAAUUUCAGAACUAAAUUGAUACUAUAGAGGUUAUUAUGCAAAGUACUAGGCUGCUUUUUAACUUGUUUUCGAAUACUAUGUCAUAGCAUGGAUGUCGCCGUUCUUUUGAACUAAAAUAAGUUAAUUUUGGCUAUACUAUUAAUAAUAUUAAUUAUCUGUAUAUAAAUUAGUUAAUAAUAGAAAUUAAAUAAUAUUGAGAAUCGCUAACAAUCCAAUGUAAUUAAAUCAAGUCGCAGUUAUAAUAUAUUAUUAAGUUUUAAGUGUGUUGGAAUAUUUCUUUUUAUAACCAACGAGUAUUUAUGUAAUAUAUAUCUAUACUUUACCAUCCACAUUCCGAUAGAAGUAGGAAUUUUUAUUAAUUAAUAGUCAAUAUUUCGAUAAUUUGCGUUGUAUGCAAUACUGAAUAACAAUGUCCUAAUGGAUGUUUAAGACACUUUUGAUGCCCAAAUAAUGGACUUUGUUGGUUUAUAGUGGGUGAAAUUUGGGUUCGCUGUGCUAAAAAUCGCAGAAGGCAUAUUUGGUGAGAUUUGAAUCUAAAAACAUGUUUAAAGUUAAACUAAGAUAGGUAUGUGUUCUAAGCUGAGAAAUAUUCUUUUGACAAUUUUAUUAUAGUCACAGUAAUCCUUACCACACGCGCAUUGUUUCUUGAAUCUUGUUAGCACCAAGUGGUUCCUCAAUAAAUACUUUGAGGGCACGCAGAUGUCUAUGUAUCAAAGGACACCCACUGCUCUACCCCUCCGAAUUUAGUCGGGCAUGAAUACACACAAAGUAUAAUUGACAGUGCCAAAUCGUUUGUUCGUCGGUAACGAUUGAUCUGGUUCGCGGGUGGAACCGAGCCGAGAAAGUAGUAUGAAUUGUUCGUUUGCAUCUGUUAAAAGGAUUUUCGAUAUGGUUUCCGUUUGUUACAUUAGAAAAUUCUCGAAACGGGUAGCAUUCUUUAUGUUAGUUCUGUUUGAUUAAACUCGCAGGGCUGUUCUGAACUCGCGUACUCGCCACCACAUUUAUUCAAACCUUUCAUCAUGGGUUCCUGGGUUCCGUACAACGAGAAUACCGAUGGCGAAGGACUAUACACAGGAAACAAGAAAAGAAACACAGAUUGAACUUGGAACCAUGCUUAUGUCACUAAAUAUUACUAUAGUAUGAAAUUAGAGAUGAGCUAAAAGAGCUUUUCUAAAGCUAGAAGUAUGUCCUCAAAUGAGCUAUACAUAUAGAAGUUCAAUGCCUUGAAUAGUAGUGUGAAUAUUUAAUAGGUGGGAUUAAUAGUGAAUCCGAAUUAAUUACAUCUUACUAUAUAUUUACUCCGCAUCAAUUCUUUAUAAAUGAUUUAACUCGCACACAAUUAAUCUACUAAGCUGCUUCAGAUACCCUUAGUAAAAUUUUCGUGUAUAAAUCGCGUAUUAUAUGCAAAUUUUUAGAAAAGCGAAUUAAACGUGCAUGUCGCAUUUUUCCAGAAAAAUGUAAAAAAAACGCAUUUUGUUUUAUAAAAAAAUAUGUAUUCAACGCGACCAUAUCGUGAUUCGAGAAUGAUUAGCCAAAAUAACGGGUCGCGCGCGGUCGGUUCGCGGCCGUCGUAUGUCGUCGUCUCUGCUCACGCUUGCUCGCGAAUUUUGAAUCACUGUAAAUCCCUGCUGGAAAAAAAUCCGCCUGAAAGAUUCUUUUCCCAAACACGGUUUCGUAAAUUUCUUUUGAAAAAAUUAAUUUUAUAAUUUUUUUGAAAAAUUGAGUUUGGGAGUCUCAGAAGCUCAGAGAAAUGCGGUUUGGGAAUUGGAGAAAUCGCGGCGUUCGCGAAGAUGUUGCGACAGUUCACGAGGCAAUUUGGCCUCGGUGGACGUAUGAGAGGGCAGAUCCCGGUGACGUCCCUCAUUAGUCAUCUUCGUUCAUUAUAUAUUAUAUAAUUUAUAUUUAUAUACAAAUUUAUUUAUAAAUAUAUAUAAUAUUUUUAAUGAUUUUUUAAUUUUUAUGUAAAAAUUUUAUUUUAGGUUUUUUUUAUAGUGCAUAAACUAGUUGUUAAUCUCUUUAAUUUAUUUAAUUUUAUAGUCUUCUAUUUUAUAUUUCUUAAGAAAUAUGAGUAUUUAUACUAAUAUAAAGUCAUUGAGAGAAAAAAAUUUAUUAAUAGCCAGAAGUUUAUCCCCCAUUUAAUUGGUUGCACGUAUAGAUAUCCAUAUAAAUCAACAUACCGAAUAAUAACCGGAUCUGUUUUUAUAGCCGGUAUUUUCACGAUUUAAAAAUUAAAGACGAAUUUAUAGAAUUUAUAUCCGUACCGAAUUUUUCCGAAUCGAAUAACUAACUAUGUUAAUACCAAAUAGGUCUAAAUUAAUUACAAACAAUCAAAUUGAAAGACCAAGUUCAAGUUGGAUCACCUGAAAAUUAAUUUUACGCACGAGUAAAAUUCACUUUACCCGCACAGCCCACCCUGUAUAUUUAUGGAGUUUUAUAUAUUGUUCUUAUGUAAGAGUUUAAAGGUUGCAUUAACUAUAUAUGUUAAUUUUUUUGUUUUUAUUUUAUCGAUAAGAACUGACAUUAGUUAGCAAAUGAAUUUUUUGUUCCUUUUUAACAAUAAGUCUUUAAAAAAAUAAUAUAAUAUUAUAAGAAUAUUUAUUAUAACUUUUCAAACCGCAUAAUCAAAAGCUGAAAAAUAUUAAAACUAGAAGAAAAUAAAAUUACCUAAUUAAAGUUCAUCAUUACUUACUUCGUCACGAUUUAUUGUUUCCUUCAAAGAUUCUAACAAUCAUUUUCUCUCAAAAUAUCUAGGCAAGUUAAACAUUAUUAAACCAAAUAGUCAAAUCACGGAUUAUAAUUUUUUAUAAUGCAUAAUCUUUAUAUAUAACUUUAGUAAAAUUAUAUAAUCUUAAUUAAAUUUAUUAAAUUUUAAAAUUUUUAUGAAAAAGAUACUUAGUUAUCUGUGUUGUUCAUAUUUGAGAAUUAUUUUUCACCAAUUUUUUUAACUUAGCGAAGUGUACAAAUUUGUAUUGAUUACGAGAAUGCCAAAUUCGAGCUAAAUUUUUUUUUAAAUGAAAAUAAACGAAUCAUUACCCAUCUGCUAUAAACAUAGAAGAAUUUCUUUUGACAAAAUCUACUAGAUGUAGACAUGUUGUUUACGUGUGCAAACGUUAGUUUUUGUCUCUUAUCAAUUCUUAUAAAAGUCCAAUGGAGGGGCAACUUUAGCCGUUUGGUUGUGAUGUAGUUAUAAAAUGGUGUAUGUUUUGAAGUAUACACCAAUUGUAACAUUUCCAUUUUAAUAACUACAUUUAGUAUGUAUUGAUUUAAUAACAGUUAGCACUGCUAGUUAUAUUUUCUUCAGUUUGAUAGUAUGGGCAGUUGAGAUUUAAAUUUAUAAAUUCUAAUCAAAUUUUAGAUAGUAAAUGUGAGAUUAUUCUUUGAGUGAUAUACGUAAAUCACUAUUUAAAUAUUAAUUAAAACUUUUAUAUUAAUAAUAAUUAUAAUUAUAAAUUUGUAUAUUGAAUUUAACUCAUAUUAACUGUAAAUAAUAUUAAUAACAUUUGUUCGAAAUAAAAAUUAAGAUAUUAUAUAACUAAAAACUAAAAAAUAGAACGUAUGAAAAAAAAUUUAUAUUGAACCUAACAAAAUAUUAAAAAUCCUAAUCAGAUUAUCAUGAAAUAUGUUUUUUGAAAAAAAAAAUAAAAAAAGAAGUAUAUGAAAAAAAUCAAUUUUGUUUAUUUUUAAAUAGGUGAGUUGACUGCUGGCUCAAAACCGCUGUAGUUGUACUACGCAUUGGCCGUAUUGUAAUGCUUAAUAAAGUUGUUGGGCUUCUCAUAGCAGAAUCAAUGCAGUAGUAUGGUUCUAAACUACACAUAAACAAACAAAAAAUUAAUAGAUGAAUGUAUUUUCAACAUGAAUGCAAUUGAAUAAUAUCAUGCCAAACAGCAAUCAGCUAAUUUAUUUUUAAAUGCAUAAACGAAAGCGAUACCCAUCUUAAAAAAAAGAAAAUUGUUUUGCAAAACCGUGCGAGAUGUGGACCAUUGCCCACGAGAAUAGACUGAUAAAGACUUGCAUAAUGAAAAAAAGCUUUAUAUUUAAAUUUGAAACGUGAUAUUGUCACAGAAAUUUUUAUUAUAAAAAAAUUAGCACACUUCUCACUUCAUUUAUUAAGGAAUUAAAUUAGACUACAAUGAUGAAAAUCGAGCGAGAGAGAUGAGGGAAAAAAAUUUAAUGUCAGAAUACUUAUUUUGCUUAUGCAAGAUUUUUUAAAAAAAGUUAUGAUAGCUUAUGUAUUAUUAAAAAUAUGCCAAUGCAUCAUAAUUGGCAUUAAAUAAUAUACAUUCAAUGGUCUUUUAAAAUGGUCAUAAAUAUUAAUAGUAAAUACCCGUGAUUAGUCAUAUCAAAAAUUGUCAUUAAUUGUUAUAAAAUAUUAUUGUUUAAGCAUUACUCGCUAGUAUUCCACGUCCAUACAUAACCCGCCUCCCAUCCUCACACCCCCAACUAACUAGCGCAUGAGACGAGCAGAUGCGCCCCUCCCCGCCUCCAUCCCCCAUUCCCAGCCCCCCACCUGAUCCCCAAUCGUUCCCCCCCCCGAACCCUACUCCCCCCACCCCCCUCAUGUAUAAGAAAGAGGGGGAGGAUUAUAGGAGAGGGAGUUUGAUUGGCAAUUACAAAAUACACCAUUAAUUUGGACGGAGUUAUAAAGCCGCAUUGAUUAGUAUGGGGGCCCGGAUUAUGUAGGCCUAGGAGGGAGUGAACUGGAUUAUAAAGUCAUCAUUAGUAGAAUAUAAUGUAUAAUUAAUUAUUCCAUAAUUAAUUAUUAAUUAAUUUAUCUCGAGUGAGUGCUAGGAAAAUCACAUUGCAGAAAAACAGAAAAAGAUAAUGAGGAAGGUAGCUGCAUUUUGGAUAAAAAUCGAGGUUUAAUAAAUUAUAGAAGAUUAUGAGAUUUAUAGAUAAUAUGACAAUAAUUAUGUUGUUCUUCCAAAACUGAAAAAUGAUACGAAGCAUGAGGAACUAAGUUUAAAUCUUAUAAUACUAAUUAUUUAAUCUUUCAUCUAACUUAGUUAAUCAAGUCAUAUUUUAAGUCUAGUUAAAACAUCUCACUAAUACAAGGAAUGAGUGUUGAUUUAAAUAUAAAAUAUUGCUUUUUAUAACUUAAGUUUUAGAGAUAAAUAAAAAUAAUAAAAAGUAUACCGAACCAAUAAAUCUAUUGAGUUGCCCACUUAAUUAACAUUAACUAAUCUAUAUUCUUAAUCUUAAUCAUAAUCAAGCGUAUUUCUAUUUUUUAUCGAUUUUUAUGUUUUUUUUUGCCAAUAUAUAGGAGGCGAUUAAUACUAAUUACAUUAGAAAAUAAAGAACGUUAACAUUAUUAUAUAUUUAAUAGCAACUUUUCAUCAAUAGAAUGCUGCAGUUACCAAAUGGUGUCCUAAAUCUAGAUAGACAAUCCAAAAUAUGAAAGCCCGAGUAGAAGUUGCAACUAAAUUUAAUUUUAAAUGCGUAACUUCAAUUUACUACUCCAAAUAGAUUUAGUAAUUUUUAUUUUGUGUUUCUGUACUCAAAAGUUGCCUUAUUAUAUAUAUUUUAUUAUUUUACAAUAAAAUUAAUAAGUUAGGAAAGUAAACUUUAUUUAUAAAAAAAAAAUCAUUAAAGUAUAUCCUGUUAACAUAAGGGUAUGUUUGGUUUACUUUUGAUCCGAAUGGGAAUCGGUUGAUAAAUCCAUGCGAAAUUGUAUUGUUUAUUAGGAAUCGGUUUGGGACUUCUCAUUCUGAGAUCGGAAUAUGGAAUGGUCCAUUAUCUUACAAAUAAGCAAGCAAUUUAACCCGUGCAAUGCACGAGUUAUAACUUAAUAUUGAGAAUUGUGAUUUAAAGAAAGUUAAUGGUGCAUGAUAGAGUUUUUAUCUUGAUAUUUUAAGUAUAUCUUAUAUUUCAUGAAAUCUGAUGUUACAUUUUGAGCAAGAAAUCUUCAAAUAGCAAGUUUUUAAGAAAGAAUAUAAAUCCUUUAGAGCUUAAUGUUCAUAAGAAAAAGUUUUAAGAGUGAAUCCAUAAUGAUUAAAGUAAAGGAAAAACAAAGUGAAUGUAAUAUUUAGACGUGUUAAGAUAUUUAGAUGAUAUAUGGGCAGGAAUGAAAUGCCAACGUCCUCUUAAACAAUAUCGAUUGUAAUAUAAUCACUAUAGUGAAAAGAAAUUUAGAAGCUUGACUUCUCACUCUAGUUUUAGGGUUUUUUUUGUUAUUUUUAUUUUUUUUAUAUUUUUUUAUAGACUAUUUUACAAUUGAAAUUUCUUAUCGAAUCCUGCUUUAAGCGUAAUUAGAUAUGAAAACAGUCAAUUUUCUAAAAAGUUCUGAUGGGAAUGUUUAAUUUGAAAAGCUUUUAACAUAAAAGUAUAAGUUAAAAUCAUAAAAAUAUCAAUAUUGAAAUGGUCUAAUGUAGGUUUUUGAAAGGUAAGUUCAUAAUAUGAAAAAGUUAAAGUUCAAAUACAUUAAAAUUUAAACAUCUUAAUUUUGUUUUUUUUAAAUAUUCAAUUUGAAAUGUGAAUGAAAUUAAACUAUCAUCAAUCCUUUACGACUAAUUCUGUAAAGUUAUAUUUUGAUAGAGAUUGCCGUGACCUACAUUUAGAAAGUAGUUUUUAGAACAUCUUGUUCGUAACACCGACUUCCAAGGGGUCCCAUCUAGACUACUCCGUCCUAGCAUGCUUAACUUUAUUAUCUCUUGGCUGCCACAUCCAAAUGCUUAGCCGGGUUAAGAGUUAUACCUAUAAUAUAUCAUAUAUUGGACUAUCAGGGUCUCACAAUUCCCUCCUUUUUAGCCUGACGUCUCGAGCAGGCUAGACUCACAGUCGGUGAUGGGGGGGGGUCGGGUGAAGCGAUUGAGACUCAUACUCGCUACCGUAUCCAGACCUCACCUCAGCCGAGCUCAUUCAACUUCCGGCUGUAAUUGCUCUGAUACAAAUGUAACACCGACUGUCCAGGGGUCACACAUCCUAGGGACUAAUCCGGUCCUAGCACGCUUAAAUCUCUUAACAUCUUGACCUUGGCACCAGCCAAAUGCUUACGGUUAAGAGUUUAGCUCCUAUUAUAUAUAUAUAUUGACUAUCAGGGGUCUCACAUUUGUAGCAUAAUUCAUAUUAUGAUUCUUUAAACUGAAAUUGCUUGUUAUUAUGAAUAUUAAUGGAUGUAUGAUCUAUCAAUUAUUUCUGGCAAAUAAACUUGACUAACAGUGAGAAUAGUGCCAUGAACUUGUAAUAAAUAUUGAAUUAUAAUAUUUAAAGUAAAGAUUUGUAACCGUUUAGUAUCAAAAACAGCGAAGUUGAAUAUGCCUCAUGCGAAGAAACGAAAAAAAAAUGUUAACGAAUUGGCAUAAGAAGCAAAAAAAACAAGAAAGCCCAAACAUAGAUUGAUGCCGAGUGGGAGGGGGUGGGGGAGAUGUGUACGAAAUCAUUUGUAAAUUGUGCGAAGAUAGAGAGGAAUUACAUCCAUAUUGUAAAAAAAAACCUAGAAAACCAAUGAAAUCAGAGUAAUUAAUUGUGGAAGUUGAAUAAGCUCAAGAAUUAAUAUUUUUAUUAAUUUGUAUUACCUUUAAUAGAGCAAAAUUAGAGAAUUACUGGAAUGUGAUAGAGAGGCGGAGGUGGAAACGUUUGCAAGGCGGUGGAGAGGCGCCAUCAUCGGCGAUAUUAGGACGGAAGCUAGUAAUUAGGGGGGAAAGAAUCCUUGUAGUUGGGAAAAAAAAAAGCUUUAAUAUCCAUAGAAUAAAUAUAAGAAAAUGUGAAAUAAAAAUAUCUGGAACAUAUUUUAAUACUAAUUUUGGUUUUUAAAAAGUAGAAUGUGAAUUAAAAAUGACUUAAAAAAUUAUGGAGACGCAUAUUUAACAAUUAUAUUUUAUACUUAUUUUAUUUUAAAAAAUAAUAAUUAGCUAUUAUAUAUACAGAAAAAAUAUAAAAAGAAUAUCAAGUUUCAAUAUCAAAAUAUGUUGGUAUUAUGGUUAUGAUUUCUUCUAAUUACUUAAGAUAUUAUAUAUAAUAUUUGUAAAAUAUAUAUAUAUUGGUGAUAAUUUGUAUUUUAUUAUAAAACUGCGCCACGUGGCAUAUAUGGAAUUCCUAUGUAAUUGGGCACUGGCAGCAUAAUGGUUCACUGAAAUGCUUCCAAAUUAUAUUAAUAUAUAUAUAGAUAUUAUAUAUAUAUAUAUAUAUUACUAUAUUAUAUAAAUUAUAAGUAUAGGAUGUGGAGGGCUACUAUGCUAUCGUGAAGCACGGAGCUUCCUAGCUUCAGCUCGUUUUUCGAUUGUUCGCGACUUUCGAAUCGUCGAUUCGGCCCGCUCCGUUAAACUUGAUCUAAGAGUAUUUGAAGUAUAUAGAAAAGUAAAUUUUAUGAUUUUACGAUAUCAUUUGUUAGUAACGAAGGGUUGAAAAUCAAUGCUGAAAAUAAAUAAUAAUUUACAAAAUGUAAUAAUUUGACGUAUUAAAAAUUUAAAUCAAAGAUUCUGAUCUAUUUAUAUAGUAAUAAAGAAUUUUCUAUCAAAAUUUCACGUGGUUUGAUAUAUUCUACAGAACGCGUUAAUCUUGCAAACGCUCACUACGGCCAUUAAAUUGUUGAUUUUGAGCCUACUCGAUUCACUAGGCAAAUAUAUCUAAAACAAUAAAAUUUAUUAUUCUAGUAAUCCAAUAACCUAGAUUCAAAGGUUUAUAUGGAUGCCAGAUCGACGAUUAGAUAAAAGUGGAAAUCGAAACAAGGUGACAUCACGAAGGCUCGUGUAUCCGAUAUGCCUAGUAGCCUACACUCUAAUAGUAAUUAGUAGUAUAUAUAUGAUAGGUAAUAUGUAUACUCGAGUCAUGAUUCGGUCUCAGGCCAGGACCCGGAUUGAGUUUCAAUUUCCAAGGCCAUACUCAGCUCUUCCUCAAGCAGUACGCCCAACUUUGCUCAUCUACUCAUUCUUAUUCUCCAUAUACACAUCUUUUCCUCUUUGUCAUCAUUUAUAAAACUACAUGAUAUAUUUAAUUUUGUUAUUAAUUAUUCAAAAAAAUAUGCUUUUUUGUAAUUUUUUGCAUAUAAUUUUUAAAAUAAAUUCCUUUUUUUUUUUGCAUAGCUCUAAUUUGAGAAUAGUAUUAAUUUUUUUUUAUAAAUUUUAGAUAGUUUUUAGUAAAAUUUAUAUUAAAAGUAAUUAAAUUAUUUAUUCUAAUUAUUUUUUACUUUGAUGAAUCAUAGUAAAAUAGGCAGUAAAUUGGCAUACCUUCAAUAUUUCAAUUCAAAAUGAACCCCCCCACCGCAAUGUCGACCAAACGUCUGGAAAAAUAGGCAAUUAAUUGCCAUUUAAAUUCAUUUCUACAUAUUUCAGUUAUUCUAUUAAUUCCAAUCUUGACGGGUGGAAACAAUCUUAAAAUUUAUAUAAUAAAUAAAAUUAAAUAUUAUGAGAAUAGUUAAGUAUGUAUAACUUUUCAAACCACGUAAAAAGUGAAUUAAAAAAUAUUAAACAACAGUAAAAAAAUUAAAAUUACUCGAUCCCAAUUCAUUCAUUUUCUUCAUCCAAAGAUUCUACAAUCUCAUUCUCUCAACGACAUUCGAGUGCAAAUUAAACAUAUAUAUGGUACACCAAAAGUCAAAUCAUGCAUUAUAAUUUUUUAAUGUAUAGUUUUUUUAAACUUUAUAAAAUUAUAUCAAACAAAUUAAAUUUUAAUUUAGAGGAAAAUAUAAUUAGUUACACAUUUUAUUCAUUUUGAGAUCUUUUUUUAUCCCCAAGUAAAACCUAGUAAGAGAUGUAGUGCCAAUAUACAUAUACUGAUCCUUGAAAACGUUUAGAAUGUAUCCGUUAUCUUGAUAAAGUGGCAUCUCCAGUCAAUCAAAGAAUUUUUUUAAAAAUUUAUUCGUUCCAUAAUAAUUAUAAAAAGUAUAAUUUUAUUAUAUAUUUAAAAAUAAUUAUUAUUAAUUUAUUAUUAAUAAUAUGAUAUUAUUAUUAAUAAUGUAAUGUAAGUACGAUUAGGGCUGGCAAACAAGCAAGCCGGCUCGCGUUCGACUCGUGUUCGGCUCGAUAUUCGGCUCGCUCGAGCUCNAAGAUACUUCAAAUGGUAUAUAUAUCAUUUUCAACAAUAUCGAUCGCCGAUUUGGAGGCUCCAUCAUCGACGCUAACCCGAUUCCAAUUCAUUCAUUUCCUUGAUCCAAAAGAUUCUACAAUCUCAUUCUCUCAACGAUAUCUGAGUGCAAAUUAAACAUAUGGUACACCAAAAGUCAAAUCAUGCAUUAUAAUUUUUUAGUGUAUAAAUUUUUUAAACUUUAUAAAAUUAUAUCAAACAAAUUAAAAUUUAAUUUUAAAAGUUUUUAGAGGAAAAUAUAAUUAGUUACACAUUUUGUUCAUUUUGAGAUCUUUUUUUAUCCCCGAGUAAAACCUAGUAAGAGAUGUAGUACCAACAUGCCUAUGCUGAUCCUUGAAAAUUUUUAGAAUGUAUCCGUUAUCUUGAUAAAGUGGCACCUCCAAUCAAUCAAAGAAUUUUUUUAAAAUUUAUUUGUUCCAUAAUAAUUAUAAAAGAUAUAAUUUUAUUAUAUAUUUAAAAAUAAAUAUAAUUAGUUUAUUAUUGAUAAUAUGAUGUUAUUAUUAUUAUAUUUUUUUGAGAGAAAGAUAGUAUACUAUUAUUUUAUUUUUAUAUCAUUUAAAAAUAAACUAAACUGAAAAUGUAAAUUAAUAAAUAAUAAUAUUAUUAAUGAUGUGAUGUAAGUAUGAUACAGUAAAUUUUUUUUCCGCCAGGCCAUCUAUAAUUCCUUUAAGGACAAAUAACUGCAUGCAGUUCAUUCUUUCUAUAUUAUUAGGAAGCAUUUUGCUCGUCCUUUGUUUGGACAGAUGCAAUCAUGAAUGAGGGGGCCCCGACAAACCUUCACUCCGUACACAAGGGUUAUUGCAGCUGAUGUGUUGUUUAUUGGAAUCUCAUAAAUUAUUAAUACCGUCCAGGCUCUCUUGAGCGAUUAGUCUCUAUCCAAAAUAAUCGUGAUAGUUACAAAAUACUUAUUGUAGCAUUGCCUAUUAUAUGUCAUUUGUGUCGCUUAAAUAUUCUAUAGCUGAUAUUCGAAAUUUUUUGAAAAUGCCCUCUAGAUAUUUUAUCAAUAAUUUUCAUCAUCACGCAUACAUCACAUAAAUAAUUUAAAAUUUAAAAUUUAAAAUUAAAAUUCAAAAUUUUAAUUUUAAUUUAAAAUUUGAUACAGAUCUGAAUUUAAAUUUUAAAUUUGAGUUCAAAUUUUGAACUUAAAAUUGCAAGUCAAUUUUAAAUCUAAAUUAAAUUUGAAAUUCAAAUUCAAAUUUAUAUUUUGAAUUUGAGUUUCAAAAUAAAACUUUGAAAUUAAAUAUAAAACUAAUUAAAAAUCUAGAUUUGAAAGUAAAAUUAGCAUAAAAUCUUAAUUUGAAUUCAAGUGAAUUUGAGUCCUCUUCGAAUCCAAAAUCAAAAUUUUAAAUUUUAAAUUUAUAAUUAAAAUUAGAUUAAAUUAAUAUUAAAAUUCAAAAUUAUAAUGUAAAUUUGAGCGAGUCUAUGAUCGGAGUUUAAAUUGAAAAUUGAAUUAAAAAAAUCUAAUUUAAAUUUUGGAAAUAUUUCGAGAUAAAGUUGAUAUUUUAAAAUUGUAGUAGCAGCUUGGAACUAAGAUUAGGAUAACACCCCGUGACGUGAGAUAAAAUAAGAAAUAUUUAUGAUAUAACUCAUUCUAUUGGAAGAGCAUAUAUGAUAUUUUAAUAUUUUUACAAGUAUCUGCNNNNNNNNNNNNNNNNNNNNNNNNNGUGUUUUUCUUUUCGGUUUUUUUGAAAGCAAAUUGUUCGAAUACUAAGGAGCCGUUUUUUCUCGGUUUUCCGCUUGGUUCACAUGGAUAAUAAUAUGGCUAUAUCCGGCCGAAUUACUAAACACAGUGUCCACCACGGGGUACUGUAAGAUAGAAUCAAACUCGAGUAAAGGUUAUAAAAAAAACAUCCUCAAAUUCUCUUCACUUAUUCCAUAUUAUUGGCACAAAAAUAAAUUUUACUUGCACCAACAUUGUCACUCGCCUCGAGACCUCGCCACAUUGUCACUAACAACAAUUAAUUUCUGACACGCGAAUUUUCUCGCCUAAAAUCAAUCUCAUUUCUUACACAAAAUCUAAAUUUCUGUUUCCAUUCUUCUAAUCCAAUACAAAAUAGUAUUUUACCUAUUUUAUUUACAUCUUAUUUUAUCUUAUCCGGUAUAUUAGCCACUGUAACAUCUUGUGCAAUCAUAAAGUGGUGACAGGUACAAGGAAUGCUAUUCUAACUUGCCACGAAGUGAUUCAAAGUCAUACCUUAUUAUCGUUAUCAGCCCGAGAGACGACUGUCUCGCUGAGAUCAGUAGGAAGAAAUAAGGGAUUUGGUGCUAACGUAGGUAACUCCGAUGAUCCAAAUUCGAACUCUAUUUGAUUCAUACAUUUUAGCUAAUUAUAUUAUAAAUGAAAUAAACAAAGCGAAGGGGUAUUAUGGACUCAAGCCCCUUUGUAGAUACCUCUCAAGAAAAAUAAGGAGCAAACUCAUCAUUCAAAUUAUUCAAAUUAUAUCGCGAUCGAUAUAUACUCAGGUUUUUUCCUUGAAUGCUGAUUUCAAUUGAGAGAGAGAGAAAGCAUCCGUUCUAAAAUUGGAGGGAGGCUGACGAAAAGAUCUGUGCCAAACAUUUCUGGCAACGAGGGUUGGUGAGGGAGGCCUAAAGGUGCCAGAGAGUUUAUGACCGGAGGCUUCAUUAGCUACUCAACUCAAAAUCCUUACUACUAUCGAAAAAAUACUCCUACAAAAUAAUAAAUUAAGCUUCAUGUUAUCGGUGUCGCAUGUCAAAAUAGCAUCCAUCCUAAUCGAUUUGUUUGUUUUUGUUUUGUGUGGUUCAGGUUCUACAUAAAAUUUGCAAAUACCCUAUAACAGGAAAUAUAAAAUACCAUGAUUAAAGCGGGGAACAUUAAUGAAUUGUCAGAAAACUUUGAGAUAUAGCCAAUAGAAAUCAUAGGCAAACAUUACCGAUAUACAAUUUAUCCCUAUAAUCACGUUUAUGCUCUACUAGGUUACUUGCCCAUAGAUUAAGCAUUCCUGAUUAGUAAGGCGUGUGAGCUCAUCACCAGAAUCCUAUAUCAACUUCUCCUAUUUUUUUUUCUCUUAUCUCUUUCUUGAAUCUAAUCGGUUUUUUUUAUUUUCAUAAUUACUUUGAACAACCGAACUGAUCAUGGGUUCGAGUGGUAGACUCCUCUGAAAACCCGCUCAUUAAGUAUUUUAGUCACACGCUAUACUCUUCUCACCUUUUCUUUACUACGUGAACGAUGUGCUAAUUUCUCUCGUUCUUACCUGAAACGAAUUAUAUCAACUCGUGUUCCAAUCUGGGGUGCUAGAACCAGAGCCAACUGCUCCCACAUGUUUCCCAUCUUUGAACCAAUUUUUUCUUUUUUUUUAUUAUUUAUAUCGGAUCAAUCUCACUAUAGAGUGUGGUUUAUAUCCCAAUAUCCCGUCUCAAGCUUUUCUUGUUUUGUUGCUUGAAUCGAAUCGUAUUUUUUUUUUUUUUUGCAUUGAACGCAAACUGGAUCACAACUUCUGCAUUAAACAAACUAUAGUCUUUUCCUCUUCUUCAACUUUAUCUCGUUUAUCACAGCGGGAUAAAUCUCCUCAUCCGUCACUAGGUUCAUUGUCGUUUACUUCUUUGCGCCGUUUUUAGUUUAUUCCUCUUAAUUAUCUCUAUCACAUCCGCAACAGCUCAAAAUCGCACGGGUUACUAUACUACAUAUCACCGUAUGGUAAUAAAACUAAAUAUUUUAAUAACAAGUUAAUGAACGAGGCAUUUUUUCAAUCAAGAAACUAUAUCACUGGAGCUAUUACACUUAUAAUAUUUAUGACAUUUAAAAGAGCACGAAUAUAUUAUAUUUUACAAGGGGAGCUUGUGAUGUUAAGUACAUACGCGUGGCGUCUUAUAAGAUUUUUUGUCAAAAAAACUUUCAUAAUGCUUAAACACUAUCACUGAACAAUAGUAUUUUAAAUUAAGAUAAAACUUUUAAUCCUGGGCACGUCUCUUAUCAGCUCCUUAUAUUCCCGUGUGCAACAACUGCUCCAUACAUUUGAAUAACACACAUCACUUGUCAAUAAAGUCUGUCCCCCAUGCCUCAUGCGACUUUACCUCAAUGCUAUUGAUAAGAGACAAAAUAACGGUUUGCACACGUACACCAUUGGUCUACAUCUAAGUUUGAUUUUGCCGAAAAAAUACGCAUUGCACGACGUACAACAUUAAACACUUGGUUCAUACAUCUAGUGCGGUUUCUGGCCAAAUAAUAACCGUUUCCGACGACAGCACUACUAUUUGUGUCUUUAAACAUGGGUAGGUGUGAGAGAGAGGAGAAUUUCACUGUUUUUUUUUAAGACGAUGGGGUAGGUUAGGAUCUACUUCGAUUUGUUUAUUUAAUGAAAAAUAUAAUUUAGUUCGAAUUUAGAAUUUUCGAAUACGCGAACCACCAGUGCGUCUUUAUUAUUGCCCUAGUAAUAUCGUGCCAAAAAGAAAAUUCUCAAAAUGAACAAAACGAAUAACUAAUUAUCUUUUCCCCUAACACAAUUUGAAAACAUUAAUUAAAAUUAAUUAAAUUUGAUAAUAAUCUUAGUUAAGAUUUUAAAAAGAUUAUACAUUAAAAACAUUGUAUAAUCCGUGAUUGAUUAUUGGUUAAUACAUGUUUUAAUUUGCACUCAGAUAUCGUUAGAAAUGAAAUUGUAGAAUCUUGAAGGAACAAAUGCAUGAAUCGGGACUGAGUAGUAUAAGAAUUUAAUUAGGUAAUGUUUGUAUUUUUUUAGGGCUCGUUUAAUUAUUUUUUCCAGCAUUUGUUAUUAUGCGGUUUUGAAAAGUUAUACUUAACUAUCCUAUAAUAUUAGAUAUUUAUUUUCUUGUAAAGAGACUUAUGAGUGUUAAACAGAACAAAAAAUUCAUCAUGCUAAAAACUGAUGUCAAAAGUCUAUUUUUGAUAAAAAUAAAAUAAAAAUCGACAUAGAAUGUUAAAUGCAACCUUAAAACUACAUAACAACAAGUGAAACUCCACUAAAUUACAGGGUAGGGGUUGGGUAUCGAAUUUUCUCUAGUAAAUGACUUAGUGCAAACUUAAGAACUUAGGCUUCCUUAGUUGAUUGCUUUAACUAAGGACCUAUUUGGCGUACUUGUAAGUCAUCUAUGAGUUGAAACGCUGGUUGGGAGUUAAAGUCAUAUAAAGAUUACUGAUCAUUAAUUUCUAAAGUUGAACAGUACGGAAUGAAUAUACAAAGUUUAUUAUAAUGAAAAAAGUCUAAUUUAUGAAAAGAUGUAAACAUUAUUUAUUAUAAUAAAAUUUAAGUAAUUAAAGAUGAGUUUUAAUAUCUAUCUACUAACUACUAGAAAAAAUUACAUGUAAAUACACGUAUAAUAAUUAUUAAAAAAAGUAUAAAUUUUAUAAUAUAUAUUUCAUAAUUAUUAGCCCAUAAUUAUAUAUAUGAAUUGCCAGAUAUGUAAUAUAAAAAUUAAAAUAAUAAAUCAGCUAAUAUAAAAAAGAAUUGCUAUUAAAUGAACAAACUAAUUAACAAUAAAUCAUUAAUACAAACAAUACAUAUUAUAAAAUAUCUCUAAUUGGCAAAAAUUAUUAUAAAAUUAAAACUAAAAAUAAAAUCUGUUAGAAAUAAUUUACAUUAAAUGAAAUAAAAUCACGUUAUAUAAGAAAAUAAUAAUAUUGAAUUAAAUAGAAAAUAUCUAAAAAAGAUAUUUAAACUAAACAUAAAAAUAAUCUUUUAUAGAUAUUUUCAGCACACCGUAAUCUGUUAUAGACCGAUAACUUAACAUUGAAUUAAAUAUUAUAUUAUAAAGAUCUUCUAAGAUAUCGUAUAGACGCCUCAUGAUAUCAACACGCUGUAUACUUACAUCUAAUAAAAUAAUCAUUUAUUCUUAUAUAUAAAUUUUCGAAUCAGCAAAAAGAUAUUCUAAUUUAAAAUUUAAUCGGUAAGAAAAUAUCUUAUAUUAAUAAAAAUUCGUACGGCAAAGAGAAAAAUGGCGCUAAAUAUUAUUCAACAAGUGAAAAAAUUAGGAUCAGAUAGACAGCAGUCCAAAUAUUGAAUAUACCGUGCUUUUAUAUAUAGUAAUAAUAUAUAUAUAUAUCAUAUAUAUAUACGUUAUGGUUGGACGUGGCAAAAGCUACUAUUACGUAGCAAAAUCUCUAUAUGCUGGACCAGUUUGUUUAAGCUUUUGGGAUCAACUCUUUCAUUAUUCUCAAACAAUUGGAUUGAAAUACUAUAUAUCCAUUAGAGACGCCAACUCAACCCCAGGGGGACACUUCAACUAUAUUAUUGACUAAUAUCAUCCUACCUCACAAUUUUUCAUCGCAAGUUAAAAACUUGAUAGCAAAUAAGAGCGUUUUACUAUUAAUAGAUUUAGCUAAUUCAUAUAUAUCUGAGUGGGUGAAUUAUGCUACUAUACUGCAAUAAGUACCAGCCCUUGUAACGUAUGAGUUUUGGCCGUUGGAUGAAAGGAGUGCGGUUAGUUUGAUAGUGUCCUGAGGUCAGUGGUCGUGCGUGGGGCUUAAAUAGUAUACGUCUAACGGUGGAAAUAAUCAAAGAGUACAUCGUGCUAACGGUAAAAACUCAAAUAGACCAAAGGCUUGGUACUAUCCAUAUACAGUAGCCGGACAUCAUAUAGUAUAUGUAUAUAUAUAUAUUAACAUUAGAAUUCGGUAAUGCGUCUGGUACUCCGGCUUUUUUUCCUGUGGGAUUUUGAGAAUUCGCCACAAACCCGCUCGAUACCAGAUGUACCGUGGAUUCGAGCCGUGAUUGUUGGUCUCGAUUACACAACGAAAGCUCGAAUCGAGAAUUUUUUACUAUAAACUCGUAUUCCUACAAAAGCUGAUACUAAUUCACAAAAAAGAUAAAAAACCAAAGCAAGUGCGAAAGAUCGAGGUGGAAAGGCUGGCAGGGGUUUCAAGCCUCCGCUCUUUGCCCCUCCGCUGGCUUCUCGACGAGAGACAUAAAAAAAUAAACAGAGAGAAAAAAGAGGAGAAGAAAGAGGAGAAGAUAAAAAUAAAUAAAGUUUUAGAUCAGUUUGCUGGAAAAUUCAAGCCGAAGUCUACAAAAACACGAAAAAACAGUCACAUCUUUGCAAAAAACCCAAAAAAAUAGUGAAUUUUUAUGCAAAUUGCCUUAAUUUAAUAAUUCCAUCUUCACUUAUUUGACAGUUAAAUUUUACUUACCAACUACUUAUUUAUAGUCGAUUCUUGUGCAUAUAAAAAUAGGUAAGUCUAAGCCUAUCCUUUUUAAUGAUUAUUCAGAUAUAUUUUAUCAAAGGUGAAAUCUGGACAGCUAAAAAUUCGAUCCCUUCAGAUUUUUGGCGAAAUUGUGGGGGAUUUUCCCCUAAAAUAGGUAACUUUUUUUUGCUUAAAGUGCUUGUAAUUCUGUUACUUGCAUUAAGAACACUGUCUAAAAUUAGUAACUACAUAAACCUCUGUCAAGGGGAUCAUUUUCAAUUUUGAAAUGCGGGACAGUCUUCAUAACUAAUUCUCAAACAACUCUUAAACACCGCAAACUAUAUAUAUAUAUAUAUAUAUAUAUUAUUGUUUAGAAUAUUAGCUGCUUAUAUAGUUGUCCACAUUUCACACUUGGAUCUAUAAUGUGAUUUGAAUACUCAUAAAAGGUGAUUGAUAGCAUACAAAAUUAUCCACUUUUAACAUGCAAAAGACAUAUAUAGACUGUACGUAAAAUUUACUUUUGUCUCAAUAAAUGAAAGAUGAAAUGGUUAAUUUGAUUUGAAAUUUUGUUUUUCUCCUGUUCAACUCGUUACGUAACUUUAUUUUCUGUAGAUAUAUGAGAUUUGGGUAAAUUGCACUCCAUGUCUCUAAACUUAAAUUUAGUUUUUCUUCUUUUUUUUUUCUUUUUUUUUUUAUGGAUAGGUAGCAUGCUACCCGCUUCGUUUUAUUUUAUUUAGAAAUAAACUUAGCUGGAAAUGUGAAUCAAUUAGGAUUCGAACUUGGGUCUCAGAUACCAAUCACCAAGCCUUUUUCCACUUCUAGGGACGGUCGGUUAAAUUUAGUUUUUCCACUUCUAAGGACGGUCGGUUAAAUUUAGUUUUAAAACUUCUAAAUUUUGUAUAUUUUUAAGACCGGACUAUUGAUUAUUUGAAUUAUAUCAUUUUAGUCCUUAUUCUGCGUACUCUUUUUUUUUUGAGAGAUAGAUAACAUGCUACCCGCUUCGCUUAUUUCAUUUAGAAAUAAACUUAGCCGGAAAUGUGAAUCAACCAGGAUUAGAACUUGGGACCUCGAGUACCAACCAUCGAGCCCUUUGCCAUUUAUGCUAGGGACGAUCGGUAAAAGCUAGCGUACUCUAAUAACCUUCACAUUAUGUAUACUAUUUUAUUUUUAUCUAAAAAGAAACUAAACACAAGUACUCUAAUAAUAUAAUUUUGUAUUUUGUAUUUCAAUUAUAUGUACUUUCCAUAUAUAUUGACCCUCACGUUACCCCAUAAAUAUUCAAAACAAAUAAAUCUACUAAAAUAUUAUUUUUGAGAUAUUUUCGUAUCAUAAUUUUGCAUGUGCAGGUGCAUGACUUUUCAAAUUGUCUUGGAGCCAUCCCAAUUAUUUUGCAACCAACGUAUUCAAUCCGGGGACAACUCAAAUUUAAUUAUUGGAGCAAGAAAAUGUAAGGAAACCCCUAAACUAUAGGCGACUUUAAAUAGCUCCUUCAAUCUGGUUUAAUUCUCUCUCGUUUAGGAGUGUAAACGAGCUGAACACGAGCUGACUCGUUAAAAUAUCGUGCCGAAAAAUUUAGCUUGUGUUUGGCUCGCUAAUAAACGAGCCGAACACGAGCUGGCUUACAAACAAUAAGUUAAAAGUAUUAAAUUGAAUAUAUAUACAAAAUAAAUAUAUAAAAUUUUAUCCAUUAAACUUUAAGAUUAAUGGGUAUUUUUUCACAUCCUUUUACUCUAUAUCAAUUGAAGUAAGGACUCCUUGCUUUAAGUUCUAAAAUAUUCAAUAGUUUUAUAUAUAGGAACCUGGGGUUUCCCAAACUAAGAAUUACCUAUUCUAAUACUAUGCGAAAUAAUAUGACACAACGAUUGUUCUCCAAAAAUUUAAAGAUGGCUCAGAGGAUAAGGCACUAAUUAAGUUUGAAUCUUAUCGGGCAAUAGGUUCAUCCAAUUUCUUUUUAUUUUAUUUAAUUUAAUUCAAGGUCAUAUUUUAAAUUUAUUAAAACUUCUCGAGCCUAAACAAGAGGUAGAGUGUUAUAUAUAUAUAUAUAUAUAUAUAUAUAUAUAUAUAUAUAAUUCUGCUACUAUACUUUAUGAUAUAUUGUCCUCUGUACUCAUAAUUAUUUCGAUAGAUUCAGACUUCCGAAUCAACGAUCCACAUCAAUUAACUUUAUUAAACAUUUAAAAUUUCUAGAAAUCAAAUUUUUAAUUUUUCACAUCAUUUCACCUUCACUCAAAACUUACAAAAUUGACAAAUUUAACAGCCGGUAUGUAAUACAUUGCUAGUUUAACGGUGUAAAAGAAUUGGAAUAGAUUGAAUUUUUGAUAGAAAUUCUAUUCACUAUCUAAUGAAAGAUUAUAAACUCUAAUCUUAAAUUGAAGGAUCCGAUCAUCCAUUUUUAGAACACCUCGUUCGAUUUUGACCGUUCAUUUUCUGCCCGUUGAUGAUUCUUUAUUGAUUUGGAAAAAUUAAAAAUUUAUUUUUUAAAAUUUCAAAUACUCUAAGUCAUAUUUAAACGGAGUGGAUCGUCGAUUCGAAGCCUAAUCAUUAAAAAAACUUAUGAGUACGAAGAGGUCCAAUACUCAUAAGAGUAUAGUAGCCUUACUAUAUUAUAUAUAUAUUAUAUAUAUAUAUAUAUGUAAUAUAUAUAUAAUAUAGUUGCUUAUAAUUCCUAAUCUUUCUGAAAUAUCCGAUCUACCCCUACUUUUUUUUUCUUUCUAAAAUGCCCUCAUAUGUUCCACCGUUAUUCCAAAAUACCUCCGCAGUUAUCCCUGUUAUGUUUACUUGAGUUAAGCAUGGAUUAAUGUAUACCGCGAGUUAAAAACUAAUUAAAUACCCUAUUUUGCCCCUUACCAUUAUUAAACAAUUUAUUAAAUUAUCUUUUUUUUCUCCUCCAACUUCAUCCUUCUCUCUCUCUCUUCUCUGCUCUCCUCUAACUUGGUCCUGCCCCCGCCGCCCGCCACCGAGCACGCCCAGGCACUCACCACCACCACCAACGCUGCAACCAGCUCCUUCUCGCCUCCGACCUCGCCCCCUAAGACUCGCGUCAUUCGCACAAAAAAAACGGCCCUAGUCCGCCGCUCUCGAUGCGCCUUCCUCCUCCCCGCCGCUUUGCUGUGCCGCGGAGCAAGAGGGCCCCAGCGAUUUUGUGCAGCAAUCUCGUCGCGUUCGUCGUCCCUCCUUUCUGUCACAUUUCGAUCAUCGCUGUGUGUUCGCGGUCGACAUCGUCUCGCACCACGGUAGCAUCAUCGUGCCUUCCACCUCUCGACCCAUCGCUGUGGACGUCUUCUUCGUUCUGAAAACCCAUUCUUGUCUCUGCUUCCCUUCGGGAACAGCCGCUCCAUCACCAAUAUUGCCUCAUGGUCGCCAACCUCGAGGUUUGAGAGUGCGACGGUGUCCGAGGUUGAGGUGUGUCGCGCUGCCGGAGGAGGGGAACGAGGGAGAGGUGUUUAUGAGGAGUCAAUUGGAGAGUUAAUUGGCGAGAGUUAAAACUUAGGUGAUAGUUCAAUUGAGAGUUAAUAGGAUGAAUAGUUAAUUCAUCUGAGAUUAAUUGGAAUACAAGAUAGUCUUCUGUUCUGCAGCUACAAUCUAAGAUUUAAUUAAUUAUUUUUAAAUAUAUUAACUCUUUAUAUUAUUACAUAUAUAUUAUUAUAAUUUAAAUAUAUAAUAUUUACAUAUAUAUAUAAAAAAAAUUAAAAUAAAUACAUAUAUAGUAUAUUAUAUUAUAUAUAUUUAUUAUAAUUAAUCGAAUUUUUAUAUUCCCGAUUUUAAUUGGUGAAUCAUAAUACCCGCGUAAAAAUAAGCUUAUCUGAAUAAUUGCCGAAUCCGGAUUUUUUAGCCGUAUAUUUUCAACAAAUUUAAAAUAAAAAGAUACGAAAAUAUAUCCGAAUUUUAUCCGUACCGAAUUUUUGCCGAAUCCGAAUUAACUAACUAUGCCUCCAACCACCAAGGUUUGUUUAGCUGCGAUCGAUCUCAUUCGUUUAUCUGCUCGCUCCCGACGUGCUUAAUUAAUUAAUUAAAAUUUGAAGGGCAAAUAAGAAAAGUAUUCGCUAUAUAAAGGGUAUAUAAGAAAAGUUAGUUACGGUAGAAGGGUAUAUUAGAAUGGAUAAAAUGGUAAUUUUACAGAGAUAACGGCAGCUCACUAAUGGAACUUAACUCCAGGGAUAUAUUAGAAAAGCUUGGAACAUAAGAAGGGUAUUUUCAAUAUAUAUAUAUAUUGAAACACCUCUCUUUAAUAACUUAAGUUUCUAUAUAUAAAUAAUUGUUUCUCAUCCUUUCAUAGAUUUAACUUUUUUCAUAUUAUAAUAAAUCAAUUAUAAUAUUAUUCCUACGGUUCCAUUAGAAAAUAAUGAAGUAUAUCUUUAUAUGAUUUAACUCCAACCAAGUUUCAUCUACUAGCAUGCUUCAAUACCCAAAUAGGUGCUAAGUCACAAGACAAUCCAAAAUAAGGAAAGCCCAAGUUCUAAGUUGGCACUAUAGUUAAUUUACUGAGUAAAAUUCAGUGGAGUUUUACUUUGUUCUCAUGUAGUUUAAAGGUUGCAUUUAACUAUCAUGUGAUUUUUUAUUUUUAUUUUAUUGAUAGAACUUGACAUCAGUUAAAAAUUAAUUUUUUUGUUCUGUUUAACAAUAAGUCUUUACAAGAAAAUAAAAUUAAUAUUAUAGGAUAGUUAAGUAUAACUUUUCAAACCGCAUAAUAACAAAGUGAAAAAAUAUUAAACAACAGUAAAAAAAUUUAAAAAUUACCUAAUUAAAUUCAUCAUACUUACUCGAUCCCGAUUCAUUCGUUUCCCUUCAAAGAUUCUACAAUCUCAUUCUCUCAACAAUAUCUGAGUGCAAAUUAAACAUGUAUUAAACCAAAAAUCAAAUCAUGGAUUAUAAUUUUUUAAUGCAUAAAUCUUUUAAACUUUAUAAAAUUAUAUCAAAUUAAUUAAAUUUUAAUUAAUUUUCAAUUUUUUUAGGGGAAAAGAUACUUAAUUAGUUAUCCAUUUUGUUCAUUUUGAGAAUUUUUUUUGGCAUCGACUGUCACUAGCGCAAGUGGUAAGGAGUUUGGUGGUCGGUAUCCGAGAUUUGAAGUUCUGACUUAAGUUUAUUUCUAAAUGAAAUAAAUAAAACGGAUAGUAUAUAUGUUAUCUAUCUCUUUAAGAAAAAAAAAUUUUUUGGCAAAACCUAGGAGAUGUAGACCCAAUGUGUGCGUGUGCAAACGUUAUUUUUGGCAAAACCUACGAGAUGUAUACCCAAUGUGUACGUGUGCAAACGUUAUUUUAUCUCUUAUCAAUCGUUAGUAAAGUUGGCAAACAAACUAGGAGAUGUAGACCCAAUGUGUACGUGUGCAAACGUUAUUUUUGGCAAGAACUACGUGAUGUAGACCCAACCCAAUGUGUACGUAUUUUGUCUCUUAUCAAUGAUUAGUAAAGUCGCAAUCGAGAAGGGUACAACUUUUAUUGCAGCUGAUGUGUUGUUAUUGGAAUUAUGGGAGCAUGUGUUGCCCAACGGGAAUAGGACUGAUAAAGACGCGCAUGAAUUAAAAAAGUUAUAUUUAAAUUUAAAAAAUACUAUUGUUCAGAAUAGUUGUUUAGCAUCAUGAAAGAUUUUUUUAAAAAAAAUUUAUGAAUGCCACGCUUAUGUAUUAAAAUAUCACAAUGCCCUCAUAAAUUAAUAAUAUCAUUCAUGCUCUUUUAAAUGGUCAUAAAUAUUGUAGUAAAUAGCUCCAGUGAUUAGUCUCUAUUGAAAAAUCUCGUCAUUAAUUAUUAUAAAUAUUUAUUUUUUUACCAUUAUGUACUACUAGUAUAGUUACCCGCGCAAUGCGGCGGAUAGGUAUUAUCGAAAUAUUAGAUUUUUAAUUCAAUCUAACUCAUCUUAAAUAGAAAUUAUCAAAUAAUUAUAAAAAUUACUGUAAAAUAGAUUAAAAUUAGAUUAAAAAAAUAGAAAAUAAGAAGAGAGAAAAAAAUAAAAAAUAGAGAAACUCUCACUUAAUGUUGGUCUCUAAGAAGGCGAGGCUUGCCAAUAUUUAGUGGUUCAAUGAAUCUACAUUAAUUAGCAAUAAAAUCAAUACCAAGUGUGUUAUUUUGUUAAUUUGAUAUUUAGAUAGAGGGAGUGGUUUCAUUUAUUUAUUUAUUUAUUUAUGAGGAUGAAGGGAUGAAGGGUGGCUUGCCACGUGGCAAGAAAUAUUGUGCUUUCAUUUAGAUUUAUAGAUUUAUAGAUUUAUAGAUUAUAGAUUUAUAGAUUUAUAGAUUUGUAGAUUAGAAUUUUAGGGUGAUUUUCAUUAUUUUAAAGUUAAUAUAUCAUAUUUUAAAAUUGGAAAAGAGUACAACCUACAAAUAAAAAUCCGAUUCUAUUAAAAAAAAAAUAAAAAGUAGAGAUAAGCCGGUNCCGAUUCGAUUAAAAAAAAUAAAAAGUAGAGAUGAGCCAGUUCAAUAAAAAAUCAGUUUCGACACAAAAUAUAUAACAAAAAUAUGUCGAUUCAGCUCAAAAAAAUAAAUAGAAAGAAGAAGAGGUUCAAAAAAGAAUAAUUGAAAGAAGAGAAAAAAAAUCGAAUUCAAAGAAUAUAUAUAACAAAAUAGAUCAGUUCGAAUUAAAAAAAUUUAAAAAAAAAAUAAAAUAUGUAAAAAAAACUUGUUGGUUCGGUUCAAAGAAGAAUAUAAUUGAAAGAAAAGAAAAAAAAAUUAGAAAAAUUUUAAACUAAGGAAGAAGUGCCACGUCAUCUUACACAUUGGGGAUUAAUAAUGACUCAUACCAGGUUCACAUAUAACCCAACCAUACUAAGCCCAUUUGACCCUAACACACACACACACAUAUAUAGGUAUGACUCACAUCAAAAUGACUAACACAAACCAUGCAAACCUACGUGCAUGGGCCACCACUUUAACAGUUAAAAACACCAUACACCAUUUCUCGAUUCUAGUGGGAUGCUGGCCCUGGAGAGAUAGACGCCGGGGCCGGCGGCGGCGGCGGCGUUGACGGGUCGGAGGAAUCAUUUGCUGGAUAGCAGUAGCCGCGCAGUAUGUCUCCUUCUUGAGCCGUGAAGCCGAGGGACGCCAGCAAGACGUCGGUGGCCCAACAGUGAUGCUCGAUGACGCGAAUGGCCCGGCAGCAGCUCGGGCCCAGGUACGUUUCACCGUUGAGGAAGAAGAGGAUUACCUCCCCCGUGCACGACCGGAGCUCCACCAGCGAGUCCCAGCACUGCUUCAUGCCGUCCGACUGCAGGCGGGCCGAAAGGCCGAUCGGGCCGAUGGGCCGAGCCUCCGACGACGUCGGAGUGGGCACGGUUGUGAGGGAGGAUGCUGCGAGCAAGAUAAAAAUAGAUUGUUUGAAGAGAGAAGCCAUGAGAAACUUCAGUGGAGACACUUGUGAGUGAUCAUAUGAAUUGAUAGAUGUUCAUAAAAAUAUUCAUAUUUAUAGAGGUGGAAUCGAUCAAUAAAUAUGAAUAGGAAAAUGAAAAGUGAAAGGGCAUGCAUGCAUAUAUACGUUUUAAGGAAUGUAAGAAGGUCUCUUAGAUUGAGGUGUAAUAAUAAUUAAUCAAUUAAUGGUGGUGGGAGAAACAAAAUUAAGGAAUUUGUAACAUCUUAAUUAAUUAUUAAGGAAUGUGGAGGGUUUUUAAUUAGCUAGUGGAAAAAUUUGGGUCCUAUGUGGACUCGAGCCCAGUUAAGAUUUGGAUAGAGCCAGGUUAAUUUUGUUGAUUGGUUGUUGGAUUUGGGUCAAGAUAAAACCAACAAUAAGCCCUAACCUAGUGUUUGACUCCUGAAAAAGUGUGGAAAAUUAUUUUUAAAAAAUUUAUUUGUUUAUUUUUUCAUGAAAAACACAUUUCUCCAUAAUUUUUUAUUUCUCUGAUAAAAAAUUUAGAAAAGUAAAGUACUAUUUUUUAUGAAAUCUGAAACGAAUGAAAAUUAUUUUUUCAGUUAGAAAAUUAUUUUCACAAAUAAUUUAUAGAAAAAAACUAAACACCUCCUAAGAGAUUUAGUAUUANAAAGUAAAGUAUUAUUUUUUAUUAAAUCUGAAACGAAUGAAAAUUAUUUUUUCAGUUAGAAAACUAUUUUCACAAAUAAUUUAUAGGAAAAAACUAAACACCUCCUAAGAGAUUUAGUAUUAAUUAUGAGGUACAUAUAUAUGAAUAGUUAGCUUAAUGGAGAAUAACUUGAGAAGUAAAAGAAUCAUUAGAAACGGUAACAUUAUUCUUUGUCACAAUUACUGCAUUAAGGAUUAGUAACAUCUCAAUCAUUAAUAAGCAUGCUCUAUAAUUGAAAGAAAAGAAAAAAAAAAUUAGAAAAGUCCUAAACUAAGGAGGAAGCGCCACGUCAUCUUACACAUUGGGGAUUCAUUAUAUGUAAUAGAUUAGUAUAGUAACUCAUGUGAUGUGAUUAACAAAUAAUUAAAGAAAAAAUAAAAAACGGCAACAAAGAAAGAGUAAACGACGAUGGAAGAAGUGACGGUGAGGAGAUUCAUCCCGCCGAUAAACGAAGAUAAAAGUUGAAGAAAGAGGAAAAGAAAUAGUUCGGUCUAAUGCAGAGAUGUGAUCCAGUUUGGUUCAAUAAAAAAAAAAUCCGAUUUGGUUCAAGUAAAAAAAAAGAAAAGCGUGAGACGGUUUGGGGUAAAGCCUACACUCGAUAGUGAUCGAUUCAGUUCAAGUAAAAAAAAAAAAAAAAAUUGGUUCAAAGAUGAAAACAUGUGGAGCAGUUGAGCUGGUUCAGGGCAAUGUAACCUAUUGAUCUGAUUCAUUUCAAGUAAAGAAAGGGAGAAAUUAAGUUCGUUCCACGUAAAGAAAGAAAAAAAUAUGUGAAAAGCUUAAGCCGGUUCGGAGGAGUCUACAUUUAACAAUGAUCAACUCAAUUCAAGUAAAGAACAAGAAAAAUCCAAUUCGACUGAAGCAAAAAAAAAAGAAAAAAGAUACGUGUAGAACUUGAACAGUUUCUGGAUGAAGCCCACAUUUAAUAAUGAAAGGAACGUUAUCAUGUAGCAAAACUAAAAGAAAUAACGUAUAAGGAUAGAUUGAUAUCAUUAAUGUCACUUAAAUUUUCUAUAGUGAUAUUCAAAGUUUUCUACAUUAUUAAUGUCGCUUAAAUGAUAUUCAAAAUUUUCUGUAGAGUAGUUUCAAAAUUUAUUAGAACUAAGAUUAGGAUAAUGCUAUUUGACAUGAGAUAACAUGAGAGAUAUUUAUGAUAUUUUUAGAAGUAUUUGUGAUAGUUUAAGAUUUUGAGGAGUACCUAUGAAGCUGUCCCUAAAAAAAUCUGCAGUUUUGAGCUCUCACAACCUCGUUUCAAAAUUUGGAAGAUAUCGCUCCUUGACUUUCGAAUUUUAUGUAGUACAAUUUUUAGACGGUGUUCUUAAGGUAAGAAACUUAUAAGCAACUUUAAAGGAAAAAAAGUUAUAUACUUACAGGGAUCGCAUUUAAUUUGGAAAUUUGAAUACGAGUUUUUACUUUUUAGCCGUUCAAAUUUCACACUUUGAUAAAUAAUAUGACUUGAACACUCGUACAAGACGAUAGCAUACCCUCACCCUCUUUUCAUACGCACAAGACAUAAACUAUAAUGAAUGUUGGUGCAAAUAAAAUUUAUUUUUGUCCAAAUAUGGAAUAAGUAAUGAGAUUUGAAUUCUUUUAAUUAACCCUUCAACUCAGUUUGUUUUACUUACAGUAUGGCGUUGGACCACUGUGUUAGUUAAUUCGCGUAUAAUACGCGAAUUAUACGCGAACAAAUUGAAAACCGUAUAAAAUGCUCCGAAUACGAAUUGUUUUCCAAAAAAUCAAAAAACUCGUUUUUUUUCCCCUCGCUCAGAUUAUUCACGAUAAAAAUGGUUUUUCCGAAUUAUAUUUUGAAAAAUUCGGAUGUAGCAGCGGUGGAAAGAAGAAAUUUCUUGUGAAUUUUGGAUUUGGUGGUUGCGGAUUGAUGAAAGUUUUUGGACCGGCAUCGGGUGAGCAUUGUUCCACAAAUUUGUGCACCUCCUCGUGAGCAGUCGAGCAACUUUGCCUGUUCAAUUUUGAAGGAAAUAUGAAGACGAAGCGAAGCAAAGAAGAAAAGGGGCGAGCGAGGAAGGAGGACCCUGGAAAAAAUCGCGAUGUACAUUGGGAAAUAGCGGGGUCCAUGAGGCUGCACUCAGCGUCAUGGACCAUGUGGAGUGAGAGGUCCACCGUGCUGCAAUCAUAUAUAUAUAUAUAUAUAUAUAUGAUUUUAUAUAUUAUUUUAUAUUAGUUUAUUUUUAUAUUUAUAAAAAUUAUAAUUAUUUAUGAUAAUGACAUAAAUCUGAAAAAAAUUUAAUAGCCUAAUUAAGGAUAUUUUUCAUAAUUAUGAGUAUUUAUACUAAUAGCAUAAAUCUAGAGAAAAAAAAAAAUUAACAGCCGAAUUUUUUUAUCUCGAAAUUUUAAUUGGUGCACGUAUAAUAUUCGUAUAAAUCACGUAUCCGAAUAAUUUACAAAUCUAUUUUUUAGCCGUAUUUUUAAAAAAAUUUAAAAUUAAAAUACAAAUUUUAUCCGUAUUAUAUUCGUACCGAAUUUUUGCCAAAUCCGAAUUAACUACCUAAGUUGGGUCACAACAUACAUACCGAUUAUUCAGAUACAACUUUAUUUCGCACAGAUGUAUGAGAAUUGGGUAAAUUGCACUAAAGGUCUCUAAAAUUAAAAAUUUAGUUUGGAGACUGUCUGCGUUAAUUUCGCUCAGGCAUCAUUUGAGAUAGGCCAUGCCAAACUAGGCCCCGCCCUCAACUACACGCCACGCCCUCAUCAACAGAACAUUCCAAACUUGGUCCCCUAACAUUUCUUCUUCUUCUUCUUUUUUUUAAAAAAAAGAGUUUAUUUUUUGUUUUAAAUUUUUUGAUAAAUUGAGAUGUUUUAGUGAAAUAUAUUAAGAAUUUUAUCAGAUUUUCCGUGAUUCCAUCAAAUUUAAAAGUUUUGACCAUUCCUAGCAAUUGAAACUUGAAUAAUUUAUAACUAACUAGAAUUGCCCCAAUUAAACAACUUUAGAAGAUAAACAUAUGUUAAGAGUUGAGGAGUCAAAUUCAAAGGAGCCUAUGAUUGAGCGCGUCUUCAUAGAGAUCUACCGAUUAUCUGCUCAUGUAUGCAGCAACCAGAGCUAAACUAUGUUUAUCAGGGCAAUAAUUCGCCCUUUUUUUUUUCAUGAUCUUAAGAACAUGGUUAUAAGCUUUAAUUAAAAUUACAGAGCUUGAUAACAAGUCGAACAAGUUUAUGACAAAAAUAAAUAUAUAUUAUAAGCACAGUCCCAAAAAAUUGUGGGAGCAUCAGAUUUAAUUACUUGGUAUCAUAUUACACGAACGAGCCAUAUUUCAUGCGGAAUAUAUUAAACAAAUAUGAAAAUACAUGAUGUGCAACAUAAUAUUUGACGCAUAUUGGGUGCAAUUAAUUCUAUGCACAUAUGCAUUUUGACUGUUCAAAUUGGAUGGUCCAAAUAGAACGAUCAGUCUUGAUUGAUAUAUAAGGUAUAUAUUUCAUUCAGUUACAUAUUUUAUUAGGAAAUAAAUCCAAUUUCAUUUGUUCCCUUUGUUUUUAAUAAAAUAGAAAUCAUUCACUAGGCUCAGCCUAAAUCUAAUAUUCAUAGUAAGGGUACCGACCGUCCCUAGAGCAAGUGACAAACGGCUUGGUGGUUGGUAUCCGACACUCAAGUUCGAAUCCUAGUUGAUUUACAUUUCUAGCUAAGUUUAUUUCUAAGUGAAAUAAAACGAAGUAGGUAGUAUGCUAUCUAUUUCUCAUAUAUAUAUAUAUAUAUAUAUAUAUAUAUAUAGAUAUUAGAAAAAAAAAUGUCGAGCUCAAUUAUAAAAAGAUUCAUUUAUAUAUAAAGUUGCAACUAUUCGAUCAAAAUCUAAUAGGUAAGAUUUUAUAAAUUUAUUUUUUAUUUAUAUAUCCAAUCUAAUUCAUUUAAUUUAUUGUUCGUUGGUCAGCUCGUGUUCGACUCGUUUAUUAAUGAGUCGAACACAAGUUGAAUUUUUCGGCUUGAUACUUUAACGAGUCAACUGGUGUUCAGCUCGAACACGAGUUGGCUCCAGCUCACUCGUGUUCGGCUCGUUAAUACUUAGAUCUUAGACAUCAUGAAAGCGCAGUUUGAAUAUCAAAAUAAGUUAUUCAAAGAGAAGAAUUGCUUGGGUGAUUAUAAGAAAGAAGUUUAAUUUUUUUCUCCAAGAAAAGAAUUUGAUAUCCAUAGUUAGAUAGCAUGAUAUAUUUUAUUUAUGAGAUUAUUUAAUUAUCUUAUCCAGAAAAUGACUUUCACAGGCUGCAUUAAUAUCAAAUUUUAAAUUUUUGAUCACACUGCUCAUAUAUUAAUAUUAUGUACAAAAUUUUCAAAUAAUAUUUAUAAAAUAUAUCAAAUAAGGUAUUCAUAAAUCCAAAUAGGGCCGAAGUUAGGACGGUAUAAACCAAGUUCAUUCAUCGAAACCAAACCGUACCUAACAACACGUCUUUUAUUAGAUAGUAACUGCCAAAGAGGACGGACCUGGACCAUGUCUCGUGGGCCUACUACCAUGUCUCGCGGAGGACCAUGUCGGUCCAUGAGAACACCUAAUAUUUUUUUAAAAAAUUUUAUUUUAAUAGAAUUAAUUUUUUUAAACCAUAUUAUUUAUUUAUGUAUAAUUAAUGACUAGUUAUUGUAAUAGAAUAAAAUUUUCUCAUUAUAGUAAUAUUUUUUUAAAAAAAGAUUUCUUUUUCAUUAUUGUUAAAAAUUUUUUGAUCCGUCUUUGUUUUCUCCAUCUUAUUAUGGUACAAAUUAAGAGAAAGCUAGAGUACUAUUAUAUACAACCCUUUGUUAAGAUAUUGGUGUGGCUAGGUCGAGUUAGGCUCAACGACAAGCCAUUAUUUCCACCCUAGUGUGCGCGCAUACACAAUUUGCAUUGCAUAAAGAGACACAUGUGAUCCAUUUUAUAGUACUAAUAAGCAACACUAGUACACAAUACUUAAGGAGAACAUUCAAUUGUAGAUAUUCAAACUUACAUGCUCACUGGACACACCGAAACAGAACAGAAACCACAAUGUCGAAGCAAGCUUAGCAAUUGGAUGCAGCUAACAUCCUUAUUUAUGUAAGUUAAGCAAACAAGAUAGCAAACUGCAGUGCAUUGCUAAAUCAUUUGCUUCCGACUUAUGCGUAGCUUCAAGUUUCAGAAACCAUCUUAAUAACUUCGACAUUGGCCCCUGAUUGUAGAGUGGGAUAGAGAGGAGCCAUGGCGAUUCCACAUAAUCCAGAUGAUGAUGACACACCUCUUGCCAUACGGACGUAUCCACGCUCACCCCAUGAGCUACCCCACGAGUUCCUUACUAUCCAAUAUUUUGUUCCACUGCUAUCCUGCCCGUAACCUAUAAUGGUGAUGGCAUGAUUGAGACUAGUUCCACAAGGUCCGCUAUACACACCGCCUCGGUAAUAUUGAAAGUUGUUUCCGCUGGCAUCGAUAAGAGCAGCUAUUGGUUGUUUCGACACAGCGUACAUCAUGCUGCGUUCGUUGUUCCUUUGCACAUAUGUAUAACCAGUAAUGUAAGCUGAGUUGGGCACGCUAUUGGCAGCGCAAGUGCCUUUGUAUCCUUGAUAAGGAUAGUAAGCUGCGGAGGUCACACCAUUGUUAGAUAUGAUGAAAUCGUAGGCCUUGUCCACCCAGCCGCCUUUGCACCCGUAGCUAACAGCACAAUCGAGAACUUCUUGCUCCGAUAGAGAUACUAAGUACCCUGUUUUGAUCUUGUAGAUUCCUUCCACUGUUGCAAUUGCACUGAAUGCCCAGCAAGAACCUAUGCCAAAACAAAGAUAUGCGUUCGCAUAACUACUGUUAGCAAAGUUAUAUAUGAUAUAGCCAUGAUAUAAGGAAACAUUCAAACUGACAUAAUUAGAUGUUAUUUGCAAGUACAGAGCUGCUUUUAACUUGUUUCAAUAGUUGUCAUGCAUAUGGAUGUCCUGUUCUUUCUGACUAGCACUUACUUUGCUUACUUCAGUAAUAUGAUUAUUGCAGUAACUUAAUUAAUAGUAAGAGACCCAGCAAUAGAUCUAACUUGCAGAUAGAUUGAAUCGAGUCGAAGCCUGUGAACAUUGUGCUUGAAUUCUUAAAUGCGAUGGAUGUGUCCUUUUUAUCACCAUGUAUGUAUUUUUGGAUGGUUUAUUAGCACUUACAUAUACAUUUGAUGGCUAAGUUGAUUUUUUAUUAACUAGAUUCAAUACUUCAUUUCCUUGUACACUGAUAAUAUGUGAUAAUACAUGUUUAGACCCUUUUAAUCAGCCAAAGUAAUGGAAUCAUUGAGUUUUAAUGGGUGGAAAUUUGGUCCUUUUGUCCAAAAAAGGCAUAAGGCAUUCGGUAGCAAGCAUAUUUGAUCUAAGCAACAUGUUAUAAAGUUAACUAAGAAUAGAUUUUUUUUUUUUCUAGCUGAAGAAAUGAAGGUGCUUUGAUAAUUUAUAGUCGAGAUUUCUUACCACAGCUGCCUUGAUUCCUGACACUUGUUACAGCACCAUAGUCUCUCCAAUCAAUACUUUGAGCCACCGCGGAGAUGUCUACGUCAUCAAACGACUCCACUAGCUCUGUCUCGAUAUUUAGUGGGAGAGAUACUCCAGUAUAUUGAGAAAUAAAUUCGUUAUUUGUCUUAUCGGUAAACUGAUUGAUACCGAGAGUGUACGAAUUUUCGCUAUGGUUGUUAAAGGUUUCAAUAUGGUUCACGUUGUUCUUGAAUAUCUGAAACCGCCGCAUCUUCUCGUCGUUGUCAUUGUAAACUCGGCCGUACUGAGCCAUCCAUUCUUCAAACCUCUUCAUCAUGGGGUCACUGGGUUCGCCAUGAGAAGCUGCCGAUGGCGAAGCCCACAUCACACAAAGAAACGAGAAAAGAAACAAAAGUUGAAAUUUGGAAGCCAUGCAUAUACAUAUGUAGCACUAAAUAUCUAGUAUAUGUAUGAGGAAAUUGGAGAUCGAGCUACAAGAGCUUGCUUUUGGUGCUGAGAGUAUGGUCUCAAGAUUGUGUUUUUAUAGAAGUUCAUGCCUACGAAUGUAGUUGGGAGUAUUAAUGGGUGGAGGCCUGCAAGAUUAAAUAGUUGUGGACCGCUUGCAACACCACGUCAUGUGGUCAUGUGGUAAUCACGAAAGAAUAAUGUUUCUCUACUUACUCCCACAUUUUAUCCUUGUAAUUUCUUUCAUAGGACAUAAGAUCAUCUUAGGUGCAAGCGAAUGGAACAUACGUUUCUCCAUUUCUAUCUCUUAACUCUUUAACCUUAAUCUUUCAUGCAUAAGCUAUAUUAUUUCUUGUUGUUUAUUUUUCCAUCGAGUAAGCACCAACGCAGGAAAUAAAAAGUCCACAAGUGGUUUAGCCCAUUAUAACUUUAUUUAGAAGCCUAGUAUCAUUCGAACUCAAGGCUACUAGCUUGCUCUAAUAUUGUACAAAAUAAUGUAAUACAACUGUUGUUCUCAAAAAACUGAAAAAUGACACAGAGCACUAGGUACUAAGUUUAAAUCUGAUCAGACUAGUUUCAUUUAACUUCGUUUCAUCUAAUUUAAGUGAAUUCAAAUUCAUAUUUUAAGUCUAUUAAAAUAUCUUGAGUCUAAACUUAAGAAAGAGUGUUGAUUUUAAAUAUUAAAAAUAUUUCUUUUCUUAUGGCUAUCCCUUAAGAAGAAGAUCCCCAUGGCCGAUAAUUUACUGAAAAAGGGAUGGUUGGGUGAUCCCCUCUGUGUCCUCUGUGGUGAAGUUAUGGAGACGGUGGACCACCUCCUUAUAGGAUGUGUGUACACUAAGUUUAUGCUUUUUCGAACCUUGGAGGACAUCCAGUGUUUACAGACUAUGGAGGACGUACCGAUGAUCUGGAGUAAAAUCACAAGAAUUAUUAGGUCGGGGGAGAUUUUGCAGGAUCUGAUUACCGAAGCAGUGUGCUGGUGGUUAAUCUGGAAGGAAAGAAAUAACGUGAUUUUUAAAAACCACUUUGCUGACCCUCUCUUCGUAGUCGGACAUAUCAAGGAGUUGGUAAGAGAGUGGAGGGACUUUUGUUGAGCUGUAUAACCUGUCGAUUACUUUUGUUGCUAUUUCUCUUUUCUUUUUCUUCUUUAUUUGAGCUAUAUUUUUCUUCUCGAGGCCAUGUUGACUCACUGUUUGUAGCCAAAUUUAUUUUCGAAAUGAAUGAUGCGGGUAACGUGCUACCUUUUUCUCAAAUAUAUAUAUAUAUAUAUAUAUAUAUAUUAUAUACUUUGCAAAAUUAAGUUUUUAGAGAUAAAUGAUUCUAUUUUUUUUUCCAUAUUAUAAUGAGCGAUUAUAAUCUAAUUCCUACUAGGGAUGCAAACGGGGCGGUCUGGGGCGGGAAGUUCCUCCACCUCCCGUUCAUUUUUUAUCUGGGCGGGAGCGGUCGGAGGCGGGUUACUUUUCAUUAUUUUUGGUUCCCACUUACCGCUCCAUUCGGAGGCGGAUCGGAGCGGGAGCCGGAUUUUUGACGGAUCGGGCGGAUUGAAGAAGAAAAGAGUCUCCCACCUCCCGCUCCAUUUACGUUGGCGAUCGGGAACGGAUUCGGGACGGUUAUAUUUUUUAUAUAUUUUUGUUCCACUUUACCACUCCAUUCGGGCGGAGCUCCACCAACCCGGAUCCAUUGGCACCCUAAUUCCUACUUUAAUUACCAUUAGAAAAUAAAUAAUAUACCUAAUUUAUAAUGAUUUUACUCCAACCACUUUUCAUCUACUAGCAUGCUCCAUUCCACGUGUCCUAAGUUAGAAGACAAUCCAAAAUAUGAAGAACCCGAGUUAAAGAUUGCAGUAAAGUUAAUUUAAUGAUAACUUCAAUUUAUAUACCUCCAUGAUUUAGUGGAUUUUUUACAUUUGUUCUCUGUGUUCAAAAAUUUUACUUAAUUAUCAUGUAAUUUAUUUUAUUUCACAGAUAUGAUAGAAUCUAACAUAAAGUUAGCAAAGUGAAUUUAUUUUAAAUAAAGUUAUAAAGUGGUAUCCGUUAAAAUAAACUUUACAAUAAAAUAAAAUUAAUAUUAUGGAUGUUAAGUAUAAUAUUGAACUUUUCAACCAUGUAAAAAGUGAUUAAAAACAUUAAACAACGGUACGAAAAAUUAAGAAUUAUCUAAUUUAAUUCAUCGCACUAACUCGAUCCAAUUCAUUCAUUUCCUUGAUCCAAGAUUCCACAAUCUCAUUCUCCCCAAAUAUUUGAGUGCAAAUAUAACAUAUGUUACAAAAGUCAAACGCAUUAUAAAUUUUUUGUAUAAAUUUUUAAACUCUAUAAAAUUAAUCAAAUAAUUAAAUUUGAUUUUAAAUUUUUUUAGAGAAAAGAUAAUUAGUUACACUUUUGUUCAUUUUGUGAUUUUUUUUUUCGAGUAAAAUCUAAUAAGAGAUUUAGUGCCAACAUGCAUGUGUGUAAUUAUUAAGUAUUUUAAGAAUAUAUCAGUUAUAUGAUGAAGUUGCAUUUUCAACCAAUCAAGUAAUUUGUUUAAAUUUAUCUCUUUCAUCAAAUUAUUAAAAAAUAAUAUUAUUAUAUUUUAAAAAUAUAAUUAAUUUAUUAUUUGAUAAUAUAUAUAAAUAUAAUAUAGUAAAUUUUCGUCAUCAUAUUUGUUUGGACCGAUGUAAUCAGGUAGGGGACAAUCACUCUGGGGGGCGUUUGGAUUGACGAAUUUUUGUAGAUUCUACAACGUAUAGUCAAGUGUAUGUGUUGUGAGUUUUCCCUGAUGGUGAUUAUUUUUCUGUGUUUGUUUUGACAGUAACUCGUACCACUGAAAGUUAAAUUCAAUCACUUCUGCUGUUUGUUUUGAUGUAACUUGGUGCUGGUAAAAUUAGUUUUUUGAGUUCCGUUGUUUGUUUUGAUGUAAGUAAGUGGAUCCCAUUAUCUCCUAAAUAUAGUAAUAAAUUUAUCACUAUAAAAUUUAACCUAUUAUAUAAUUAAAUUUUUUAUUAUUAUUUAAAGAUAAUCUUAAUUUAUUAUAAAUAAGGUAAUUCUAACCCAUUAUAAAGAAAGUAGAGUUUAGGUUUUACUGUUUAAUAAAUUGUUUAGAGAAGGUUGAGUGUGGUGGAAGUCGAGUUCGGUACUUUAGAGCCGGAAGUCGAGAGUAGGUGAAGUGGAGCUCUAACGUAACUUGAGUUACAUUAUAUUUUUCACUUACACCAAAACAAAUAACGGAAGUGAUGGAACUUGAGUUCCAUCACUCCACUUACACCAAAAUAAACGGGCCCUCUAUGCACAAGAGUUAUUGCAAUUGAUGUGUUGUUUAUUGGGACAAAAAUUUUAUGGGCAUAGCCCCAAAACCAAUUAGUUUGGGGACUAUGCCGAUCGGUGCCACGUGACUGAUCCGACCGCCACAGAUGGAAAGACAAAAAAGAAAUCCUGUGUUUUUAGAGAGAGAGAGAAAAUAAUUGAAAUCCGUGGCCGUCGGAUCGGCCACAUGGGGCCGAUCGGCAUACUCCCCAAACUAAUUUUGUUUGGGACUAUGCCCAUAAAAUUUUUGUCCAGCUGAGCAUGUGUUGCACAACUUAAGGAGGAGUGAUAAGAGAGGCGAGCAUUAUAAAUUAUCAAUGCCGUCCAGUCUCUCUUAAAUUAUUAUGAAUAUAUUACAAAAACCUUUUAAGAGAAUAGUCUUUAUCAUAAAUAAUGUUGAUAGUUGCAAAAUACUUAUUUUGCCAUUGACUAUUAUAUAUAUUAUUAAUGUGGCUUAAAUUUUCUAUAAGGACUUGUUUGGUUCAAGGGUGGAAUUAGAGUAGAUAAUGAAAUGGAAAUGAAUUGGAAUGGUAAUUAGAAUGAUCCAUUCUCCCAAGACGUUUGGUUUAUUUGUGGAUUGAGAAUUGAAAUGAGUUAUUCACAUUUCAUUGUUUGGUUCGUAUAAACUAAAAAAGUUAUAGGAUACUAUAAUACUAAUUUUACUCUCAUAUAUAAAUUUAUAUUAUUUAAAAUUUAUGAAAAAUAUAAUACUAUUCUCUAAUAAGUUUUUCAAAAAAAAAAUCAAAUUUAUUUUUAAAAACUUUUAUUGAUGUGGGUUAGGAAUAGGAUUUUGAGAGAUGAUAGGUUUUUUUUUUUAUUUUUUUUCUGAUGAGAAAAGGGUGAAGAGAAGGAAGGNGGUGAGAUGGUCACAUGGGUUUUGAGAACUUAGUAGACUUCCGGAAUGAAAUAUCAAUCUAGGCUAAAAGACCGGAAUCAAGUUGAGGGCUAAUGGGCCAUUCCCAUUCCAGUCCGGAAUAGGAAUCCCAAUCCGAUUCAUGCGAACCAAACAAAAUUAACCGGAUUUAAUCAAACUGAUUUCCAUUCCAUAUCCAAAAUGGAUGAACCAAACAAGCCCUAAGUGAUAUUCAAAAUUUAAAAACGACGAUAUUGGCCCAGGCUAUUCAUGGAAUGAGGACCGCUCAACGGACCCUACAUAUUUUUUGAAAAUGCCCUCUAAAUAUUUUAUCAAUAAUUUUUAUUAUCAUGCAUGCAUCACAUGAAUAAUUUAAAAACAAAAAUAAAAAUAAAAAUUAGAAUUAAAACUAAAAUUAAAAUUUAAUAAAGAUAUAAAUUUAAAUUUUAAAUUUGAAUUUAAAUUUUUAAUUUAAAGCUGCAAUCAAUUUUAAAUCUAAAUUUAAAUUUGAAAUUAAAUAUAAAACUAAUUCAACAGCUAGAUUUGAAAUUAACAUUAGUGUAAUUCUUAAUUUUGAAUUCAAUUGAAUUUAAAAAUUAAUAUUAAAAUUCAAAAUUCGAAUUUACAUUUGAGUGUAUCUAAUAUCAAAGUUUAAAUUGAAAAUUGACUUAAAGAAAUAUAAGAAAUAUAAUUAUAAAUUUUGGAACUACUUAGAGAUAAAAUUGAAUAAUUUAAAAUUUAACUAGUGGUAAACUAAUUUCGAGCUAAUCAAGAUUAGCAUAACACUCUGUGUUGUGAGAUAACAUGAGAAAUAUUUAUGGUAUAGCACAUUCUAUUGAAAGAGCGUAUAUGAUAAUGUGAUAUUUUUUAGAAGCAUUCGCGAUAGUUUAAGAUUUUGAGUGGUUAUAAAAUUGCCCCGAAAAAUAUUGGCGGUUCGAACUCUCACGAGCAUGUUUCAAAAUUUAGAAAAUUAAUCUCCCUGACUUUCGACGGUGUUCUUAAGGUAAGGAACUUUAGAGGGAAAAAGUUACAUACUUAAUUAGAGGGAAAAAGUUACAUACUUAAUUAGAGGGAUCGCAUUUCGGAAAUUUGAAGAUGAGUUUUUCGCCAAGUCCAGAUUUCACACUUAGAUACAUAAUAAUAAUAAUAUGAUUUGAACACUCAUAAAAGAUGAUAACAUGCGUGUACGCACUUUUAAUAUGCACAAGACAUAGACUAUAACGAAGGUAUGUUGGUAUAAGUAAAAUUUACCUUUGUCCAAAUAAUAGGUGAAAGAUGGAAAAAGUAAUGAGAUUUGAAUUCUUUUUUUUUACCCUCAACUCAGUUGGUUUGUUCUUGUUAUAGUGGCAUCCGACUGCAACAUACAUAUAUACCGAUUAUAUACUCAGAUACAAGUUUAGUUCGAACAGAUAUAUGAGAAUUUGGUAAAUUGCACUAUAGGUCUCUAAACUUUAAAUUUAGUCAGGCUAAAUUACAGAAAAUUUCUUUGUCAAUAUCUGCUUUUUUACUUUUUCUCUCCGUCAUUCAAAAAUCUAUACUUCGUCCCCUUAAAAAGUAAAAAAUAUUCAUUUCGGUUCUUGCCGUCAGUGUUCCAUUAAGGUUCCGUUUAUAUUUUAUUUUUUAAAUUCAAAAUUGUUAGGAUUUGGUUAGAUUUGUAGUUGAAUCCUAUUUUGGAUAAGAAUUAAUAUUUAAAUCUGUUGGAGAUAAAUUAAGAUUUAAAUAUUAAUUAGAGUAUAAAUCUAAAUAGAUUAGAAUUAAUAUUUAAAUCUAUUAGAGAUUAAAUUAAGAUAGAUUUAUAUAUUAAUUAAAGUCGGAAUUCUAAAUAUACUAGGAUUGGGUAUGUUUUCGUAGGUGCUAUAUAUAUAUAGCAUUGGAGCUAAUUAAUUAGCAAGAAGCCAAGAAGGCUGUGAGGUGUACUGCCAAGAGAGAGAUUCUCUUUGGGGUGUGAAGUACCUGAGAGAAAAAGAGAGAGUUAUCCAAUGAGUUGAGUACACCUAGUGCACGGGUGCGCGUAGAGAAUUGUCUACUUUGUGGGAUUAUAGAAGACGAGAGAAGGGUAGAAAAGAUUCAAAAUAAGGGCUCGGGUUGUAGCUACUCUGUUGCAGAAGAGGAGUCAGAUGUAAUCUUUUCUUAUUUAAUGAAUUUUAUUUUACCUGCAUAUUUUUCUUUUUUAUUAUUAUAUUAGCUUUUUCUGAAGAGACGAGUUUAUGGUGAAAACCCGAUUUGACGUUUUCGUUGCGGAAUCCCAAUAAUCUGUUGCGGAUUCAUAAGAUCCGGUACCGGGACAAGUACCGGAUUCCCAACAAUUAGUAUCAGAGCUGAAGGUUACCGAUCCAAGGGAGAGAUCGGCGAAAAUGGCCACGAAAUUCGAAAUCAAGAAGUUCGACAGCAAGAACAAUUUCGGAUUGUGGCAAAUUAAAGUACGGGUAAUCCUCGUACAGCAAGAGUUAGACGAGAUGUUGAACGGGAAGGAGGCGAAGCCGGUGGAGGUCACGGAUGCGGCAAGGACGAAGAUGGAGCGGAAGGCGCUGAGCACGCUUCAUCUAUUAUUAGCAGAUGAGGUUCUUUACAACGUAGCCAGCGAGACGACACCGACAAAGUUGUGGAAGAAAUUAGAUGAUCUGUACAUGACCAAAUCCUUGACAAACAGGUUGUCUUUGAAGCAACGAUUGUUUACGCUGCGGAUGCAAGAAGCGGCAAGUCUACAUGAGCAUCUAAACGAGUUCAACAAGGUGGUGGCCUAGUAGACUAGCAUCGGAGUCAAUCUGGAUGACGAAGAUAAGGCGCUGAUUUUACUAUCUUCGCUACCGGCGACAUAUGAGCAUCUAGUGACCACAUUGCUUUAUGGCAAGGAGACCAUAAGCGUGGAGGCAGUCACAGGGGCGCUUCUCUCGAACGAGAUGCGGAAGAUGACUCAGGAGUCCGGCAUGCAGAGACAGGAUACUGCUUGGUGGUGAGAGCGAAGAAGGAGACGACAACAUCAGCGACUGAAGAUCGACAGAAGAAGUCACUAUUCGAGGUGGAGUGCUUUUACUGUCACAGGAAAGGACAUAUCAAGCGCAAAUGUCGGGAACUUCAGAAUGAUCUGAAGGAGUUAAAGCGACAAAAGGAGAAAACUGUCGUGAACCAGAACGAGGCGAUAACAGCGAUGGCGCAGGCGGCAAAGUCGGAGAUGAUCGAUUCUGAUGUGCUAUAUGCGGCGACCGGAGGUGCGAAAAUUUCGGAUGAUGCGUGGGUGCUCAAUUCGGCGUGUUCCUUUUACGUAUGCCCGGAGGAGGUGUCUUUUGCCACCUAUAAGGCGAUCAAGGGUGGAAAAGCUCUGAUGAGGAACGGGACGGCGUGCAAAGUUUUGGGAGUCGGCACGGUAAAGAUCCGAAUGCACGAUGGGAUCAUGAGGACGCUGACAGGUGUGCGACAUGUUCCUGGAUUGAAGCGGAAUUUGAUCUCGUUAGGCACGUUGGACUCGAAGGGUUGCGAUAUUUCAGUUUCAGGUGGAGCUAUGAGGGUCUGAAAAGGAGAUCGGGUCAUGUGCGAGGCGAACAAGCGUGGGAAUUUAUACGUUCUGAACGGGAGCACAGUCAGAAUAGAAGGAAAGACGGUUUGGGUUCCAAAAGUUCGCGGAUGUGCAGUCGCUCGAGGCGAAGCAACGGAUGCAGCAACAUCGAGCGGAGAAGACAAGCUCAAGGUGGAGCUUGCAUGGUAAGCUCGAUGUAGCGGUUGAAGACUACAAAUUCAACCAAGGUGGAGAUUGCUAGGAUUUGGUUAGAUUUGUAGUUGAAUCCUAUUUUGGAUAAGAAUUAAUAUUUAAAUCUGUUGGAGAUAAAUUAAGAUUUAAAUAUUAAUUAGAGUAUAAAUCUAAGUAGAUUAGGAUUAAUAUUUAAAUCUAUUAGAGAUUAAAUUAAGAUAGAUUUAUAUAUUAAUUAAAGUCGAAAUCCUAAAUAUACUAGGAUUGGGUACGUUUUCGUAGGUGCUAUAUAUAUAUAGCUGGGGCUAAUUAAUUAGCAAGAAGCCAAGGAGGCUGUGAGGUGUGCGGCCAAGAGAGAGAUUCUCUUGGGGUGUGCCGUACCUGAGAGAAAAAGAGAGAGUUAUCUAAUGAGUUGAGUGCACCUAGUGCACGGGUGCGCGUGGAGGAUUGUCUUCUUUGUGGGAUUAUAGAAGACGAGAGAAGGAUAGAAAAGAUUCAAAAGGAGGGCUCGGGUUGUAGCUAAUCUAUUGCAGAAAAGGAGUCAGGCGUAAUUUUCUAUUAUUUAAUGAAUCUUAUUUUAUCUGCAUAUUUUUCUCUUUUAUGAUUGUAUCAGAUUUUGCUGAGAAGACAGGUUUAUGGUGAAAGCCCGAUUCGACGUUUCCGUUGCGGAAUCCCAACAAUCUGUUGCGGAUUCACAAGAUUCGGUACCGGGACGAGUACCGGAUUCCCAACAAAAAUAUUUCUAAAAUUCUCAUCCAUACCCACACACAUAUGCCACCUCACUCUGGCCCACCCCUCUGUCCAUGCGUAGAUGCACACCCUUGCUCUCUGCCGCCGGAAUGAACAAGAUUGGGAAGAAGGACAUAAAGAAAAUGAGGACAAUUUGUUCAUUUUAUCACACAAUAUUUAUUUAUAAAUAUUUUUAUUUUUCAAAAAUAUAAAGUUUAGAUUUUUAAACGACAAAAAAAAAGAAAAACAGUUAUUGGCCUAAGGUUUUUAUAUAAUUGAGCCAUUUAGUUAAUGCGGAGACAGUCCAAACUGAAAAAUUCUAGAAUGCAACGGGUAUAUUAGUGGCGUGGCGUAACAAACCAAUCAAAUUAAUCUUUUUAAGAAUAUAUGUCCCAUCAUGAUUGUAAAAAAGUAUUUUUAUUGUACUUUUGUUUGAAAAGAAUAAAUGUGAUUGGCUUGUUAUUGAUGACGUGGUGCAAAUGUGACAGUGUAGAAUUCCUCUUCCAAACUAGGCCACGCCCUCAGCUCCAGAACAUUCCAAACUAGGUCCCAAAACGUUUCUUUUUUUUUAAAAAACAAGUUUAUUUUUGUUUUUUAUUUUUUUGAUAAAUUGAGAUGUUUAAAAUAUAUUAUAAUUUUUUAUNUUUAAAUCUAAAUUUAAAUUUGAAAUUAAAUAUAAAACUAAUUCAACAUCUAGAUUUGAAAGUAACAUUAGUGUAAUUCUUAAUUUUGAAUUCAAUUGAAUUUUUUCAAAAUUCGAAUUUACAUUUGAGUGCAUCUAAGAUCAAAGUUUAAAUUGAAAAUUGACCAAUAAUGUAAGCUGAAUUGGGCACGCUAUUGGCGUUACAAGUGCCUUGGUAUGCUUGAUAAGGAUAGUAAGCGCGCUUCGGAGGUCACACCGUUGUUAGAUAUGAUGAAAUCGUAGGCCUUGUCCACCCAGCCGCCUUUGCACCCGUAGCUAACAGCACAAUCGAGAACUUCUUGCUCCGAUAGAGAUACUAAGUACCCUGCUUUGAUCUUGUAGAUUCUUUUCACUGUCGCAAUUGCACUGAAUGCCCAGCAAGAACCUAUGCCAGAACAAAGUUUUACGUUAGCAUAACUACUAUAAGCAAAGUUAUAUAUGAUAUAGCCAUGAUAUAAGGAAACAUUCAAACUAACAUAAUUAAACGUUAUUUGCAAGUACAGAGCUGCUUUUAACUUGUUUAAGAUUUUGAGUGGUUAUAAAAUUGUCCCUAAAAAUAUUGGCGGUUCGAACUCUCAUCACGACCAUGUUUCAAAAUUUAGAAAAUUAACUAGUAGAGGGAAAAAGUUACAUACUUAGAGGGAUCACAUUUCGGAAAUUUGAAGAUGAGUUUUUCGCCAAGUCCAGAUUCCACACUUAGAUACAAAAUAAUGAUUUGAACACUCGUAAAAGAUGAUAGCAUGUGUGUGCGCACUUUUAAUAUGCACAAGACAUAGACUAUAACGAAGGUAUGUUGGUAUAAGUAAAAUUUACUAUUGUCCAAAUAAUAGGUGUAAGAUGGAAUAAGUAAUGAGAUUUGAUUUCUUUUUUUUACCCUACAACUCAGUUAGUUUGUUCUUGUUACAGUGGCGUCCGACCGCAACAUACAUGUAUACCGAUUAUAUACUCAGAUACAAGUUUAUUUCGAACAGAUAUAUGAGAAUUUGGUAAAUUGCACUAUAGGUCUCUAAACUUUAAAUUUAGUUAGGCUAAAUUAUAGAAAAAUCUCUCUGUUAACAUCUGUUUUUUCACUUUUCCUCCAUGUCAUUUAAAAAUCUAUACUUCGCCCCCUUAAAAAAUAAAAAAUAUUCAUUUCGGUUCCUGCCGUCAGUGUUCUGUUGAGGUUCCAUUUAUAUCUUAUUUUUUUAAUUCAAAAUAUUUCUGAAAUUCUCAUCUAUAUCCACACACAUAUGCCGCCUCGCUCUGGCCCACCCCUCUGUCCAUGCGUAGAUGCACACCCUUGCUCUCUGCCGCCGGAAUGAACAAGAUUGGGGAGAAGGAAAUAAAGAAAAUUAGGACAAUUUGUUCAUUUUUAUCACACCAUAUUCAUCUAUAAAUACUUUUUAUUUUUCAAAAAAGCAAAGUAUAGAUUUUUUUUUUUAAAAAAAAAAGAAAAACGGCUAUUGGCCUAAGGUUUUCAUAUAAUUUAGCCAUUUAAUUAAUGCGGAGACAUUCCAAACUGAAAAAUUCUAGAAUGCAACGGGUAUAUUAGUGACGUAGCGCGGCAUAACAAACCAAUUAAAUUAAUCCUUUUAAAAAUAUAUGUCCCAUCAUGAUUGUAAAAAAGUAUUUUUAUUGUACUUUUAUUUUGAAAAGAAUGAAUAUGAUUGGCUUGUUAUUGAUGACGUGGUGCAAAUGUGACAGUGUAGAAUUCCUCUUCCAAACUAGGCCACGCCCUCAGCUCCAGAACAUUCCAAACUAGGUCCCAAAACGUUUCUUUUUUUUAAAAAAAAAGUUUAUUUUUGUUUUUUAUUUUUUUGAUAAAUUGAGAUGUUUAAAAUAUAUUAUAAUUUUUUAUCAGAUUUUCCGUGAUUCCAUCAAAUUUAAACAGUUUUGACCAUUUCUGGCAAUUGAAACUUGAAUAAUUUACUAAAAUUUUCAAGAUAUAUUUAUAAAAUAUAUCAAAUAAAAUAUUCAUAUAUUUACAUAGGGCCGAAGGUAGGACGGUAUCAAUCCAAAUUGGAUUAAACCAAGUUCAUUCAUCGAAACCAAACCAUACUUAACAAAACGUCUUUUAUUAGGUAACUGCCAAAGAGGAGAACCAUGUCGGUCCAGGAGAACACCUAAUAUUUUUUAAAAAAUUUAUUUUAAUAGAAUAAUUUUUUUAAAAAAAAUAUUAUUUAUUUAUGUAUAAUUAAUGACUAGUAAUUGUAAUAGAAUAAAAUUUUCUCAUUAUUGUAAUAUUUUUUUUAAAAAAAGAUUUAUUUUUCAUUAUUGUAAAAUUUUUUUUGAUCCGUCUCUGAUUUCUCCAUCUUAUUAUGGUACAAAUUGAGAGAAAGCUAGAGUACACAAUUGCAUUGCAUAUAGUUAAGAUAUUGGUGUGGCUAGGUCGAGUUAGGCUAAACGGAAAACCCUUAUUUCCACCCUAGUGUGCGCACAUACACAAUUGCAUUGCAUAAAGAGACACAUGUGAUCCAUUUUAUAGUACUAACAAGCAACACUAGUACACAAUAAUGAAGGAGCACAUUCAAUUAUAGAUAUUCAAACUUACAUACUGGCAGGACACACCGAAACAGAACAGAAACCACAAUGUCGAAGCAAGCUUAGCAAUUGGAUGCAGCAAACAUCCUUAUUUAUGUAAGUAAAGCAAAUAAGAUAGCAAACUGCAGUGUUGCUAAAUCAUUUGCUUCCGACUUAUUACGUAGCUUCAAGUUUCAGAAACCAUCUUAAUAACUUCGGCAUUAGCCCCUGAUUGUAGAGUGGGAAAGGAGAAGGAGCCAUGGCGAUUCACAUACUCCAGAUGACGAUGACACACCUCUUGCCAUAGCGGACGUAUCCACCCUCACCCCAUGAGCUGCCCCACGAGUUCCUUACUAUCCAAUAUUUUGUUCCACUGCUAUCCUGCCCGUAACCUAUAAUGGUAUGGCAUGAUUGAGACUAGUUCACAAGGUCCGUAAACACACCGCCAUGGUAAUAUGAAAGUUUUCAGCUGGCAUCGAUAAGAGCAGCUAUUGUUGAUUCGACACAGCGUACAUCAUGCUGCGUUCGUCGUUCCUUCGCACAUAUGAAUAACGCAUAAUGUAAGCUGAAUUAGGAAAGCUAUUGGCGUUGCAAGUGCCCUUGGAAUGCUAGAUAAGGAUAGUUUCUUCGGUGGUCACACCGUUGUUAGAUAUGAUGAAAUCUAGGCCUUGUUCACCCAGCCGCCUUUGCACCCUAGCUAACGACACAAUCGAGAAUUCUUGCUGCCGAUAAAGAUACUAAGUACCCUGUUUUGAUCUUGUAGAUUCCCUCCACCGUCGCAAUUGCAGCGAAUGACCAGCAAGACCCUAUGCCAAAACGAAGAUAUAUACGCAUAGCAUAACGACUGUAAGCAAAGUUAUAUCUGAGAUUGCUAUGAUAUAAGAAAACAUUCAAACUAACAUAAUUAAACUGUAUUUGCAAGUACAGAGCUGCUUUUAACUUGUUUUCAAUGGUUUCAAGCAAUAUGGAGGUCCUGUUCUUUUUGACUCACACGUACUUUGCUUACUUUAGUAGUAUGAUUAUUGCAUAACUUAAUAAUAGUAAGAGACUCAGCAAUAGAGCUAACUUGCAAAUAGAUUGAAUCAAGUCGAAGCCUGUGAACAUUGUCCUUGAAUCCUUAAAUGCGAUGGAUGUGUCUUUUUAUCACCAUGUAUGUUUUGAUAGUUAAUUAACACUUAUAUAUACAUUUGAUGCUAAGUUGAUUUUUUAUACUAGAUUCAAUACUUCAUUUCUUUGUACAUUGAUAAUGUUGUGAUUAUACAUGUUUAGACACUUUAAUAGCCAAAGUAAUGGAAUUAUUGAGUUUUAGUGGCGGAAAUUUGUCCUUUUGUCCAGAAAAGGCAGAAGGCAUUCGGGUAGCAAGCAUAUUUGAUCUAAGCAACAUGUUAGCAGCAUCUUAUAAAGUUAACUAAGAAUAGAUUUUUUUCUUUUUUCUAGUUGAAGAAAUGAAGUUGCAUUGACAAUUUAUAGUCUAAAUUAUUUCUUACCACAGGGGUUUUGAUUCUUGACCUCGUUUACGGCACCAUAGUCUCUCCAAUCAAUACUUUGAGGCACCGCGGAGAUGUUUACGUCAUCAAAUGACACCACUGGCUCUCUCUCGAUAUUUAGUGGGAGAGAUACGCCGGUAUAUUGAGCAACAAAUUCGCUUUUUGUCAUAUCGGUAAACUGAUUGAUACCGAGAGUGUACGAAUUUCCGUUGCGACUGUUAAAGGUUUCGAUAUGCUUCACGUUGUUCUUGAAUAUCUGAAACCGGCGCAUCUUCUCGUCGUCGUCCUUGUAAACUCGGCCGUACUCCGCCAUCCAUUCUUCAAACCGCUUCAUCAUGGGAUCAUUGGGUUCGUCACGAGAAGCUGCCGAUGGCGAAGCCCACAUCGCACAGAGAAACAAGAAAAGAAACACGAGUUGAACUUUGGAAGCCAUGCUUAUGUAGCACUAAAUAUCUAGUAUAUGUAUGAGGAACUUGGAGAUUGAGCUACAAGAGCUUUUGUUGCUGAGAGUAUGGUCUCAAGAUCGAGUUUAUAUAGAAGUUCAUGCCUUCGAAUGUACGGGGGAGAAUUAAUGGGUGGGGGCCUACAAGACGUCACAAAUCGCCAUCAAAUUAAGAUUAAAUAGUUCUGGACGGCUUGCGACACCACAUCGUGUGGUCACUAGUGUAGUGAUCCGCGCAUUACGCCGAGUAGAUACUAUUAAAAUAAAAUUUUGUAUAAAAUAAAAUAUUAGUUUAGUAUGAAAAAAUAGUAAAUAUAGUCUAUAUUAUAAACAAACACUUCUAAACAAAAUAAAACUAAAAUGAAAAAAAAUUAAUCGUUUCAAUAAAAUUAUUCAAGCUUGUUAAAAAAAAAAUCGCAUAUCAUACAAAUGGAUGAUUAAAAUUAAUUUUAUAAUACAAUAAUCAGUUAAAAUAUCAUAUAGCAGUUGAUAUGACUAAAAAAAAACUCACAAUAAUUAAUAUGCAAGACAAUUAAUAUAUACAGAGAUAAUGUGAAACCAUAUAUACAUUAUGAGGAGAUGAUGUGAAGCCAUACAUCCUUACGUGUCUGUCGAGGUCUUGAAGUGCGUGAUGUUGAAAAUAAUUAUUACAACAGAAUUACAUUAUAAGAACACAUUUUCAGAACACUUUUGUGUAAUCAUAUUUAUACUAAAAUUUUUAAAAAAAAUUUAGUAAGAUCUAAAUAUAAAGCGCAAUUCAAUUAAAAACAAAAAGUCUCCUACUCAACUAGCCGCACUCAGCCCACUCGGUCUACUCGGCCUGAUUACAAAUAGAAAAAAAUAAAAAUAAAAAAUUGAUCACCAUCUUCUCUUCUCCUCCUCCGCCGUCGCAGCAUCUUCUCUUCUCCUCUGUCGCCGCAACUGACGAGGUAGAAUUCCGGCGGCUGGAGUUCGGUUGCGAGAAUCUCGCAGGGACCGUCGAGGGCUAUAAUCGCCACAUGUCCUUCUGUCACAGUUUGCUAGAGGAGUGAGUGACAAACAUCAAAUCUGCCAUACAUAUAACGACCCCACAUAGAAUAACACUUUUAAAAGUGUCGGUAAUUUAGCUAACAUCAUUUUUUUUUACCUAUACUGAAAUUUAGAAGUGUCGCUAUGUACCGUUUUUGUUGUAAUAUUAAUGGAGGGGGAACCUACGGUUUCGAACGGAUUGUUGCUUGUAAUCUAAAAAUUUUAACACAUUCUCAAGAAACAUCAACAAAACUUUUAUUAAAAUUUAAAAAGGAGGGUGAAAGAUCAAACGGUAAAGGAGAAGAGUAAAAAAAAAAUAAUGUUAGCUCUUUAAGCCUUAUUAAAUCUAAAGAAAAGAAGAAAAAGUUAAAAAAAAAAGUAGACCCUACUAAUCCUAAAAUUUAGUCAUAAAGAUUAAUGUAUAGAUAUAGUAGUAUAGAUAUUCUAAUCACAAAAAUAUUUAAGUUUCUCUACUUUUGUCACAUUUUAACUUUAUAAUUUCUUUCGUAGGACAUUAAGUGACUAAAUAGAACUCGACGUACCCCUACUCGUCAUGAGAUCAUCUUAGGUGCAAGCAAAAGGAACGUACGUUUCUCCAUUUCUAUCUUUUGACUCUCUAAAUUUAAUCUUUCGUGCAUAACUUCUUGUCUAUUUUUCUGUUGCUUAAGCACAACGCAGAAAAUAAAAAGACAAGUGGUUUAGCCCAUUAUAAAUUUAUAUAGAAGCCUAGUAUCAUUCAAACUCGAGGCUACGUCAUCUGAUAUUAUGUAAAACUAGUGUAGAGACUCGCGCGACGCAGCGGAUAGAUAAUUGAAAUAAAAUUUUAAAGUUUUAAUAAAAUUUAUAUUUACAGCUUAUUGAUGUAUAGAAAGCUAUACCAUAUUAAGUACAACCAAUUUGCAUGACUAAAUUUAAUUUUUAAAAAUUUAAAAUUAUAGUUAGAAACUUAUAUAAUUUUUUUUAAAAUUAUCGAAAUAUAGUAAGAGACAUACAAUUUUAUCAUAUUAUGUAACUUUUGAACAUUCCAUUGUAAAAGAUAAAAAAGAGCCAGCUCUAGUUGUAUCAAGCACUUCUGUCCAAGUAUCAAAACAAAUUGAGAAUAUGAAACACAUAAACAAUAAGUUAACGUAUCUGGCUUAAGAAAAUUUUGGGUGAGAUCUCAGGUUCCAAUCUCCAGUUCUCCACAUCAUACUUUUUAGUUUACGAAAGGGACUUUACCUACAACAGUGCCUACUCAAAAAAGUGGUCAUGGGAUGAAAAUAAAAUAAAAACAUAAAUUAAAAAAAACUAAUAAUUUUUGGAGCACUUCUUCAUCCACACGAGCUUGCUCAUCCAAACCUUAUAUAUCUUCUUAAAUUCAGCUGGUAGUUGCCCCCCUCGUCGAGUCGCUUUUGGAUUUCUAUUGGGAUUUAUGAACAAACACCUCAUCUGCAUUACCAAACUGUGAUAUCUAAACCGAUAUAGCCUUAUUAUCACAUCAACCACAGAAAUUCUAAUUCUAAAAUAAUUUGGAUUUACUAAGAAGUUCCUGCGAUUCUCAAGAAGCGAGCUCCCGCGCAGCGUCCCCUUGAAGAGGUGGCUUAGAACGCCGCUCGCCUCGGCCCAGUUGUGGGUGCACGCGAGCUGCGCGAGGAGGCAGCCGAGGCAGUGGCGGUUCACAGCUAGCUGCUCGGCUUCGCAGGAUGAUAAUUCUCGAAGGAAGCAACGUUCUUUGCAGGCUUUUCUUCUUCUUCUUUUUCUUUUUCUUCUUCAUCGUCCUCAUUAUUUUCAUUAAUGCAAUGAGAGAGAGAGAGAGAGAGAGAUGAGCGUUGUGGUGGGAGAUUAGAUGAUAAUGUUGCAUGAAAAAUAUCAGGUCAUGCAAAAAGUAGAGGGCGGGGGAAUUAAUGGAGGAUGGGAGUUGAUUGGAGUUACAAAACCCACUCAUUAAUGGAGGAGUUACAAAGCCCACUCAUUAGUAGGGGGCGGGAUUAAUGAAGGAGGGGAGUGGACUGAAGUUAUAAAACCCACUCAUUAGUAGAAUAUCAUGUAUGUAAUUAAAUAUUACAUCAUGAAUUAAUUAAUUAAUUUAAUUUCAAGGUGAGUGCUAGAAAAAUCACCUGUGGAAGAGAAAGAGCCAAGAAAGAGCCAAUGAAGAAGGUAGCGCCUCCGUGAUUUAGUAGAUUUUUACUUUGUUUUUCUGUAGUUUAAAAGUUGCACUUAAUUAUCAUAUAAUUUUAUUUUUAUUUUACCGAUAGAAUUUUGACAUAAGUUAGCAAAGUAAAUUUUUUUUAAAAAAAAAUCAUAAAGUGAUAUCCUGCUUAACAAUAAAUUCUUACAAUAAAAUAAAAAUAAUAUUAGUAGAAUAGUUAAGUACUAGUGUAGUGACCCGCGCGAUGCAGCAAAAAAAAAUAUUUUAAUAAAAAUUUACAAAUUAAACAAAUAAAUAUGAAUGUAAAGAAGAAAAAAAAUAUAUAACUAAAUUUGAUUAGACUUAAUAAUAUAAAAAACACAUUAAAAAAUAUUUAAAAUGGAAUCACAACUCAACAAAAAAUAAUAAAAGAAACCGAAAAAAAAAUAAGAAUUAUAUGAGAAGAAAAAUUAUUACAUAGAUAUUAUAAAAAAAAAUUGAAAUAUUGCAAGUGAAAGAUAACAAAUAUUAAAGAGCACACUGAAAAGAUUUUAAUUGACAUUUAACAAAUCAAAUAAACAGAUUCAUCCAUUCAAUUCUUUUUUUGACGCAAAUAAAAUUUUUUUAAAAAAUCAAUAGUGAAGUGACCCCAGCAUUAUAUAUAUAUAUAUAUAUAUAUAUAGACACACACACGCGCGACAUCGACGCGAUAUUUUAAUUAUUAUAUAAUACACCAUGAUAAUAAUCCAAUAUUAUCAGUAUCACAUUAGUGUCGGCUUGUAUUUAAGAGGAAAAAUAUAGAAACCAACAAUAAAACCAACAAUAAAAAGCCCAUUGAAUAAGCUUCCCAGGAGAAAAAAAUCCCCAUAAUAAUAUUGGAAAAAAUAUUCUAAACAUUCAAGACAAAAAAGAAUCAUCUCUCUGAAACAAAAGGAAACUUUUCAAAAAGUUAGAACGAAUUAAAACAAACAUAAAAUGUGCCAAAAAUAAAAAUAAAAAAACAUCCAAAAAUGCUUUCCUAAGCUCCAAGCGAACAACAAAUUAAAUGUGAAAAACGAAAAAAGAAACUACUGCUAGAAGUAGAGCUAUAAGGAAUCGAACCUUCUAUUCUAUUGAGCUCUCAAUUCAACAGGUGGAAGGUCAAUAAUCCUACAAAAUUUUGUUGAAGUACAUGCAUUCAAUUGUGGUUUUAUUGGGAGAUGAGGAGGGAACGGUUUUGGAAGAUGAGGGGUUUUGGAAGUUGGGAGAUGAGAGGGAAUAGUUUUGGUGCAAUUAUAUGCAUUCAAUUGUGAUUUUAUUGGGAGAUAAGGAGGGAACGGUUUUAAAGAUGAGGGGUUUUGGAGGUUGGGAGAUGAAAGAGAGCAGUUUUGAAAGAAGGAGAUAACGCCAUGUCAGCAAGAUAUUGGGGAUUCAUGGAUUAGUAUACACAUAUAACUUUUCAAAUCAUCGUAAAAAGUGAAAAAAAUAUUAAACAACAGUAAGAAAAAUUAAAAUUUACCUAAUUUAAUUCAUCACACUAAUUGGAUCCCAAUUCAUUCAUUUCCAUGAUCCAAAGAUUCUACAAUCUCAUUCUCUCAACGAUAUGUGCGUACAAAUUAAACUUAUAUAUGUUACACCAAAAGUCAAAUCAGGCAUUAUAAUUUUUUAAACUUUAUAAAAUUAUAUCAAACAAAUUAAAUUUUAAUUUGUUUUUUAGAGGAAAAUAUAAUUAGUUACAUAUUUUGUUCAUUUUGAGAUCAUUUUUUAUCCCCGAGUAAAACCUAAUAAGAGAUGUAGUGCCAAUAUGCAUAUGCUGAUCCUUGAAAAUUUUUAGAAUGUAUCUGUAUGUUAUCUUGAUAAAGUGGCAUGCAUCUCCAAUCAAUCAAAGAAUUUUUUUUAAAUUUAUUUGUUCCAUAAUAAUUAUUAAAAAUAUAAUUUUAUUAUAUAUUUAAAAAUAAAUAUAAUUAAUUUAUUAUUAAUGAUGUGAUGUAACUAUGAUACAGUAAACUUUUUUCUGCCAAGCCAUCUAUAACGCCUUUCCGGAUAGAUAACUGCAUGCAAUACAUUCUUUCUAUAUUAUUAGGAAGCAGUUUGCUCGUCCUUUGUUUGGACAGAUGCAAUCAUGAAUGAGGGGGCCCGACAAACCCUCACUCCGUACACAAGAGUUAUUGCAGCUGAUGUGUUGUUUAUUGGAAUCGGACCACGUGUUGCACAUACGGACGAGGUGUGAUAAGAAAAGUCUCAUAAAUUAUUAAUACCGUCCAGGCUCUCUUGAGCGAUUAGUCUCUGUCCAAAAUAAUCGUGAUAGUUACAAAAUACUUGUUUGUUAUAUAUCAUUUGUGUCGCUUAAAUAUUCUAUAGCUGAUAUUCAAAAUUUUUUAAAAAUGCCCUGUAGAUAUUUUAUCAAUAAUUUUCAUCAUCACGCAUACAUCACAUAAAUAAUUUUAAAUUUUAAAUUUAUAAUUAAAAUUCUGAAUUUAAUUUUAAAUUUGAAUUCAUAUUUUGAACUUAAAAUUGUAAGUCAAUUUUAAAUCUAAAUUAAAUUUGAAAUUCAAAUUCAAAUUUAUUUUUUGAAUUUGAAUUUCAAAAUAAAACUUUGAAAUUAAAUAUAAAACUAAUUAAAAAUGUAGAUUCACUACAACAAAAUUAAGUUAUAGAGACACAUGUUUGAGACAUUUCAGUGUAAGUGUCUCAUUUAUUUCAAAACAUUAAAAAUAAUCUAUUUAAAUAUAAAGUCUAAUCCAACAAAAAAAAUAAAAGGUUACUUUACUCAACCCACCCAAUCCAGAGCAUUCGACCCGAUUACAAACAGAAAAGGAAAAAAAAAAAAAUCGAUUAACAUCUCCAUUUCUUCCCUAACUCAAUCCACUGAAAUUCUAGAAGAAAAGCCCUUCAAUUCUCUCUCCUCCUCCUCUGCCACCGCAGCCAACGAGGUAGAGUUCUGACGGUUACUAAAUGUUUAAAUAAGUGUCGGUAAAUUAGCAGCACUCUUUUUAAGUUAUACCGACGCUCUUUAACUGUCACUACAUAUACCUAGCGAUCCCACAUAUAGCAAUAUUUUUUUAAAAUGUCGGUAAUUUAGCAACCAAUAUUUUUUCUGACAUGUACUGCUGAUAUUUAAAAGUGUCGCUAUAUAUCGUUUUUGUUGUAGUGAUAAAAAAUUCACGCCCCUUGUUGGCCUUUAUCUUGUCCACAUGUUGCAGCCGUGGUUUUGGCAUGAAGAAGAUCGACUUCGGCAUUAUUGAGGAAAAAUAGAUUUAAGUGAUUGAUAGCUUAAAGUUAAAAUUGUAGAUGUCAAAUGUGUAGUUUUACUAAUGUUUUAGUCAAUUAUGCUCAAAGGGAACAUAUAUAUAGUUCAAAAAUUUGUUAUGCUUUUAAUCCUAUAUAAUUAAGUAAUAGGGGUAAUUUCAAAUGUUCCGGUCAAAAGGUACAAAAUAUAACAAAUGUCUUUACAAAAUUGUAGAUGUCAUUUUUACCACUAUAAAUUUAUGAAUUAUAGCAAAAAUAUCCAUUUUCCGGUUAACUAAGAUUAUCGGACCAAUUUUUGUAUAUUAUAUAAUGAAUCAAUUAUAAUCUAAUUCUCACAGUCCAUUAGAAAAUAAAGAAGUGAAUAUUUAUAGGAUUUCACAACAGUUCCUAAGUUAGAAGACGACCCAAAAUAUGCAACGUCCGAGUUCGAAGCUGGUAACUAAAGUUAAUUUAAUGUGUUAACUUCAAUUUACCCCGUGAUUAAGUAGAUUUUUUCACUUUUUCCUCCAAUGGUUUAAAAAUUCAUCGACAGAACCUGAUGUCAGUUACGAAAGUGAAUUUUUUUAAAAAAAUUAUAGCAUACUAUGCUCUUUAACAAUAAAUUCUUACGAUGAAAUAAAAUAAAAUUGUAGAAUACUUAAGUAUAACUCUUUAAGCCACGGAAUGACCCUGUUAAAUAUAAAAAUAUUUAAAACACCGUUAUCUAACAGCUUAAGCUUUUAGAGUACAACGAUUGUUUAAACAUUUUUAUAUUUCAGUUUCGUUCAUUUUGCGAUUUUCUUUUCUUUUUUUCCUUUUUAAAGUAAAACGUAGAGACUUGGUGCUUGCCAAUGUGCAUGUGAUGAAAUCAUUAAUUUCUCUCUUGUCCAUUAUUAUUUUGAGAGAAAGGUACACUACCUGCUUUAUUCAUUAAAAAAUAAGUUAAACAAAAGAGUAAGAUAAAAGAAUCUCCGAAGUAGGCCGAAAAAAUAAAAAAAAUAAUUAAAUUAAAAAAAACACAUAACCAAAAAAAAAAGAAAAGGAUAUCCUCGUUUAAACACUCUAUUCUCCUCCUACUGAAGCAUCAAACAUCUGAUCGAGUUGACAGCUAGUAAGAAAUUAGUAUUAGCCAAUCUAAAAAUAACGAUGUUCCUUACUGUUCAGAUAACUUACCAAUUGACUGUCAGUUCAGUCAUUCUAUUUCUAACAUACUGAGCACUAUCCUUUUCCAUGCAUCCACUUAUCUAUCCCAUAAUAAUAACCUCUCUUGUCCAUUGUUGGAUCGGAAAGUUGCAAACAAGAGUGGGACAACUUUUCACUCCGUCCGCAAGAGUUGUUGUCGCUGCGCUUGCACCUCAUUUAUUGUUGUUGUAUGAUUGAAAUUAUUUAGAGCAUGUGUGGCACAACAUGAAUAAGAAUAAGAGUUUAUGCAUAUAUAUAUAUAUAUAUAUAUAUAUAUAUAUAUAAAAUUGAGCUCAUAUGCUUUUAAAAGUACCAAGUUAUUAGUGCUUGUAGAUUUUUGGCCAUUGGAUUAAGAGAUAUGCGGUUAGGAUGAUAUGGGCCCCCUAGGGUUGAGUUGGUGGUUGGUUGCAUAAUAUAAUCUAAUGGUUGAAAAUGAUUCGAGGAGUAGAUCUAACGAUAAAAAACUUAAAAGCACCAAGUGUUUGGUGCUUUUACAAGCACCAUAGCCGUACUCUCUCUCUCUCUCUCUCUCUCUCUCUCUCUAUAUAUAUAUAUAUAGUAGGUCUUAUGUGCUAUUAGGAGCACGGGGGCUCCUGUGCUCCUAAGCCGUUUUCGAUGAUGGAGCUUCCGAAUCGACGAUCGGUUCUGUUAGACUUGAUCUAGCAUAUUUGAAGUAUCUAGGAAAUAAAUUUUGUGACUUUUUUAUAAUAUUUAUCUAACGAUCGAAAGGGUUCAAAAUCAACGGCUGAAAAUAAAAAUCUUACAAAAAGUCGUGAUAUAGCAUUAAAAUUUUCGAUCAAACAUAUUGAUCUUGCUGUAAAUAGUAUAAAGAAUUUUCUAUCAAAAUUUCAUCUAAUUUGAAUACAUCAACUAUUAAAAAUUGUUGAUUUUGAACUCUUUUGAUCGCUAGAAAAAUGAUACAGAAAAAUCACAAAAAUUAUUUUCUAGAUAGUUCAAAUACGCUAGAUCAAGUUUAACGAAGCUGAUCGUCGAUUCGGAAGCUUCAUCAUUGAAAACGGCUUAGGAGCACGGAGGCCCCCGUGCUCCUAAUAGCACACAACACCUGCAAAACGGAAACUCCAUAAGCUGUCCCUGCAAAAGUCCUAAUUUAUGCAGAUAUGUCCCUCUGAUUAACAUCUGUUAGAGAACUGUUUAUUUUUUAACAGUUUUCAUGUGAAAUGACCAUUUUGCCCUCACAAAUAUAUCCCUCCAAAAGCAUCUUCCCCCUCUCUUUCUCUUCCUCUUCCUCUUCGGGCCGCCGGAGCGGAUGGCGGCGACGGCGCGGGUCGAGCUCGCCGGCGACAAAGAAGAGGGAAGAGAAAGAAUGAGAGGAAGAAAAAAAGGGAAGAGGAAGAAGGAGAGGAAGAGGGAGAGGAAGAGGGAAGAGAAAGAUGAAGAGGGAAAGGGUUCNNNNNNNNNNNNNNNNNNNNNNNNNNNNNNNNNNNNNNNNNNNNNNNNNNNNNNNNNNNNNNNNNNNNNNNNNNNNNNNNNNNNNNNNNNNNNNNNNNNNNNNNNNNNNNNNNNNNNNNNNNNNNNNNNNNNNNNNNNNNNNNNNNNNNNNNNNNNNNNNNNNNNNNNNNNNNNNNNNNNNNNNNNNNNNNNNNNNNNNNNNNNNNNNNNNNNNNNNNNNNNNNNNNNNNNNNNNNNNNNNNNNNNNNNNNNNNNNNNNNNNNNNNNNNNNNNNNNNNNNNNNNNNNNNNNNNNNNNNNNNNNNNNNNNNNNNNNNNNNNNNNNNNNNNNNNNNNNNNNNNNNNNNNNNNNNNNNNNNNNNNNNNNNNNNNNNNNNNNNNNNNNNNNNNNNNNNNNNNNNNNNNNNNNNNNNNNNNNNNNNNNNNNNNNNNNNNNNNNNNNNNNNNNNNNNNNNNNNNNNNNNNNNNNNNNNNNNNNNNNNNNNNNNNNNNNNNNNNNNNNNNNNNNNNNNNNNNNNNNNNNNNNNNNNNNNNNNNNNNNNNNNNNNNNNNNNNNNNNNNNNNNNNNNNNNNNNNNNNNNNNNNNNNNNNNNNNNNNNNNNNNNNNNNNNNNNNNNNNNNNNNNNNNNNNNNNNNNNNNNNNNNNNNNNNNNNNNNNNNNNNNNNNNNNNNNNNNNNNNNNGAGCACGGAGGCCUCCGUGCUCCUGAGCCGUUUUCGAUGAUGGAAUUUCCAAAUCGACGAUCGGCUCCGUCAGACUUGAUCUAGCGUAUUUGAAGUUUCUAGAAAAUAAUUUUUGCGAUUUUUUGAUAUCAUUUACCUAGCAAUCGAAAGGAUUUAGAAUCAAUAAUUUUUAACGGCUGAAAAUAAAAAUUCUAUAAAAAAAGGUGAUAUAGCAUUAAAAUUUUCGAUCAGAAAUAUUGAUCUUGUUGUAGAUAGUAUAAAAAAUUUUGUAUCAAAAUUUCAUCCGAUUUGAAUAUUUCUACACCGUUAAACUUGAAAAUGGUAGAUAUCAACUAUUAAAAAUUAUUGAUUUUGAAUCCUUUCGAUCAUUAGGUAAAUGAUAUCAAAAAAUCACAAAAAAUAUUUUCUAGAAACUUCAAAUACCCUAGAUCAAGUCUAACGGAGCCAAUCGUCGAUUCGAAAAUUCCAUCAUCGAAAACGGCUUAGGAGCACGGAGGCCUCCGUGCUCCUAAGAGCACAGCAGCCCUACUCUAUAUAUAUAUAUAGAGCUUCUAUAUUUUUAAAAAUACUAAGUUAUUGGUACAUAGAGAUUUUUGGCCAUUGGAUUAAGGGAUAUAUGGUUAGGAUGAUGUGGGACUCUUAGGAUUGAGUGGGUGGUUAGUUGAAUAAUAUGAUCUAACGGAUGAAAAUAAUCAAAAUGAUUGAUUUAAUAGUAAAAAAUUUACAAGCACUGUUGAUAUUUUUACAAGCAUCAUAGCCGAACUUAUAUAUAUAUAUAUAUAGGCUACUAUACUCUUAUGAGUACGAUUGCCCUCGUACUCAUAAGUUGUUUUCGACGAUAGAGCUUCCGAAUCGACGAUCCANNNNNNNNNNNNNNNNNNNNNNNNNUAUAUAUAUAUAUAUAUAUAUAUAGUCCAGUUAUGGCGCUUGUAAAAGCACCAAGCACUUGGUGCUUUUAAGUUUUUUAUAGUUAGAUCUACUCCUCGGAUCAUUUUCAACCAUUAGAUUAUACUAUUCAACCAACCACCCACUAAAUCCUAGGGGGCCCACAUCAUUCUAACUGUAUAUCUCUUAAUCCAAUUGCUAAAAUUCUAAAAGCACCAAUAACUUGGUACUUUUAAAAGUAUAAGAGCUCAAUUCGCUCUCUCUCUCUCUCUCUCUCUCUCUCUCUCUCUCUCUCUCUCUCUCUCUAUAUAUAUAUAUAGAGUCCGGCUGUUAUACUAUCGGUAGCACGGAGGCCUCCGUGCUACCAAGUUCUUUUCGAUAAUGCGGAAAAGCCCAAGUUCUAAGUUGGCACUAAAGUUAAUUUACUGAGUAAAUUCAAUUUACCCACACCCCCGCCCCCUGUAAUUUAGUGGAGUUUUACUUUGUUCUUAUGUAGUUUAAAGGUUGCAUUUAACUAUUAUGUGAUUUUUUAUUUUUAUUUUAUCGAUAGAACUUGACAUCAGUUAGCAAAUUGAAUUUUUUGUUCUCUUUAACAAUAAGUCUUUACAAGAAAAUAAAAUUAAUACUAUAGAAUAGUUAAGUAUAACUUUUCAAACCGCAUUAUAAGAAAGUGAAAAAAAAUUAAACGGCAGUAAAAAAAAAAAUAAAAAUUACCUAAUUAAAUUCAUCAUACUUACUCGAUCCCGAUUCAUUCGUUUCCCUUCAAAGAUUCUACAAUCUCAUUUUCGCAACGAUAUCUGAGUGCAAAUUAAACAUGUAUUAAACCAAAAUCAAAUCACGGAUUAUAAUUUUUUAAUGCAUAAAUCUUUUAAACUUUACAAAAUUAUAUCAAAUUAAUUAAAUUUUAAUUAAUUUUAAAAUUUAUUAGGGAAAAAGAUACUUAGUUAUCCGUUUUGUUCAUUUUGAGAAAUUGUUUUGGCAUUGACUGUUACUAGUGCAACUGGUAAAGAGGUUUGGUGAUUGGUAUCCGAGGUUUUAAAUUAAAGUUAAGUUUAUUUCUAAAUAAAAUAAACGAAAGAGUAGUAUAUAUGCUACCUAUCUCUUAAAAAAAAAAAAAGAAUUUCUUUUGGCAAAACCUACUGGAUGUAGACCCAAUCAGUACGUGUGCUAACGUUAUUUUUGGCAAAAUCUACUAGAUGUAGACCGAAUGUGUACGUGUGCAAAUGUUAUUUUGUCUCUUAUCAAUCAGUUAGUAAAGUCGCAAUCCAGAGGGGGACAACUUUUAUUGCGGACUGAUGAAAUUUUUUGGACCGGCAUUGGGCAAGCACCGUUCCGCAAAUUUGUGCACCUCCUCGUGAGCAGUCGAGCAAUUUUGCCUGUUCACUUUUUGAAGAAAACAUCAAGACCGAGCAAAGCAAAGAAGAAAAGGAGCGAGCAAGGAAGAAUGAGCUUGGAAAAAAUCGCGAUGUACAUUGGAAAAUAGUGGGGUCCACGAGGCUGCACUUAGCCUCAUGGACCAUGUGGAGUGAGAGGUCCACAGCAGUCCUUGUGCUCCUAACUUUUUAACCACACAUCAAAGUUUGAUGGGUGGUUAGAAUGAAAGAGGGAUGAGAUAUUGGGGAGAAAUUGGAUGUCCCUAUUUUUCUUAUUCUUGAAUUUUUCUUUAAUAUCUCAUCCCUCUCUCAUUCUGAUCAUCCAUCAAACUUGAUGGGUGAUUAAAAAGUUAGGAGCAUAAGGGCUGCUGUGCUCCUAAUAGCACAGUAGCCCUACUAUAUAUAUAUAUAUGAUUUUAUAUAUUAUUUUAUAUUAAUUUAUUUUUAUAUUUAUAAAAAUUAUAAUUAUUUAUGAUAUGACAUAAAUCUAAAAAAAAAUUAAUAUCCUAAUUAUGGAUAUUCUUCAUAAUUAUGAGUAUUUAUACUAAAAGCAUAAAUCUAGAGUCAAAGAAAAAUUAACAGCCGAAUUUUUUUAUCUCGAAUUUUUAAUUGGUGCACGUAUAAUAUUCGUAUAAAUCACGUAUCCGAAUAAUUUACGAAUCUAUUUUUUAGCCGUAUUUUUAACAAAAUUUUAAAAUUAAAAUACAAAUUUUAUCCGUAUUAUAUUCAUACCGAAUUUUUGCCGAAUCCGAAUUAACUACCUAUGUUGGACCACAACAUACAUACCGAUUAUUCAGAUACAACUUUAUUUCGCACACAUAUAUGAGAAUUGGUUAAAUUGCACCACAGGCCUCUAAAGUUAAAAAUUUAGUUUGGGCACUAUAUGCGUUAAUUUCGCUCGGGCAUCAUCUGAAGUAAGCCAUGCCAAACUAGGCCCCGCCCUCAACUACAGGCCACCCCCCCAUCUACAGAACAUUCCAAACUAGGUCCCCUAACAUUUCGUCUUUUUUUUUUAAGUUUAUUUUUUGUUUUAAAUUUUUUGAUAAAUUGAGAUGUUUUAGUGAAAUAUAUUAAGAAUUUUAUCAGAUUUUCCGUGAUUCCAUCAAAUUUAAAAGAUUUGACCAUUUCUAGCAAUUGAAACUUGAAUAAUUUACAAGUAACUAGAAUUGCCCAAAUUAAACAAAUUUAGAAGAUAAAAAGAUGUUAAGAGUUGAGAAGUCGAUUUCAAAGGAGCCUAUGAUUGAGCGCUUCUUCAUACCCUUCUACCGAUUACUGUUUAGAAUCAAUUUUUCAUUAUUCUGAAAAGGCUUUCAGUAUAUAGGAAAUGAUGAAAUGAUCUCCCACAGUCUCAGAUUAUAUAAUAUAGUACUAUAUAGUAUAGAGAGAGAGAGAGAGAGAGAGGAGAGGGUUGGACCUAUAUACUAAUUACAAGUAUCCCAUCAUGUUAUUAGGUUCUUAAAGUCAUUGGAUCUACUUUGAUUAUGAAUAGCGCUAUGGAUUAACACUUAUCUCCAACCUACAACCACCUACCACAUCAUCUCAAACCUCAAAUCUCUCUAAUCCAACGGGCUAAAAACACACAGUAUGAACCUCAUAAUACUUUUACAAGUAUUCUAGGCCUACUCUCUCUCUCUCUGCUCUCUCUCUCUCUUAUAUAUAAAUAUAAUUACGGCUAGAUAUACUAAUUAAUAGUAAAAUGCUCUUCCUUUGCUAUCAAGUUUGUUAACCUUGGAUGUGAAAAAAUUAUGAGGGUCGGACUGAUAUUAGUCGGUUAGAGCUUGAGUGCGUCCCUUAGCGGUGGAUGGUCCCCACUGGGAUGAUAUGAAUUUAAUCCGAAUUGUUAGAAAUAAUGAAAAGAGUUAUGAUACAGAAGGCUAAAAAAUCCGGUCACAAUAAAAUUUUGCUACUAAUAGUAGCCCAGUCUCUCUCUCCUCUCUCUCAUCUCUCUUCUCUCUCUUCUCUCUCUCUUCAUAUAUAUAUAUAUAUAUAUUAUAAUAUAUACAGAGUUGAUGCUAGAAACUAUCGCUAGUAAACCGACGCCGUUUUACUACCGAUUUUGUUUUCGAUGAUAGAGCCUUCCAACAAAUGAAGAAUCAGCUCCGUUUAAAUUGAUCUAAACCAUUUAAACUACUAGAAAUUCAAAGUUCACGCACUUUCGAUAUUUUCUUUUAUCCAUCAGUGAACAGAAAAAGAAUAGUUGAAAAUAAAUACUCUUUAAAAAAUGAUGAUAGGAGUCUUUAAUCAGAUCAAGAGUAUAGAUCUUGUUUUAAAUAGUUUAAAGAAUUUUCUAACAAAAAUUCAAUUGAUUUGGAUAUUUUUACGCCGUUAAACGAGAAAACGCCUCUUAUCAACCAUUAAAAUUACAAAUUUUGAAACUCUUUGAUCAUUAGGCAAAUGAUGCCGAAAAGAUUUGAAAUUUGAUUUCUAAACACUUCAAGUGGUAUAGAUCAUGUUCAACGGAGCCGAUCGUCAAUUUGGAAGUUCUAUCAUCGAAAACAAAUUGGUAGUAAAACGGCUCGUUUACUACCGAUAGUAUUCUAGCUCAACUCUCUCUCUCUCUCUCUCUCUCUCUCUAUAUAUAUAUAUAUAUAUAUAGCUCAAUUAUAGGUGUUCUUAAUUAACGUAAAAGGAACUUAUAAGCAAACUUUAUAGAGAAAAAAAAAUAUUUACAUGCAUGUAAGGAUAACAUUUUGGGGACUUCUUGCUUUAGAUUCAACACUUUCUCUCAUUAUAAAUAUAUAUAUAGAGAGCAAGAUGAGCUGGAAUGCUAUUAAUAGCAAACAGGUAUUGGUGCCACCCAUUUGUUUUUUAUGAUGAAGUCUUCAAAUCGACGAUCGGUGUCGUUGAACAUGAUCUGUACCACUUGAAAUAUUUAGAAAUUAAAUUUUAAAUCUUUUCGACAUCAUUAACCCAGUCAUCGAAGAGUUUCAGAUUUUGUAAUUUCAAUAGUUAAUAUGAGAUGUUUUCUCGUUUAACGGCGUAAAAGUAUUCAAAUCAAUUAAAUUUCUGUUAGAAAAUUUUUUAAACUAUUUAGAACAAAAUCUAUACUCUUAAUCUUGAUUACAAAACUCCUAUCAUCACUUUUUAAUAGGAUAUUCAUUUUCGAGCCGUUCAUUUUUGUGUCCACUUGAUAGACAAGAGAACAAUAUCAAAAAAAUAUAAAAUUUAAUUUCUAAAUACUUCCGAUGGUAUAGAUAAUGUUAAACGAUGCCGAUCGUCGAUUUGGAGGCUCCAGUAUCGAAAACAAAUGGAUGGCAACGAAGUCCAUUUACUACUAAUAGCAUCCUAGCUCAACUUUGUCUCUUUCUAUAUAUAUAUAAAGAGUAAAGCUACUAUACUAUUAGAAGCACAGUAGCCCUUAUACUCCUAAGUUCGUAAUUAUUCAUCAAUUUUGAUGAAUAGUUAGGAUUAAUAUCUCAUUUCUCUCUUAAUUUUUUUUCUUUGAAUUUCUUUUCAAUUUCUUUUUUCUCUCUCACCCUAACUACCCAUCAAAAUUGAUGAAUGGUUGUGAACUUAGAAAUACAAGGCUGCUGUACUCUUAAUAGGACAGUAGCUCUACUAUAUAUAUAUAUAUAUAUAUAUAUAUAUAUAUAUAUAUAGAGAGAGAGAGAGAGAGAGAGAGAGAGAGUCCGGCUACUAUACUAUCGAUAGUACCAAGCCCUUGAUACUAUUGAGUUUUCUACCAUUAGAUCUACCCUUUGAUCAUUUCCACCCGUUAGAUUAUACUAUUAAACCAACCAUCCACUCAACCCUAGGGGACCACUAUCAAUUUAAUCAGGGACCACUAUCAUCCUAACCAGCAUAUCUUUCAUAGCAACGCGAAAACUCAAUUAGUACCAGGUUUGGUUAUGAUAUUAUAAGCUAAUCUAUAACAUAAUUAUAUAUAUAUAUAUAUAUAUAUAUAUAUAUAAUAUAAUAUAUAUAAAAUACUACUAUAUAAUAUAUAUAAAUAUCCGGCUAACUAUAUUAUCAUAGUACAAACACUUCAUACUAUCAAAAUUUAACUGUUAGAUCUAUUUUUUUUUGACUAAUUUCAUCCAUUAAUCAUACUUAUUGAUCAACUACCAAUCAACUCUAGAAGACCAUUAUACAUCUAACUAGCAUAUCUUUCAUCAACCAUUACCAGCGCUGUGAUGAUAUUAAAUAGUAUAGUGGCGAUAAUAUAUAUAUAUAUAUUAUAUAUAUAUUAAAUAUAUAUAUAUAUAAAAAUGAAUGAAAUACCUUCUAACACCUUUGGUCUAUCACUUCUAAACCUUGGAUUAUUUUUUAUUACAAUAACUUGGAUUAAAUAUAUAACCAACUACAUCACACAUACGCACCACCUACCCACCAUCAUCUCAACCUACAUAUUUCAAUCUGAAGGGUAAAAACCCAAAACACCAACCAAUUGAGUGCUUUGAAGAGUAUUCUACUUACUCAUUCCUACUCUCUCUCUCUCUCUCGUCCCAGGCGUUAUUAUAUCCUCUUCUCCUUUCUCUCCUCUCUCUCUACUUCUAUAUAUAUAUAAUAUAUAAUAUAUAUAUACUAUGAUGAGCUAUACUAUCGAGCACGGAUCUUCCCGUGCAUUACAGCCGUUUUCGAGUUGCGACUUCGAAUCGUCGAUCGGCAACUUUCCGUAUUAAACUGAUCUAAGAUAUUAUGAAGUACUAAGAAAAUAAAUUUAUGAUACAUUAUUAUUUACGCUAUGAACGAAGGGCUCAAAAUCAACAGCUGAAAAUAAAAAUCUUACAAAAUGUAAUAAUAUGACAUUAAAAUUUUAAAUCAAAGAUAUUGAUCUUGUUUUAUAUAGUAUAAAGAAUUUUCUAUCAAAAUUUCACGUGAUUUGGAUAUUUCUACACCGUUAAACUUGCAAACGGCUCACUACGGCCAUUGAAAUUUGUUGAUUUUGAGCCCAUUCGAUCACUAGGCAAAUGAUAUCGAAAAAUAAUAAAAUUUAUUUUCUAGGUACUCCAAAUACUCUAGAUCAAAUUUAACGGAGCCGAUCGAUGAUUCGAAAGUCGCAACAUCGAAAACGAGCUGGAAGCACGGAAGGCUCCGUGCAUAUAUAUAUAUAUAUAUAUAUAUAUAUAUAUUGUCCGGCUAUGAUGCUUUUAAAAGAAUCAAGCACUUAUGCUUGCUUGUAAGUUUUCCAUCGUUAGAUUUACCUUUUUGACCAUUUUUACCUAUUAAAUCAUACUAUUCAACCAACCACCUACUCAACCCUAGGAGACUAAUAUCAUUCUAACCGCACUUCUCUUAAUCCAAGGACCGAAAACCUAUAAGCACCAACGAUUUGAUAUUUUUAAAAGUAUAGGAGCUCAAUUAUUUGUAUAUUAGGAAUGUUGUGCUCCAAGAAGCAUAGAGGCCUCCGUACUCUUAAAUUAUUUUCGAUGAUGGAAUUUUCAAAUCGAUAAUCAGCUCCGUUAGACUUGAUAUAGUAUAUUUGAAUUAUGUAUAAAAUAAAUUUUAUAUUUUUUUGAUAAUUUUUGUAGUAAUCGAAAGCGUUCAAAAUCAAUGGUUGAAAAAAACCGUAUAAAAAAUAAUGAUAUAAAGAUCGUAUAUCAUUAUUAGGAUAAUGUGGGCCCGGCACGGCACAGUUAGGAUAAUGUGGAACAUAAUUAGGGGUGUAAUGUGGGCCAUGCCGGGCCGGCACGGCCAACAUUACUCUGGCCGAAACGGGCCAGGAGUAGGCUGAGCCCGGCUCGGAUUUACAUCUAAGUUGUGCCGUGUCGGGCCGGAUGAACCAACCGUCCGGCCCAGCACGACCCCCAGGCCCGGAAGGUCCGGGCCGUGCUGGGCCAGGUCGUGCCGGGCUUUGGGUCCGCCAUUUAAAAUUUUUAUUUGUAAUUUUUUUCAAAAAUAUAAAAUUUUAAAUUAUGAUUAAUUAAGUAUUUCUAUUUAAAUUUAUAUUGUGAUUAAAAAUUUUUAAAUUUCUAAAUAUUUUAAUUUUUCUAAAAAAUUAAUAAAUUAUUAUUUAUUAUUUUAAAUAUAAUUAAUGGAAUUUGCUCCAUCGAACCAACAUAAACAUGGUGCUACUACUAUGUGGGCUAAGAGCCAUGUCGAUCCGCAUAAUAUUUUUUUUACAAAAAUAUUUUUAAUAGAAUAAAAGUUUUUUACUAAAUAUUUUUUAUUUAUAUAAAUAUCAAUGACUAUUUAUGAGUCCGGCUGGGAUACUAUUGAUAGCACCAAGGGUUUAGUAAUAUCGAGUUUUCCACCGUUAGAUUUAACUAUUUGAUCAACUGCAUAUUUUUCAAUAAGGGAUAAAAAACUAAUAGCACCAAGCUAUACAUUGAUAGCAUUCCAGCCUAGUUCGACCAUUUAUAUAUAUAUCUUUUUAUAUUUAUUCUUCAUUAUACAUUGGCUUCAUAGUACUAUCGUAUAACACAACCCAAUUAUGUGGCUAGGUCGAGUUACAGCAAACCCUUAUUUCCACCCUAGAAUACGGGCAUACACAAUUGCAUUGCAUAAGGAGACACAUGUUCGAUCCAUUUUGUAAUACUAAUUAAUAAGCAACAGUAGAUCACAAUAACUGUAGAUCUUCAAACUAGCUUACAUAGAACAUACCGAAACAUAACAGAAACCACAAGGUCGAAGAAAGCAGCUGAACAGUUGGAUGCCUACUUGCAUCCUUAUUUUAUAACUAAGCAUAUAUAUAUGAUAGCAAACUGCAUGCAGUGCGUUGCUAAUCAUCAUCACUUCCGAUCGACCUACACUGAGCUUCGACUUUCAGAAACCAUUUUAAUGGCUUCGACAUUGGCCCCAGAUUGUAGAGUGGGAUAGAGAGGAUCCAUGGCGAUUCCACAUAAUCCAAAUGACGAUGACACAUCUCUUGCCAUGCGGAUGUAUCCGCCCUCACCCCAUCUGGCACCCCAUGAGUUCCUUACUAGCCAAAAUUUUUUUCCGCUGCUAUCCUGCCCGUAACCUAUAAUGGCGAUGGCAUGAUUGAGUCUAGUUCCACAAGGUCCGUUAAACACACCGCCCUUGUAAUGUUGAAAGUUUCCACUGGCAUCGAGAGCAGCAGUAAUUGGUUGAUUCGACACAGCGUACAUCAUGCUGCUUUCGUUGUUCCUCCGCACACGUGCAUAACUAGUAAUAUAGGCUGAAUUGGGCACGCCAUUGGUCUUGCAGGGGCCUUUGGAUGCUUUGUAAGGGUAGAUAGCUGCCGAUGCCACGCCCUUGUUAGAUAUGAUGAAUUCGAAGGCCCUGAACUCCCAGCCGCCUUUGCACCCGUAGCCUUUAGCACAAUCGAGAACUUGCUGCUCCGAUAAAUAUACUAAGUUCCCUCUUUUGAUCUUGUAGAUUGAUUCUACCGUCGCAAUUGCAGCGAAUGCCCAGCAAGAACCUGUGCCGAAACAAAGAUUAAAUCGUGUUAGCAUAACUAGUGUAAGCAAAGUUACAUAUAUAUGUAGGUUGCCAUGAUAAAAGAAAACAUUCAAACUAAUUACCUUAUUAGAUGUUAUUUGCAAGUACUGAGCUGCUUUUAACUUGUUUUCAACACUUGUCAUGCAUAGGGAUGUCCCGUUCUUUUUGACUAAAAUGUAUUUUGCUUACUUUAAUAAUAUAAUUAUUGUAAUAACUUAAUUAAUAAUAUGAAAUUCAAUAAUAGUCCUAACAUCCAGAUGAAUUGAAUCAAGUCGAAGUCUAUGAAUGCUAUGAUUAAGUCUUUAAGUGUGUUGGAUACAUUCUUUUUAUCACCACGUAUUUCUGUAAUAGUUGAUUAUCACUUACCAUCCACAUUCGAUAGAUAGGAUGAUUUUUUAUUAACUAGAUUCAAUAUUUCGAUAAUUUCCUUGUAUGAAUACUGAUAACAUGUCCUAAUGAAUGUUUAGACACUUUUGAUCGGCCAAAUAAUGGACUUUGUUGGGUUUUAGUGUGUGGAAAUUUGGUCCUGUAGUCUAAAAACGGCAGAAGGCAUAUUUGGUGAGAUUUGAUCAAAACAACAUGUUUAAAGUUAACUAAAAGAAUAGGUAUUUGUUCCUAGCUGAAGAAAUGAAGUUGCUUUGACAAUUUAUAUAAUCCACAUUAAUCCUUACCACAGCGGCCUUGGUUCUUGACACUUGUUACGGCACCGUAGUUUCUCCAAUCAAUACUUUGAGGCACCGCGGAGAUGUCUACGUCAUCAAACGACACCACUUGCUCUCCCUCGAUAUUUAGUGGGCGAGAUACACCACCAGUAUAUUGAGCAACAAAUUCGUUAUUUGUCAUAUCGGUAAACUGAUUGAUACCGAGAGUGUACGAAUUUCCGUUGCGAUUGUUAAAGUUUUCGAUAUGGUUCACGUUGUUCUUGAAAAUCUGAAACCGGAGCAUCUUCUCGUCGUUGUCCUUGUAAACUCGGCCGUACUCCGCCACCCAUUUUUCAAACCGCUUCAUCAUGGGAUCACUUGGUUCGUCACAAGAAGCUGCCGACGGCAAUGCCCGCAUCACACAGAGAAACAAGAAAAGAAACACGAGUUGAACUUUGGAAGCCAUGCUUAUGUAGCACUAAAUAUCUACUAUAUGUAUGACGAAAUUAGAGAUCGAGCUAAAAGAGCUUUUGUUGCUGAGAAUAUGGUCUCAAGAUCGAGUUUAUAUAGAAGUUCAAGCCUUCGAAUGUACGGGGGAGAAUUAAUGGGUGGGGUCCCGAAUUAAGUUACAUGUACUAUAUGAUUUAACUCCGCCAUCCAUUCUUUAUAUGAUUUAACUCCAACCAAGUUACAUCUACUCGCAUGCUUCAAUACCCAAAUAGGUCCUAAUUAAGUUACAAGACAAUCCAAAAUAAGGAAAGCCCAAGUUCUAAGUUGGCACUAAAGUUAAUUUACUGAGUAAAAUUCAAUUUACCCACACCACCACCCCCUGUAAUUUAGUGGAGUUUUACUUUGUUCUUAUGUAGUUUAAAAUAGAAGAAUUUCUUUUGACAAAAUCUACGAGAUGUAGACCCAAUGUGUGUACGUGUGCAAACGUUAUUUUGUCUCUUAUCAAUUCUUAGUAAGGUCGCAAUGGAGAGGGGGACAACUUUUAGGGGCCGUUUGGUUGGAUGUAGUUACAAAAAUGGUGUAGUUUGAAGUACAUGCAAUUGUAAAUGUUCCAGUUUUAACUACACCUAGUCUGUUUGAUUUUAUGCAGUUGCAACUGUUAUAGUUAUAUUUCUUCUGUUUGGUAGUGUGCAGUUGAGAUUUAAAUUUAUAAAUUCUAUCAAAUUUUAGAUAGAAAUGUGAGAUUAUCUCUUUUGAGCAUAACGUAAUCAUAUUUUAAAUAUUAAUUAAAACUUUUAUAUCUAUAUAUAAUUUAUAAAUUAUAAAAUUGUAUAUGAAUUUAAUAAAUAUUAAAUGUAAAUAUAUUAUAAAUUUGUUCAAAAUAAAAAUUAAGAUAUUAUUAAACUAACAAACUGAAAAAUAAGAAGCGCAUGAAAAAAAAUUUAUUUUACCCUAACAGAUAUUACUAAAUCAUAUCAGAUUUCAUGAAUAUGUAUUUUUGAAAAAAAAUAAAAAAAGAAGUGUAUGAAAAAAAAUCACAUUUUGUUUAUUUUUUUAAUAGGUGAGUUGACUCUGGCUCAACCGCUGUAGUUGGUACUACAGCCAAUUUGGCUGCAUUACCAACUGUUAUAGUUGGGCCUUCUCAUGCAGAUCAACUACAGUAGUUGAGUCUAACUACACCAAACCAAACAAAAAAUUAAUAGAUGCAUGUAUUUUCAACUGCAAUGCAAUUGAAAAUACAUGCAACCAAACAGCCAAGUUCGAGCUAAGUUUAUUUUUAAAUGAAAUAAACGGAGCAAUACCCAUCUCUUAAAAAAAAGAAUUUUUUUUGGCAAAACCUGCGAGAUGUAGACCCAAUUGCCCAACGAGAAUAGGACUGAUAAAGACUUGCAUGAAUGAAAAAAGUUAUAUUUAAAUUUGAAAAGUACUAUUGUCCAGAAUAUUUUUUUUUAUAAAAAAAAAUAGCACACUAUCCGCUUCAUUUACUAAGGAAUUGAAUUAGACUGUAAUGAUGAAGCAACCGAGGCCUCGAGAGAGAUAGGGAAAAAAAAAAAAAUCUAAUGUUCAGAAUAGUUAUUUAGCAUUAUGAAAGAUUUUUUUAAAAAAAAUUUAUGAAUGCCACGCUUAUGUAUUAAUUAAAAUAUCACAAUGCCCUCAUAAAUUAAUAAUAUCAUUCAUGCUCUUUUAAAUGGUCAUAAAUAUUAUAGUAAAUAGCUCCCGUGAUUAGUCUCUAUCGAAAAAUCUUGUCAUUAAUUGUUAUAAAAUAUUUAUUUUUUCACCAUUAGUAUAAUAACCCGUGCGAUGUUAUAAAUAAAUAGUGCAAUGAGAGAGAGAUGAGCGUGGUGGUGGAAGAUUAGAUGAUAAUGUUGCAUGAAAAAUAAUAGGUCAUGCAAAAGAGAGAGGGCGGAGGGAUUAAUGAAGGAGGGGAGUUGAUUGCAAUUACAAAAUACACUCAUUAUUGGAGGAGUUAUAAAGCCCAUUGAUUAGUAGGGGGCGGGAUUAAUGUAGGCCUAGAGGGGAGUGAACUGGAAUUAUAAAGCCCACUCAUUAGUAGAAUAUAAUGUAUGUAAUUAAAUAUUACAUAAUAAAUUAAUUAAUUAAUUUAAUCUCGAGUGAGUGCUAGAAAAAUCACCAUUGGAAGAGAAAAAGCCAAGAAAAAGACAAUGAAGAAGGUAGCGCCAUGUUGGAUAAGAAAUCGAGGUUUAAUAUAGAGUUAUAGAAGAUUAUAGAUUAUAGAUAAUAUGACAUAAUUAUUGUUCUUUAAAAACUGAAAAAUGAUACGGAGCAUGAGGUACUAAGUUUAAAUCUUAUCAAUCUAGUUUCAUUUAAUUUCUUUUCAUCUAACUUAAGUUAAUUCAAGUCCAUAUUUUAAGUCUAUUAAAACAUCUCGAGCCUAAACUCAAGGAAGAGUGUUGAUUUUAAGGGCGUGUUUGGUUCGAAGUUGGAGUCGGAAUCGGAAUCGGAAUCAAAAUAAGUUGGAAUCGGAAUCGGAAUGACUCAUUACCUAAUUCUGUUUGGUUCAUCACCUGAAUCGGAAUCGGAAUAAAUCAUUCCUAUUGUCGGUGUUUGGUUCAGGUGGAUAUAAAAAACGUAAUCAAAUUAAUAUACUAACAUUAUCUUUAUAAUAUAUUAAUUUAAAUUCAAAUUAAAUAUUAAAUAUUAAAAAUUUACAUCAAAAUUUUGAAAUAAUGUCAAAAUUUUAAAUCUAUUUUUUUUAAAAAAAAUUAAACUUUGAAGUUGAGUGGAUAAUUCAAAAUGUGAAACUAAAUUUUGAUUUAUUCAAAUUCAAACUAAAAUUACAAUUUAAAUUUUAAUUUGAAUCUAUAAAUUUAAUUUAAGUUUGAAAUAAAAUUUGAAUAAAACUUUAUAUAAAUUAAAAUUUAAUUUAAAUUCAAAUUCAUAAGUUAGAUUCGAAAUACUUGAUUAAAUUUUAAUUUUUAAUUUAAGUUCAAAUUAAAAUUUAAAAUUAUAUAUUUAAUUUUUAAAUUUUAACUUAUAUUUUAAUUAAAAAAGUUGAAAAAAUAAAUUUAAUCCGAAUAAAUAUUCAUUCCGUCCUGAUUCAACUUCCAAUCCGGCAUUCUAGGCCGGAUUGAAAAAUGAGGUGAUUGGGGGAUUCCCAUUCCACUCGGGAAUGGGAAUCGGAAUGAGACUCCCGCGUACCAAACACCCACAAACGGAUUCAUCCAUUCCGAUUCCGAUUUUAGGGUGAAAAAGAAGCGAACCAAACACGCCCUAAAUAUUAAAAAUAUUGCUUUUUAAUAACUUAAGUUUUUAGAGAUAAAUAUUUCAUUUUUUUUUAUAGAUUUUAUUUUUUUUCCAUAUUAUAGUGAACGAUUAUACUUAAUUACCAUUAGAAAAUAAAGAAGUGUACCUUAAUUUAUAUGAUUUUACUCCAACCACUUUUCAUCUACUAGCAUGCUCCAGUUCCCAAAUGUGUCCUAAAUUAGAAGACAAUCCAAAAUAUGAAGAGCCCGGGUUAGAAGUUGGCAACUAAAGUUAAUUUAAUGCGUAAACUUCAAUUUACUCUCCAUGAUUUAGUAGAUUUUUACUUUGUUUUUUUGUAGUUCAAAAGUUGCACUUAAUUAUCAUAUAAUUUUAUUUUUAUUUUACCAAUGGAAUGACAUAAGUUAGGAAAGUAAAUUUAUUUAUAAAAAAAAAAUCAUAAAGUGAUAUCCUGGUUAACAAUAAGGGCAUGUUUGGUUCGUACAUUUUGGAUCCGAAAUGGGAAUCGGUUUGAUCAAAUCCUGCUAAUUUUGUUUGGUUUACAGGAAUCGGUUUGGGACUCCCAUUCCGGAUCGAAAUGGGAAUGGUCCAUUAGCUUACAAAUUAAUUCCGGUCUCCAGGCCCGGAUUGAAGUUUCAAUUCCAAGCCCAUACUCACCUCUUCCUCAGACCCAGCCUAACGUUUCUCCAUCUUAUCCAUUCUUUCUCUCCAUAUACCAAUCUUUUUUCUCUUUUGUCAUCAUUUAAAAAAACGUGAUAUAUUAUUUUUUAUUACAAUUUUAUUCAAAAAAAUUUAUGCAUUUUUUUGUAAUUUUUUGCAUAAAAAUUUUUAAAAUAAAUUCCUUUUUUUUGGCAUAGCUCUGACUUGAGAAUAGUAUUAAUUUUUUUUUUUUAUAAAUUUUAGAUAGUUUUAUAAAAUUAUAUUUAAAAGUAAAGUUAGAAUUAUGUUAUUCUAUUAUUUUUUACUUUGUAUGAACCAAAUAGUAAAAUAGGAAUAAUUCAUUCCAAUUUUCAAAUCAGAAAUGAACCAAACGUCUUGGAGGAGUAGGGCAAUCCAAUUGUCAUUUCAAUUCAUUCUCAUUCCAUUAUUCAUUCCAAUUUUACUCUUGAACCAAACAAGCCUUAAAUUCUUAUAAUAAAAUAAAAAUUAUAUUAGUAGAAUAGUUAAGUAUGUUUAACUUUUCAAAUCAUGUAAAAAGUGAAUUAAAAAAUAUUAAACAACAGUACGAAAAAUUAAAUUUACCUAAUUUAAUUCAUCACGCUAACUCGAUCCCAAUUCAUUCAUUUCCUUGAUCCAAAGAUUCUACAAUCUCAUUCUCUCAACCUUGUCGGAGUGCAAAUUAAAUAUAUAUAUGGUACAUCAAAAGUCAAAUCAUGCAUUAUAAUUUUUUAAUGUAUAAAUUUUUUUAAACUUUAUAAAAUUAUAUCAAACAAAUUAAAUUUUAAUUUUAAAAUUUUUUAGAGGAAAAUAUAAUUAGUUACACAUUUACUUCAUUUUGAUAUCUUUUUUUAUCCCCGAGUAAAACUUAGUAAGAGAUGUAGUGCCAACAUGCAUAUGCUGAUCCUUGAAACUUUUUAGAAUGUAUCCGUUAUCUUGAUAGAGUGGCAUCUCCAAUCAAUCAAAGAAUUUUUUUUAAAAUUUAUUCGUUCCAUAAUAAUUAUAAAAGGUAUAAUUUUAUUAUAUAUUUAAAAAUAAUUAUAAUUAAUUUAUUAUUAAUAAUAUGAUAUUAUUAUUAAUGAUGUGAUGUAAGUACGGUACUAGACUUUUUUCUGCUAAGCCAGCUAUAAUGACUUUCAGGACGGAUAAAUGCAGUCCAUUAUAUUUCUAUACUAUUUUAGGAAGCAUUUUGCUCGUCCUUUGUUUGGACAGAUGCAAUCAUGAAUGAGAGGGCCCGACAAACCUUCACUCCGUACACAAGAGUUAUUGCAGCUGAUGUGUUGUUUAUUGGAAGCGGACCACGUGUUGCACGUACGGAAGAGGGAGUGAUAAGAAAAAUCUCAUAAAUUAUUAAUACCGUCCAGGCUCUCUUGAGCUAUUAGGGUGUGUUUGGUUGCACGUAAAAUUAGAAAAAAAAUUAAUUUAUUAAGAAAAAAAAAUUUUGGUGGAAAAAAAAUUUUACGCCUUUAGUUAUAUAAGGAAAGAAAAAUAUUUUUCAUGACUUUGUUUUAUUGAAAAAAAAAAAAAAUAAAAAUUAUUAUAUAAUUUUUAUUUAUAUUAUUAAAUAUUAUUUAUAAUUUUAUUUAUAGAUUAAAUAUAUUUAAAAUUAUAAUAAUUAUAUACAUGAUAUCUAUAUAGAUUAAUAUAUUUAUGAGAUAUUAAUAUAUAUAUAAUUAUAAAUAUAUUAUAUAUGGUUGUUUUGGGUUGAAAGACAUAAAAAAAGAAAGAGUAAAUAAAAAACGUUAUAUAUUCAUUUUAUAUGUAUAUAUAUUAUUAUUCAUAAUACGCCAUCAAUUAUUAAUACUAUAUAAUUUUAAAAUUAUUAAUAAGUAAUAAUAAUAUAAUAGCAUAAUGUAUAUUAUUAGUAUAAAAUAAAUCACUAUAUUAUUUAAUAAAUAAUAUUUAUAAACUGUUGAUAUUAUUAUAGUAUAUAUAUAUAUAAAUAAUAUAUAUUAAAUAUUAUAUAUAUAUAAGAAGAGAGAGAGUCACGAGGCCGGGUCCUCGUGGACUCUCUUCACACGGUCACGAGGGAGCAGUUCACUCGUUGGACCGCAUGUUAAUAGCCUGUGCGCGCCCGGAUUUUUCAACCAGUGGUUUUGUCCGGCCGAGCGGAAAACUAAAAUAGCUUCGUUUUUUAAGGAAAUCUGUAAACAAAUUUGCCUGUAAAGAUCUUUUACAGACAGCCAAAGAUAGGAAAAAAGUUUCAACGAAAAAUUAUUUUUCAGAGACUGCAUUUACGAGGUCCUAACGGCCCUUAGUCUCUAUCAAAAUAAUCGUGAUAGUUACAAAAGCACUUAAUUUUACCAUUGGCCUGAGAUUAAUCAUUUGCUGUUCGCUUAAUAUUCUAUAGCUGAUAUUUCAAAUUUUUUGAAAAUGCCUGUAGUUAUUUUAUCAAUAAUUUUCAUCAUUCACGAAUUACACCACCUAAGAUAAUUUAAAAUUUAAAAUUUAAAUUAAAAUUCUAAAAUAUUAAAUUUAAAUUUUAAAUUCUGAAGUUCAAAUUGGUGUGAAGGAAAAUUUGUUCCAAGACAAACUUCUUUUAAUUCUACAAUUAAAUUUGAAAUUCAAAUUAUGUAUUUUGAAUUUGAAUUUCAAAUAAAACUUGGAAAUUAAUAUAAAUAUUGAAUUAAAAAAAUCGAAAUAUUGAAAGUUAAUUAGCUAUAAUAAUUUCUUAUAUUUUGGCAUUCAAGGACGAUUUGAGUUAUAUUCGAAAGCCAAAAAUCAAAUUUUUAAAUUUUAAAUUAGUAAAUUUACUAAUUUAUAAAUUAGAUAUAACUAUUAUUAAUAUUAAAAUUCAAAAUGUUAUAUAUUGUAAAUUUUUAGUGAUGAUGGAGGGCUCAAGAUCUGGUAGUUUAAAUGUAAAACUUGAAAUUAGAAAAAUUCUAUAUUAAAUUUUUCGGAAAUAUUUAGUCAGAUAAAGUUCGGAAUUAUUUUACAACUAUGACUAGUCAGCAGCUCUGGAACUAAGAUUAGGAUAACACUCCGUGACGUGAGAUAAAAUAAGAAAUAUUUAUGAUAUAACUCAUUCUAUUGGAAGAGCAUAUAUGAUAUUUUAAUAUUUUUACAAGUAUCUGCGGUAGUUUAAGAUUUUGAGGAGUAGUUAUGAAACUGUCCCCGCAUUUCAAAAUUUGGAAAAUUGAUCUCCCUCACUUGCGGAUUUCAUGUAGUACAAUUUUUAGACAGUGUUCUUAAUGCAAGUAACAAAUUAUAAGCAACUUUAAAGAAAAAAAAGUUACCUAUUUUUAGGGAUCACAUUUCGAAAAAUCUGAAGAUGAGUUUUUAGCUGUCCAGAUUUCACACUUUGAUAAAAAAUAUGAUCUGAAUAAUCAUAAAAGGGGAUAGCUUACGCUUACCUAUUUUUAAUAUGCACAAGACAUCGACUAUAAAUAUGUGUUGCUAAAAGUAAAAUUUACUUUUGUCCAAAUAAGUGAAAGAUGGAAUUAUUAAAUUAAGGCCAAUUUGCAUAAAAAAUUCACUAAUUUUGGGUUUUUGCAAAAGUGUGACUUUUUUCGUUUUUGUAGAUUCGGUCUGAAUUUUCAGCAAACUGAUCAAAAUACUUUUAUUAUUUUUUCUCUCUCCUCUUUCUCUCUCCUCUUUUUUUCUCUCGUUUAUUUUUUUUUCUCUCGUCGAAGAAAGCAGCGGAGGCAGAGGCGGAGGCUGAAACCCCCUGCCACGCCUUUCACCCUCAUGCUCUCGCCCUUGCCUUUGGUUUUUCUCUUUUUUGUGAUUGUAUCAGCUUUUGCUGAGAAUACGAGUUUAUAGUAAAAAUUCGAUUCGACGCUUCCGUUGUGUAAUCCCAACAAUCGGCUCCGAAUCCACAGCAAUCGGUAUCGAAGCGGGUUGCGAAUUCUCAAAAUCCGGUACCAAGACGAUUACCGAAUUCCCAAUAUAUAUAUAUAUAUAUAUAUAUAUGAGUCCGGCUACUGUACUAUUGAUAGUACCAAGCCUUUGGUACUAUUGAGUUUUCUACCGUUAGAUGUACUCUUUGAUCAUUUCCACCCGUUAGAUUAUACUAUUAAGCCAACCACCCACUCAACCUCAGGGGACCACUAUCAACCUAACCGCACAUCCUUUCAUCCAACGGCCAAAAACUCAAUAGUACCAAGGGCUUGGUACUAUUGAUAGUAUAGUAGCAUAAUUCUAUAUAUAUAUAUGAAUUAGCCUGAAAUACUAUUAAUAGUAAAACGCUCUAUUUGCUAUCAAGUUUUUAACCCUUGGAUGAAAAAUUGUAAGGUCAGGAUGAUAUUAGUCAGUUAUAGUUGAGUGGUCCCCCUAGGGUUGAGUGGUCUCUAUUGGGUUAUAGUAUUUAAUCCAAUUGUUAGAAAUAAUGAAAAGAGUUGAUCCAAAAGCUAAAAAACUGGUAGCAAUAAUAGGAUUUUGCUACUAAUAGUAGCCCAGUCCAAACUAUAUAUAUAUAUAUAUUAAAACACCUCUCUUUAAUUACUUAAGUUUCUAUAUAAAAAUAAUUGUUUCACAUCCUUUCAUAAAUUUAACUUUUUUCAUAUUAUAAUAAAUUGAUUAUAAUAUAAUUCCUACUGUUCAAUUAGAAAAUAAUGAAGUAUAUCUUUAUAUGAUUUAACUCCAACCAAGUUUCAACUACUAGCAUGCUUCAAUACCCAAAUAGGUCCUAAGUUACAAGACAAUCCAACAUAAGGAAAGCCCAAGUUCUAAGUUGGCACUAAAGCUUAUUUACUGAGUAAAAUUCGAUUUACCCACACCCCCUACCCCUGUAAUUUAGUGGAGUUUCACUUUGUUCUUAUGUAGUUUAAAGGUUGCAUUUAACCAUCAUGUGAUUUUUUAUUUUUAUUUUAUCAAUAGAACUUGACAUCAGUUAGCAAAUUGAAUUUUUUGUUCUGUUUAACACUAAGUCUUUACAAGAAAAUAAAAUUAAUAUUAUAGGAUAGUUAAGUAUAACUUUUCAAACCGCAUAAUAACAAAGUGAAAAAAAAUAUUAAACAGCAGUAAAAAAAAUUAAAAAUUACCUAAUUAAAUUCAUCAUACUUACUCGAUCCCGAUUCAUGCAUUUGUUUCCCUUCAAAGAUUCUACAAUCUCAUUUUCUCAACGAUAUCUGAGUGCAAAUUAAACAUGUAUUAAACCAAAAAUCAAAUCACGGAUUAUAAUUUUUUAAUGCAUAAAUCUUUUAAAUUUUAUAAGAUUAUAUCAAAUUAAUUAAAUUUUAAUUAAUUUUCAAAUUGUUUAGGGGAAAAGAUAAUUAGUUAUUCGUUUUGUUCAUUUUGAGAAUUUCUUUUGGCACCGACUAUUACUAGUGCAAGUAAUAAAGAGAUUGGUGGUUGGUAUUCGAAAUUCUAAAUUCGAACUAAAUUUAUUUUUAAAUAAAAUAAACAAAUCGAGUAGCAUGCUACCUACCCAUCUCUUAAAAAAACAGAAUUUCUUUUGGCAAAACCUACCAAAUGUAGACCCAAUGUGUGCGUGUGCAAACGUUAUUUUUGGCAAAACCGACUAGAUGUAGACCCAAUGUGUAAUGUGUACGUGUGCAAACGUUAUUUUUGGCAAAAUCAACUAGAUGUAGACCCAAUGUGUACGUGUGCAAACGUUAUUUUGUCUCUUAUCAAUAGUUAGUAAAGUCGCAAUCGAGAGGGGGACAACUUUUAUUGCAGCUGAUGUGUUGUUAUUCAAAUUAUGGGAGCAGUUGUUGCCCAACGGGAAUAUAAAGGACUGAUAAGAGACGUGCAGGAAUUAAAACAAGUUAUAUUUAAAUUUAAAAAAUACUAUUGUUCAGGAUAGUUGUUUAGCAUUAUGAAAGUUUUUUUAAAAAAAAUUUAAGAACGCCACGCUUAUGUAUUAAAAUAUCACAAUGCCCUUGUAAAUUAAUAAUAUCAUUCGUGCUCUUUUAAAUGGUCAUAAAUAUUAUAGUAAAUAGCUCCAGUGAUUAGUUUCUAUUGAAAAAUCUCGUCAUUAAUUGUUAUAAAAUAUUUAGUUUUUUACCAUUACGUACUAUUAGUAUAGUAACCCGUGCGAUGUGAUUAACAGAUAAUUAAAGGAAAAAUAAAAAACGGCGACAAAGAAAGAGUAAACGACAAUGGAAGAAGUGACGGUGAGGAGAUUCAUCCCGCUGAUAAACGAAGAUAAAAGUUGAAGAAAGAGGAAAAGAUAUAGUUUGGUCUAAUGCAGAGUUGUGAUCCAGUUUGGUUCAUGCAAAAAAAAAAAAUCCGAUUCGGUUCAAGCAAAAAAAAAAGAAAAGCUUGAGACGGUUUGGGGUAAAACCCACACUCUAUAGUGAUUGAUUCAGUUUAAAUAUAAAAAAAAGAAAAAAAUUGGUUCAAAGAUGGAAACAUGUGGAGCAGUUGGGCUGGUUUAGCCCAAUGGAACAGGUUGAUCUAAUUCGUUUCAAGUAAAGAAAGAGAGAAAUCAGACUCGUUCCACGUACGUAAAGAAAGAGAAAAAUAUGUGAAAAACUUAAGCCGGUUUUCAGAGGAGUCUACACUCAACAAUGAUCAGUUCGGUUCAAGUAAAGAAAAAAAAAAUCCGAUUAGAUUCAAGAAAAAUAAGGAACAAAAAAUGGAGAAGUUGAAUAGGUUCUUGAUGAAGCUCACACUUAAUAAUGAAAGGAAUGUUAUUAUGUGGCAAAACUAGAAAGCAUAACGUAUAGGGAUAAAUUGAUAUCGUUAAUGUUGCUUAAAUUUUCUAUUGCUGAUAUUCAAAGUUUUCUACAUCAUUAAUGUCGCUUAAAUGGUAUUCAAAAUUUUCUAUAGCGUAUUUUCCAAAUUUAUUAGAACUAAGAUUAGGAUAAUGCUAUUUGACAUGAGAUAACAUGAGAGAUAUUUAUGAUAUUUUUAGAAGUAUUUGUGAUAGUAAAAGAUUUUGAGGAGUAGCUAUGAAGCGGUCCCUAAAAAUCUCUGCAGUUCGAGCUCUCACAACCUCGUUUCAAAAUUUGGAAGAUUUUAUGUAGUACAAUUUUUAGACGGUGUUCUUAAUUAAGGGAAGAAACUUAUAAGCAACUUCAAAGGAAAAAAAGUUAUAUACUCGAUCGCGUAUAAUUUGGAAAUUUGAAUAUGAGUUUUGUCCUUUUUUUUUGAGAGAGAUCUAGAAAGGUAGCAUAAUACUCGCUUUGUUUAUUUCAUUUAUAAAUAAACUUAGCUGAAAAUGUGAAUCAAAUAGAAUUCGAAUUUGGAUCUCGAGUACCAAGCACCAAAUCCUUUGCCACUUGCUCUAGAGACAGUCGGUGAUAAAUAAUAUGACUUGAACACUCGUGCAAGGUGAUAGCAUAUACCCUCACCCACUUUUCAUAUGCACAAGACAUUAAUUAUAAUGUAUGUUUGUAAUAUACCGGAUUUUUAAUAUAAAAAUAAGUGUAAAUAAAAAUAGUGUAAAAUACUAUUUUUAUUGGACUUAGAGAAUGGAAACAGAAGAUUUAGAAUUUUCUGUAAGAAAUGAGAUUGAUAUUUUAGCAGAAAAUUCAGUGUCAGAAAAUUAUUUUUGUUAGUGACAAUGUUGGCGGUCUCGAGGCGUGACAAUGUUGGUGCAAGUAAAAUUUAUUUUUGUCCAAAUUAAUAUGGAAUAAGUAAUGAGAUUUGAAUUCUUUUUAUUAACCCUUCAACUCAGUUUGUUCUACUUACAGUACGGCGUUGGACCACUGUGUUAGUUAAUUCGCGUAUAAUACGCGAAUUAUACGUGAACAAACGGAAAACCAUAAAAAACGCUCCGUUUACGAAUUUUUUUCCAAAAAACCGAAAAAAACACGUUUUUCUCCCUCCCUCAGAUUAUUCGCGAUAAAAAUGGUUUUUCCGAGUUAUAUUUCGAAAAAUUCGGAUGUAGCAGCGGUGGAAAGAUAAAAUUUCUUGAGAAAUUUGGAUUUGGUGGCUGCAGACUGAUGAAAUUUUUUGGACCAGCUUUUUGGACCGGCAUCAGGCGAGCACCAUUCCGCAAAUUCGCGCACCUCUUCGUGAGCAAUCGAGCAACUUUGACUGUUCAAUUUUGAAGGAAACAUGCAGACCGAGCGAAGCAAAGAAGAAAAGGGGCGAGCGAGGAAGAAGGAGGAGCUUGGAAAAAAUCGCAUUGUAUGUUGGAAAAUAGUAGGGUCCACGAGGCUGCAUUCAAGGCCUUUGAAAACCACAAACAAACUACAAUCCUAAUUAAAGAGAGUCAUCGAUAUUUACAAUCCUAUUAAUAGAGAAUCAUUGAUAUGUCCUAGUUCACCUACUGAUCAACCACGAUAAUUAUAAUAAAAUCAAACUUAUAAAAUAUUGAAAUAUAGAAGAAGGCUUGACUAACAAAUAUAACAAAUAAGUUAAGUCCCCUUAAUCAAAUUUGUAUCUUGGAAUAAUCUCUCAUGCUACUUCUUCUUACACUCAACUACUGUACUUUUCUCUUUCUAAGGUGUUCAAUAUGUGCAUUCAAUAUGUGCAUAGUGUUUCUAUUUAAUUUGCUUUCUUUUUAAUUUUUUCGACAUGAACUUUUUUUUUGAACUUUUUUUUUAUUCUUUUUUCCUUUUCCACUUCACUAUUUCUUUUCUUUUUUCCUUCUCUACUUCCAUCGCAUCAUUGGAAUCCGAAUGUAGCAAUGUAAGUUCCAUCCAGAUUUAAUGCAAAUUAUAGUGAACAGCAUAGAAAUUUGCACUUUUUUUUUUGCAUAUUUUUUUAUUCAGCAAGAAAACAUUUAAGUUAGCAAUGAUAAUAAAAAAGAAGACAAUAUUAAAAUGAUACAAACAACAAUCAACUCUUAUAUCGAAAAAAAGGUAUGAAGACACAGAUCACACAAAACUUAGCCAGUUCCCGAGCAAACAAAAGAAAAGUCCCAAAAUUAGGGAUUCUGUGCUUCGAGGGGCAUAGAGGCCUUUUUACUCCUAAAUUAUUUUCGAUGAUGAAAUUUUCGAAUCGAUGAUCAAUUCCGUUAUAUUUGAUCUAGCGUAUUUGAAGUAUAUAGAAAAAGAUUUGAUCUAGCGUAUUUGAAGUAUAUAGAAAAUAAAUUUUACGUUUUUUCGAUAAUUCUUUAAUGAUCGAAAGCGUUCAAAAUUAAUGGCUGAAAAUAAAGAAUGCAUAAAAAAUGAUGAUAUAAAGAUCGUAUUAAAAGUUAGGGUCAAAAUUGGAUUGGACUAUAAAUAAAUUAGUUCAUUUUUAUUUCAGGAUGGAAUGCAAAUCAAAAUUUGCUUUUUGUAAAGCAAACAAUACAUUCGAAAUAAGUGAAUGUUCAUUUUUAUUUGCUCUCUUGCAUUCUUAUUUUUGUAGCUCCCCACAAUAAAUGCAAUAUUUUCCAAAAAUAUUAGAAAAAUUAAAGAAUAUAUACACCCUCAUAAUGUGUACAUAUUAUUGUAAUGUGCAUGUCCCUGGUCAAAACUUACGUGAGGUUAGUUUUCCAAAUUAUCUAUUUAAAUUGUUGGAUCUAGCAUGUCGUCAGAAAAAAUUACGUGGAGUUAGUUUUCCAAAUUAUCUAUAUAAGAAUGUAAGAUUUAUUACCACGUAGGUGUUAAAUCUCACAUUCUGAGAUAAUUUGAUAAGGUAGUUAGAAUUUUUCUUCUCUCUACUAUUAGUGGUCCCAAACUUCUUUUAGACCUACUGCCUGGAAAAAUUAUAAGGUACACCAAAAAGUUACAAAAAAAAAAAAAAAAAAAACAAAAAAAACAAAAAAAGAAAUAAACCAAGCCUAGCCUAGAUGCUUGUUGGUUGGUACCCGAGAUUCUAAGUUCAAAAUCUAAUUACUUCACAUUUUCAAUUAAGUUUAUUUCUAAAAUUAAUAAACGAAGCACAAAACAAAAACUUUCAAUUUAUUUGGAUAAUUUAUUAAUCCUAUCCUACUUAUUUUAGAAAAAAAAGUUAUAAUAUUUAAUAAGAAAGAACCAAAAGAGUCUAAUGGAUUUAAAAAAUUAAUAAUUGGAGGAAAGGAAAUUCUAACUAGCUUAUCAAGUUGCCUCAAGAUAUGAAAUUCAAUAUGUAUGUGACGAUACCGACCGUCCCUAGCGCAAGUGGUAACAAGGCUUGAUGGUUGGGAUCUGUGACCCAAUUCGAAUCCUUGUUGAUUCACAUUUUCUAGUCAAGUUUAUUUCUAAAUGAAAUAAACGAAACGAGUAGCAUGCUAUCUUUCUCUCAAAAAAAAAAAAAAAUCUGUAUGUGACGAUAAAUUCGACAUUCUCAAAUAGAUAAUUUGAAAAACUCUCUUGUGCGCAAUUUUUGGCAAUGUCACCUAUGCAUCAAAUUGUAUGGGACCAUUUCCAUUAACUUCGCACGAGCAUUAUCUCGAAGUAGGUGUCUAGGUGAUGGAAAGUGUUUGGGGGUAAAAUGUACGGCCACACCCUCAACUACAGGCCAUUCCAAGCUUGGAUCCCAAACAUUUCCUCUUUUUUUUUCUGAUAUUUUUUUUGUUUUAAAUUUUUGAUAAAUUGAGAUGUUUUAGUGAAAUACAUUAAGAAUUUUAUCAGAUUUUCCUUGACUCCAUAAGAAUCAGAACUAAACGAUGUUUAGCAAGGUAAUAAUUCAUCUUGUUUUAUCUUAAGAACAUGGUUAUAACUUAUAAGCGGGGAUGAAGCUAGAAUACAAAAAGAAACUUUAGCAAAUAAACAAGAUUUUACCUAAUUUAAUAUUUUAAUAAAAAAAUUUAUUAAUUAAAUAAUUAAUAAAAAUAUGAACUUUAUUUUUUUUCUAUUUUCAGACGUUUAACUUCUAAUUAAUUAUUUUAUUUAUAUUAUUACAUUCAAAUAACUUAAAAAUUUUACAAAAUCUAACGGUGAUUUCUUAAUUUUUAGUAAAUAAAAUUAGCAUAGCUAUUAAAUUUGGUGUAAUCUUUUAUAUAGUUAAAUAAAAUAGCUCAACUAACAUAGUUAGAAGUUAAAAAAAUAUUAAACGAAAAUUAUAGAGCGGAGAAAUAUAUUUCAAAAUGCUCUAUGAGUAAGUGGCUCUUAAUAUAUUUUCACUUACAUAAAGAGUAUACAAAUAAGGAGAGGGAGAGUUAUACUAGCACCACGAGCUAUUAAGCAAAUAUUAAAAAGCUAGGAGAACCACGACUACCCAAAAAAGAGAGCUGAAUAAAUACCAAAAAGUAUUGAGAAAAUAUUAAGAAGUUGGGGGGAGCCAUGGCAACUUUUUUUUUGUUUUUUUUUUUUUGUUUUUUUUUUGUUUUUUUGCUUUUUUAUUUUUUUUCACCUUUCGUUGAGGCCUUGCUGCCUCACCCAUGUAGCUUAAUUCACUUACUGAAUGAAUAAAGUGGGUAACGCGCUACCUUUCUCUCAAAAAAAAAAAAAAAUGUGGGAGCCUAAGAUUUAUUUUGGUAUCAUGUUAAUCAAGAGAUUCAUAUAUUAAGAAAUAAUUUACUAAUUUAAAAUCAUUUGUCAUGCAAAGUAUAUCAAAUAAAAAUGAAAAUACAUGAUGUACGUGGAACAUAAUAUUAGACACACAUUGGGUGCAAUUCUUACACAGAUGCACUUUGCCUGUCCAUAAUGGAUGGCUCAAAUAGAACUACCGGUCUCGCGCUUGGAACUAUAGAGAAAUUGGGCCUUAAUGUCUCUCUUGAUUGAUAAACUAUUUUAUCUAGUUUCAUAUAUUAUUACAUAAGCUAUUUUAUCUAGUUACAUAUAUUAUUAGGAAAUAGAUCCAAUUUCAUUUGUUCCUUCUGUUUUAAAUAAAAUAGAUAUCAAUCACUAGGCGAAGCCUAAAUAUGAUAUUCUCUAGCUACUUAGAUCUUAAACAUCAUUAAGGUCCUAUUUAAAUGUCGGAAUAAGUUAUUCCAAAAUAGCUUAUUAGGUAUAAGAAAUUUCUAGUGUGAUUAUAAGAAAGAAGCUUUUUUUUUUUUUUUUUCUUGAAAGACUUUGAUAUCCAUAAUUUGAUAGAAUAACAUAUUUAUUUACGAGUGAUUUGUCUUAUUCGAAAAAUGGCGUAAAGGGUGAAUUUAUACUCAUUUAUUAAUAUUUGAUCACACACCUCAUGUGUUAAUAUGUUUUAACUUUUCAUACAAAAUUAAAAAGAUAUACCGAAUACGAUAUUUAUACAUUCAAAUCGGGUUGAAGUUAUAUAUGACGGUAUCAAUCCAACUCGGAUUAAACUUAAACUAAACCAAUUCAUUCAAAAAAAAAAAAAAAAACCAAACCACACCAAUUAAAACCUGUCUUAUUGGAGAACCGCCAAAGAGGAUGGAGCGGGGCCAAGUCUCUCAUGGUGCUACUACUAUAUAUGUGGGCUAAGAGCCAGGUCGAUCCGUAUAGAAUUUUUUUUUCACAAAAUUAUUUUUAUAUAGAAUAAAGGUUUUUUAAUAAAUAUUUUUUAUUUAUGGUAAAUAUCAAUGACCAUUUUUAUAUACAUUUUUUAUAUUUAUUCUUCAUUAUACAUUGGCUUCAUAGUACUAGCUAUCGUCUAACACAAACACUUAUUUCUAGAAUACGCGCAUACACAAUUGCCUUGCAUAAGGAGACAAAUGUUCGAUCCAUUUUGUAAUACUAAUAAGAAACAGUACUAGAUCACAGUAAUUAAGGAGCACACUCUCUAUUGUAGAUCUUUAAACUAGCUUACAUACUCACUGAACACACCGAAACAUAACAGAAAUUAACCACAAGGUCGAAGCAAGCAGCUGAACAAAUGGAUGCGUACAUGCAUCCUUAUUUAUAACUAAGCAAAUAUGAUAGCAAACUGCAUGCAGUGCGUUGCUAAUCAUCACUGCCGACCUACACUGAGCUUCGACUUUCAAAAACAAUCUAAAUGACUUCGACACUGGGCCCUGAUUGUAGAGUGGGAUAGAGAGGGUCCAUGGCGAUUCCACAUAAUCCAAAUGACGAUGACACAUCUCUUGCCAAGCGGAUGUAUCCACCCUCACCCCAUCCGGCACCCCAUGAGUUCCUUACUAUCCAAAAUUUUUUUCCGCUGCUAUCCUGCCCGUAACCUAUAAUGACGAUGGCAUGAUUGAGUCUAGUUCCACAAGGUCCGGUAAACACACCGCGCUUGUAAUGUUGAAAGUUUCCACUGGCAUCGAGAGCAGCAGCUAUUGGUUGAUUCGACACAGCGUACAUCAUGUUGCGUUCGUUGUUCCUCUGCACAUAUGUAUAGCGAGUAAUAUAAGCUGAAUUGGGCACGCCAUUGGUCUUGCAGGUACCUUUGGCUGCUUUGUAAGGGUAGAUAGCUGCGGAUGCCACGCCCUUGUUGGAUAUGAUGAAACUGUAGGCCUUGUUUAUCCAGCCGCCUUUGCACCCGUAGCUUACAGCACAAUCGAGAACUUGCUGCUCCGAUAAAGAUACUAAGUUCCCUCUUUUGAUCUUGUAGAUUGAUUCUACCGUCGCAAUUGAAGCGAAUGCCCAGCAAGAACCUGUGCCGAAACAAAGAUUAAAUCGUGUUAGCAUAACAAGUGUAAGCAAAGUUACAUAUAUAUGUAGGUUGCCAUGAUAAAAGAAAGCAUUCAAACCAAUUACCUAAUUAGAUGAUACUUGCAAGUACUUAGCUGCUUUUAACUUGUUUUCAAUACUUGUCAUGCAUAGGGGAUGUCCCGUUCUUUUUGACUAAAACGUAUUUUGCUUACUUUAAUAAUAUAAUUAUUGUAAUAACUUAAUUAACAAUAAGAAAUUCAAUAAUAGACCUAACAUCCAGAUGAGUUGAAUCAAGUCGAAAUCUAUAAAUGUUAUGGUUAAGUCUUUAAGUGUGUUGGAUACAUUCUUUUUAUCGCCACUUUUUCUGUAAUAGUUGAUUAUCACUUACCAUCCACAUUCGAUAGCUAGGAUGAUUUUUUAUUAACUAGAUUCAAUAUUUCGACAAUUUCCUUGUAUGAAGACUGAUAAUGUGUCCUAAUGAAUGUUUAGACACUUUUAAUUUGAUCGGCCAAAAUAAUGGACUUGUUGGGUUUUAGUGGGUGGAAAUUUGGUCCUUUAGUCCAAAAACGGCAGAAGGCAUAUUUGGUGAGAUUUGAUCUAAACAACAUGUUUAAAGUUAACUAAAAGAAUAGGUAUUUGUUCCUAGCUGAAAAAAUGAAGUUGCUUUGACAAUUUAUAGUCCACAUUAAUCCUUACCACAGCGGCCUUGGUUCUUGACACUUGUUACGGCACCAGAGUCUCUCCAAUCAAUACUUUGAGGCACCGAGGAGAUGUCUACGUCAUCAAACGACACCACUGGCUCUCUCUUGAUAUUUAGUGGGAGAGAUAAACCAGUAUAUUGAGCAACAAAUUCGUUAUUUGUCAUAUCGGUAAAUUGAUUGAUACCGAGAGUGUACGAAUUUCCGUUGCGAUUGUUAAAGGUUUCGAUAUGGUUCACGUUGUUCUUGAAUAUCUGAAACCGGAGCAUCUUCUCGUCGUUGUCCUUGUAAACUCGGCCGUACUCCGCCAUCCAUUCUUCAAACUGCUUCAUCAUGGGAUCACUGGGUUCGUCACAAGAAGCUGCCGAUGGCGAAGCCCACAUCACACAGAGAAACAAGAAAAGAAACACGAGUUGAACUUUGGAAGUCAUGCUUAUGUAGCACUAAAUAUCUACUUUUAUGUAUGAGGAAAUUGGAGAUCGAGCUUCAAGAGCUUUUGUUGCUGAGAGUAUGGCCUCAAGAUCGAGUUUAUAUAGAAGUUGGAGUAUUAAUAGGUGGAGGCCUACAAGAUGGCAUAAAUCACCAUCAAAUUAAAAUUAAAUAGAUCUUGACCGCUUAUGACACCGCGUCAUUUGGUCACGCGCUAAUCAUGAAAAAGAUAAUAAUGUUUCUCUACUUCUCUCACAUUUUAACUUUAUAAUUUCUUUCAUAGGGCAUAAAAUGACUAAUUAAAUAGAUCUUGAACCCUCCUCGCCAUAAGAUCAUCUUAGGUGCAAGCAAAAAGGAAUGUACAUUUCUCCAUUUCUAUCUUUUCACUCUCUAACUUUAAUCUUUCAUGCAUAGGCUAUAUAUAUUCGUUCUUCUUGUUUCUUUUUCCGUUGCAUGAGCAGGACCAACCCUAGAAAUAAAAACCUGAUCUGUAGUUUAGUCAAAUAUUGCUUUAAAACUCGAUCGAUCUGUAAUUUGAAAAGUAGCCAACUUUGAAACAGCAUAUAUAUAGUUGCAGCUCAAGCGGAAAAUAAACCAACUAAAAGCUAAGGUUCCCUUUAGAAUUGCAGCCACAUUACAUUGCGUACGGUAAGAAAUUAAAAAUAUAAAAAUAUUUUAUUUAUUUUCAUUAGUGAUUUUUAAAAUAUAAAUAUUAAAAAUAUUAUUUUCUAUACUAUAAACUUUAAGAUUAAUGAUUAUUUCACAUCCUUCUACUCUAUAUCAAUUGAAGGACUUGUGGCUUUAAGUUCUGCCCAUUUAAAAAUAUUCAAUAUUUUUAUAUAUAGGAACCCGGCGUCUCCCAAACUAAGUAUUACCUAUUCUAAUACUAUGCGAAAUAACAUGACACAGCGGUUGUUCUCCAAAAACUUAAAGAUGCCUCAGAGGAUAAGGCACUAAGUUUGAAUCUUAUCGGGCAAUAAUUUCAUCCAAUUUCUUUUAAUUUAAUUUAAUUUAAUUCAAGUUCACAUUUUAAGUCUACUGAAAUUUCUCGAACCUAAACAUGAGGUAGAGUGUUAAUUUUAUAUAUAUAUAUAUAUAUAUAUAUAUUGUUAAGAUUUCGUUAGAUUUAUAGAUUAAAUUCUAGUUGGAUAAAAAUUAAUAUUUAAAUUUGUUGGAGAUAAAUUAAAAUUUAAAUAUUAUUUAGAGUAUGAAUCUAACUAGAGUAGGAUAAAUAUUUAAAUCUAUUGGAGAUAAAUCAAUUAAGAUUUAAAUAUUUAUUGGAGUAGAAAAAUAAAUAUACUAGAAUUCGGGUACGCUUUGAUAUAAGCUUUAUAAAUAAAUUCAUCAUACUUACUCGAUCCCAAUUCAUUCGUUUUCCUUAUAAAAAAAAUAUUCUACAAUGUCAUUCUCUCAACGAUGUCUGAGUGCAAAUUAAACAUGUAUUAAACCAAAAAUCAAAUCACGGAUUAUAAUUUUUUAAUGCAUAAAUCUUUUAAACUUUAUAAAAUUAUAUCAAAUUAAUUAAAUUUUAAUUAAUUUUAAAAUUUUUUAGGGGAAAAGAUGCUUAGUUAUCUGUUUUGUACAUUUUGAGAAUUUCUUUUGGCACCGACCGUCACUAGCGCAAGUGGUACAGGGUUUGGUGGUUGGUAUUGGAGGUCCCAAAUUCGAGUUAAGUUUAUUUCUAAAUGAAAUAAACGAAGCGGGUAACAUACUAUCUAUCUUUUAACAAAAGGGGAAACUUCAAAUACCCGCCUGUGGUUUCGUACUUUCUCACUUUAGUACCCUGUGGUUUAAAGUGUAUCAAGUUGGUACCUAGCUGUGGUUUCGUAUUUUUUCACUUUCGUACUCUGUGAUUUCAAGUGUAUCAAGUUAUUAUCCUAUGGUUUCGCACUUUCUCACUUUAGUACCAUGUGAUUUAAUAUUUUGUUAAAUUAUAUGCCUCGAAAUGAAUAAUAAAAACAGAAAAUUGAAACCACAGGGUACUAACUUGAUACAAAAAUAAAACCACAAGGUAAUAACUUAAUACAGUUGAAACCAUAUAGUACUAAAGUGAGAAAGCGCGAAACCACAUGGUACUAACUUGAUAUAUUUUAAAUCACAAGCUACUAAAGUGAGAACGCAUGAACCCAAUGGGGGUAUUUGAAGUUUCACCUAAAAAAAGAAUUUCUUUUGGCAAAGCCUACGAGAUGUAGACCCAUGCAAUGUGUACGUGUGCAAACGUUAAUUUCUCUCUUAUCAAUCGUUAGUAAAGUUGCGAGGGGAACAACUUUUAUUGCAGCUGAUGUGUUGUUAUUGGAAUUAUCGGAGCAUGUGUUGCCCAACGGGAAUAGGGCUGAUAAGAGACGUGCAUGAAUUAAAAAAGUUAUAUUUAAUUUUUUUAAAAAAAUAUUGUUCAGAAUAGUUGUUUAGCAUUAUGAAAGAAUUUUUUUUAAAAAAAGUAUCAAUGCCACGCUUAUGUAUUAAAAUGCCCUCAUAAAAUGAUAAUAUCAUUCAUGCUCUUUUAAAUGGUCAUAAAUCUUAUAGUAAUUAGCUCUAGUGAUUAAUUAGUCUCUACCGAAAAAUCUCGUCAUUAAUUAUUAUAAAAUAUUUAUUUUUUUACCAUUACGUACUAUUAGUAUAAUAACUCGUGCGAUGUGAUAAAUAGAUAGUUAAAGAAAAAAUAAAAAAUGGCCACAAAAAAGAGUAAAUAACAAUGGAAGACACUACAACAGAAUUAGGUUAUAGAAACACAUGUUUGGAACACUUUUGAGUAAGUAUCCCAUUUAUACUAAAAUUUAAAAAAAUAUCUACUAAUGCCUAAAUAUAAAGCCCAAUCCAACCAAAAAUAAAAGAUUACUUUACUCAACCCACCACACCCAGUCCAUUUGGCCUGAUUACAAACAGAAAAAAAAAAGAAAAAUUAAUUACCAUAUUUUCUUCUCGCUUUACUCAAUCCACUGAAAUUCUAGACGAAGAGCCAUUCCUGUCGUCCUCCUCCGCCACCGCAGCCAACGAGAUAGAGUUUCGGCGGUUGCGAAAUGCUUAAAUAAGUUGUUGGUAAAUUAGCAGCACUCUUUUAGGUUAUAGCGACACUCUUUAACUGUCACUAUAUAUCUAGCGAACCCACAUAUAGCAACACUUUUUAAAAGUGUCGGUAAUUUUAGCUAGCAUCACUUUUUUGACAUGUACCUACAUUUAAAAGUGUCGUUAUAGACCGUUUUUAUUGUAGUGAGAACUGACGAUGAGAGAAGAGAUUUAUCCUGCCGAUGAACGAAAAUAACAGUUGAAGUGACAAAGGGCUUGGUGGUUGGUACUCGAGACCCAAGUUCGAAUCCUAGUUGAUUCACAUUUUCAGCUAAGUUUAUUUUUAAAUGAAAUAAACGAAGCGGGUAGUGUGCUACCUAUCUCUCAAAAAAAAAAAAAAAAAUAGCAGUUGAAGAAAGAGGAAAUGAAAUAGUUGGUCUAAUGCAGAGGCGUGAUCUAGUUUGGUUCAAGGAAAAGAAAAAUCCGAUUCAGUUCAAACAAAAAAAAGAAAAAACUUGAGACAGUUUGGGAUAAAGCCUACACUCAAUAGUGAUCGAUUUAGUUCAAGUAUAAAAACAGAAAAAAAAAAAAAUUUGGUUCAAAGCUGCAAACAUGUGGAGCAGUGGGGCUAGUUUAGCCCAAUGCAACAGGUUGAUUUGAUUCGUUUCAAGCAAAGAAAGAAAGAAAUCAGGUUCAUUCCACGUGAAAAAGGAGAAAACUUAAGCGUAUUUUCAAAAUUUAUUAGAACUAAAAUUAGGAUAACGCUAUUUGACAUAAGAUAAUAUGAGAAAUAUUUAUGAUAUUUUUAGAAGUAUUUGUGAUAGUUUAAGAUUUUGAGGAGUAGCUAUGAAGUUGUCCCUAAAAAAAUCUGCAGUUCGAUCUCUCACAACCUCGUUUCAAAAUUUGGAAGAUCAAUCUCCUUGACUUUCGAAUUUUAUGUAGUACAAUUUUUAGACGUUGUUCUUAAGGUAAGAAAUUUAUAAGCAACUUUAAAGGUUUUAGUCAAAUAUAUUCACUACAAAAAAAACGGUCUAUAGUGACACUUUUAAAUAUAGGUACAUGUCAAAAAAGUGUUGGUAGCAAAAAUUACCGACACAUUUAAAAAGUGUUGCUAUAUGUGGGGUAGCUAGGUAUAUAGUAACAGUUAAAGAGUGUCGCUAUAAUCUAAAAGAGUGCUGCUAAUUUACCAACACUUAUUUAAGCAUUUAGCAACCGCCGAAACUCUAUCUCGUUAGCUGCGGUGGCGGAGGAGGACGACAGGAAAGGCUCUUCGUAUAGAAUUUCAGUGGAUUAAGUGAAGAGAGAAGAAAAGAUGGUAAUUGAUUUUUUUUUUUUCUUUUCUGUUUGUAAUCGGGCCAAAUGAACUGGGUGUGGUGGGUUAAGUAGAGUAAUCUUUUAUUUUUGGUUGGAUUGGCCUUUAUAUAUAGGCAUUAGUAGAUGUUUUUUUAAAUUUUAGGAUAAAUGAGAUACUUACUCAAAAGUGUCCCAAACAUGUGUCCCUAUAACCUAAUUCUGUUGUAGUGUAUAUAUUAAGAAUUUUAUCAGAUUUUCCGUGAUUUCAUCAAAUUUAAAAGUUUUGACCAUUUCUAGCAAUUGAAGCUUGAAUAAUUUACAACUAACUAGAAUUGCCCAAAUUAAACAAAUUUAGAAGAUAAAAAGAUGGUAAGAGUGGAGGAGUCGAUUUCAAAGGAGCCUAUGAUUGAGCACGUCUUCGUACACUUCUAUCAAUUAUCUGCUCACGUAUGCAGCAGCCAGAGCUAAACUAUGUUUAUCGAUCAGGGCAAUAAUUCGCCUUUUUUUUUUAAUGAUCUUAAGAACAUGGUUAUAAGCUUUAAUUAAAAUUAUAGAGCUUGACAACAAGUUGAACAAGUUUAUGACAAAAAUAAAUAUAUAUUAUAAGCACAGUCCCACAAAAUUGUGGGAGCAUAAGAUUUAGUUGGUAUCAUAUUAUACGAACGAACCAUAUAUCAUCGCUCAUGCAUUUUGACCGUUCAUAUUGGAUGGUCCAAAUAGAACGAUCGGUCUUGAUUGAUAAGGUAUAUAUAUUUUUUAAUGAUCUUAGGAAAUAAAUCCAAUUUCAUUUGUUCCCUUUGUUUUUAAUAAAAUAGGAAUCAUUCACUAGGCUCAGCCUAAAUCUAAUAUUCAUUGUAGAGGUGGCAAUCCAGCUUUGCUGCUCGCGAGUUAGUUCAUGUUCGGCUCGAAAUGAACUCGAAAUCGAAUCGCUCGUUUAGUAAACGAGUCGAACACGAGCUGAAGUUUUCAGCUCGUUUAAUAAACGAGCCAAACACAAGCCGGCGUCAGCUCGCUUAUUUUCGGCUCAAUAACAGCUCAAAUAUAUAUAUAUUUUAUAUUUAUAUAAUCUAUUUAAUUUAUAUUUAUAUAUUUAUAUAUAUAAAUAAAUAAUUAUGUAAUAUAUAUAUAUAUAAAAUUUAAUUUUUAGAAAAAAAAAUAUAAAGUCGAGCUCAAUUAAAAAAAAACUCAUUUAUAUAUAAAGUUUCAACCAUUAAAUCAAAAUCUAAUGAAUAAAAUUUUAUAAAUUUAUUUUUUAUAUAUAUUCAAUCUAAUUAAUUUAAUUUAUUGUUCAUUGGCCAACUCGUGUUCGGCUCAUUUAUUAAUAAAUCGAACACAAGUUGAAUUUUUCAGCUUGAUACUUUAACAAGUCAAUUCGUGUUCGGCUCGUUUAUUAAACGAGUCGAAUACGUGCCGGCCCUAGCUUACUCGUGUUCGGCUCCUUAACACCCCUAAUUCUUAGCUACUUAGAUCUUAGACAUCAUGAAGGUGCAGUCGGAAUAUCCAAAUAAGUUAUUCAAAGAGAAGAAUUUCUAGGGUGAAAGAAGUUUAUUUUUUCUCCUAGGAAAGAAUUUGAUAUCCAUAGUUAGAUACCAUAAUAUAUUUUAUCAAAUUUUAGAUUUUUGAUCACACUGCUCAUCUAUUAAUAUUAUGUAUAAAUUUUUUAAAUAAUAUUUAUAAAAUAUAUCAAUUAAGAUAUUCAUGCAUCCAAAUAGGGCCGAAGUUAUGACGGUACCAAUCCAACUUGGAUUAAGCCAAAUUCAUUCAUCGAAACCAAACCAUACCUAACAAAACGUCCUUUAUUAGAUAACAGCCAAAGAGGAUGGACCUGGACCAUGUCUCGUGGGCCUACUACUAUGUAGGCGGAGAACAAUGUCGGUCCACGAGAACACCUAAUAUUUUUUAAAAAAAUUUUAUUUUAAUAGAAUAUUUUUUUAAAAAAAAUAUAAUUUAUUUAUGUAUAAUGAAUGACUAAUUAUUGUAAUAGAAUAAAAUUUUCUCUUUAUUGUAAUAUUUUUUAAAAAAAAGAUUUGUUACCAAUCGUUCCUAAAGUAAAUGGCAAAGGGUUUGGUGGUUGGUAUACGAGACCCAAGUUUGAAUCCUAGUUGAUUCACAUUUCCAACUAAGCUUAUUUUAAAAUGAAAUAAAUGAAGUGGGUAGCGUGCUACCUAUCUCUCUCUUAANUGAUCUAGUACUGUUUCUUAUUAGUAUUACAAAAUGGAUCGAACAUUUGUCUCCUUAUGCAAGGCAAUUGUGUAUGCGCAAAAAAAAAAAAAAAAAUUGUUUUUCAUUAACAGAAACAUACUAGAUCACAGUAAUUAAGGAGCACACUCUCUAUUGUAGAUCUUCAAACUAGCUUACAUACUCACUGAACACACAGAAACAUAACAGAAACUUACCACAAUUAAUGUCGAAGCAAGCAGCUGAACAAUUGGAUGCGUACAUGCAUCCUUAUUUAUAACUAAGCAAAUAAGAUAGCAAACUGCAUGCAGUGAUCACUUCCGAUCGACCUACACUGAGCUUCGACUUUCAGAAACCAUUUUAAUGACUUCGACAUUGGCCCCUGAUUGUAGAGUGGGAUAGAGGGGACGUAUGGCGAUUCCACAUAAUCCAGAUGACGAUGACACAUCUCUUGCCAUACGGAUGUAUCCACGCUCACCCCAUGAGGCACCCCAUGAGUUCCUUACUAUCCAAAAUUUUUUUCCGCUGCUAUCCUGCCCGUAACCUAUAAUGGUGAUGGCAUGAUUGAGACUAGUUCCACAAGGUCCGCUAAACACACCGCGCUUGUAAUGUUGAAAGUCUCCACUGGCUUCAAUACUAGCAGCUAUUGGUUGAUUCGACACAGCGUACAUCAUGCUGCGUUCGUUGUUACUCUGCACACGUGUAUAACCAGUAAUAUAAGCUGAAUUGGGCACGCCAUUGAUCCUGCAGGUGCCUUGGGAUGCUUUGUAAGGGUAGAUAGCUGCGGAUGCCACGCCCUUGUUAGAUAUGAUGAAAUCGUAGGCCUUGUUCACCCAGCCGCCAUCGCACCCGUAGCUUACAGCACAAUCGAGAACUUGCUGCUCCGAUAAAGAUAUUAAGUAUCCUCUUUUGAUCUUGUAGAUUGAUUCUACCGUCGCAAUUGCAGCGAAUGCCCAGCAAGAACCUGUGCCGAAACAAAGAUUAAAUCGUGUUAGCAUAACUAGUGUAAGCAAAGUUACAUAUAUAUGUAGGUUGCCAUGAUAAAAGAAAACAUUCAAACUAACCCAAUUAGAUGUUAUUUGCAAGUACUGAGCUGCUUUUAACUUGUUUUCAAUAGUUGUCAUGCAUAGGGAUGUCUCGUUCUUUUUGACUAACAUGUACGUAUUUUGCUUACUUUAAUAAUAUAAUUAUUGUACUAACUUAAUUAACAAUAAGAAAUUCAAUAAUAUACCUAACGUCCAGAUGAGUUGAAUCAAGUCGAAAUCUAUGAAUGUUAUGGUUAAGUCUUUAAGUGUGUUGGAUACAUUCUUUUUAUCACCACGUAUUUAUGUAAUAGUUGAUUAUCACUUAUGAUCGAUCCUCAUUCGAUAACUAGGAUGAUUUUUUAUUCACUAGAUUCAAUACUUUGAUAAUUUCCUUGUAUGAAGACUGAUAAUAUGUCCUAAUGAAUGUUUAGACACUUUUGAUCGGCCAAAAUAAUGGACUUGUUGGGUUUUAGUGGGUGGAAAUUUGGUCCUUUAUAAAGGACCAAAUUAUAUUAUUUGAUGAGAUUUGAUGAGAUUAUAUUAUUUAGUCCAAAAACGGCAGAAGGCAUAUUUGAUGAGAUUUGAUCUAAAAUACAUAUUUAAAGUUAACUAAAAGAAUAGGUAUUUGUUCCUAGUUGAACAAAUGAAGUUGCAUUGACAAUUUAUAGUCUAAAUUAUUUCUUACCACAGGGGUUUUGGUUCUUGACACUUGUUACGGCACCGUAGUUUCUCCAAUCAAUACUUUGAGGCACCGCGGAGAUGUCUACGUCAUCAAACGACACCACUGGCUCUCUCUCGAUAUUUAAUGGGAGAGAUACUCCAGUAUAUUGAGCAACAAAUUCGUUAUUUGUCAUAUCGGUAAACUGAUUGAUACCGAGAGUGUAAGAAUUUCCGUUGCGACUGUUAAAGGUUUCGAUAUGGUUCACGUUGUUCUUGAAUAUCUGAAACCGGCGCAUCUUCUCGUCGUUGUCCUUGUAAACUCGGCCGUACUCCGCCAUCCAUUCUUCAAACCGCUUCAUCAUGGGAUCACUGGGUUCGUCACGAGAAGCUGCCGAUGGCGAAGCCCACAUCACACAGAGAAACAAGAAAAGAAACACGAGUUGAACUUUGGAAGCCAUGCUUAUGUAGCACUAAAUAUCUAGUAUAUGUAUGAGGAAAUUGGAGAGUCUGGUCUCAAGAUUGAGUUUAUAUAGAAGUUGGAAUAUUAAUGGGUGGAGGCCUACAAGAUGGCAUAAUUAAAUCUCCAUCAAAUUAAGAUUAAAUAGAUCUGGACCACUUGUGACACCGCGUCAUGUGGCCAUGGUCACGUGCUAAUCAUGAAAAAAAUGAUGUUUCUCUACUUCUCUCACAUUUUAACUUUAUAAUUUCUUUCAUAGGAUAUAGAAUGACUAACUAAUUAAAUAGAUCUGGAACCCUCCUCGCCAUAAGAUCAUCUUAGGUGCAAGCAAAAGGAACGUACGUACGUUUCUCCAUUUCUAUCUUUUCACUCUCUAAAUUUAAUCUUUCAUGCAUAGGCUGUAUAUAUUCGUUCUUCUUGUUUAUUUUUCCAUUGCAUGAGCAAUACCAACCCUAGAAAUAAAAACUUGAUCUGUAGUUUAGUCAAAUAUUACUUUAAAACUCGAUCUGUAAUUUGAAAAGUAGCCAACUUUGAAACAGCAUAUAUAUAGUUGCAGCUCAAGCGGAAAAUAAACCAACUCAAAGCUAAGGUUCCCUUUAGAAUUGCAGCCACAUUACAUUACGUACGGUAAGAAAUUAAAAAUAUAAAAAUAUUUUAUUUAUUUUUAUUAGUGAAUUUUAAAAUAUAAAUAUUAAAAAUACUAUUUUCCAUACUAUAAACUUUAAGAUUAAUGGUUAUUUCACAUCCUUUUACUCCAUAUCAAUUGAAAUAAGGACUUAUAUAUGGCUUUAAGUUCUGCCCAUUUAAAAAUAUUCAAUAAUUUUAUAUAUAGGAACCCCGCAUCUCCCAAACUAGGGAUUACCAGUUCUAAUACUACGCGAAAUAAUAUGACGUAACUGUUGUUCUUCAAAAACUUAAAGAUGGCUCAGAGGAUGAGGCGCUAAGUUUGAAUCUUAUCGUGCAAUAGGUUAAUCCAAUUUCUUUUUAUGUAAGUUAAUUUAACUCAAGUUCAUAUUUUAAGUCUAUUAAAACUUCUCGAGCCUAAACAUGAGGUAGAGUGUUAAUUUUAUAUAUAUAUAUUAAACAGACCUUUCUUUAAUAACUUAAGUUUCUAUAGAUAAAUAAUUGUUUCACAUUCUUUCAUAGAUUUAACUUUUUUCAUAUUAUAAUAAAUUUAUUAUAAUAUAAUUCCUAUGCUUUCAUUAGAAAAUAAUGAAGUAUAUAUCUUUAUAUGAUUUAACUCCAACCAAGUUACAUCUACUAGCAUGCUUCAAUGCCCAAAUGGGUGCUAAGUUACAAGACAAUCCAAAAUAAGGAAAGCCCAAGUUCUAAGUCGGCACUAAAGUUAAUUUACUGAGUAAAAUUCAAUUUACCCACACCACCACCCCCUGUAAUUUAGUGGAGUUUUACUUUGUUCUUAUGUAGUUUAAAGGUUGCAUGUAACUAUCGUGUGAUUUUUUAUUUUUAUUUUAUCUAUAAAACUUGACAUCAAUUAGCAAAGUGAAUUUUUUGUUCUGUUUAACAGUAAGUCUUUACAAGAAAAUAAAAAUUAAUAUUAUACGAUAGUUAAGUAUAACUUUUCAAACCGCAUAAUAACAAAGUGAAAAAAUAUUAAACAGCAGUAAGAAAAAUUAAAAAUUACCUAAUUAAAUUAAUCAUACUUACUCGAUCCCGAUUCAUUCGUUUUCCUUCAAAGAUUCUACAAUCUCAUUCUCUCAACGAUAUUUGAGUGCAAAUUAAAUAUGUAUUAAACCAAAAAUCAAAUCACGGAUUUUAAUUUUUUAAUGCAUAAAUCUUUUAAACUUUAUAAAAUUAUAUCAAAUUAAUUAAAUUUUUUAAUUAAUUUUAAAAUUUUUUAGGGGAAAAGAUACUUAGUUAUCCGUUUUGUUCAUUUUGAGAAUUUCUUUUGACACCGACUAUUUCUAACGCAAGUGGUAAAGAAUUUAGUAGUUGAUAUUCGAGAUUCAAAAUUUAAACUUAAUUUAUUUCUAAAUAAAAUAAACGAAGUGGUACCUAUCUACGAGAUGUAGACCCAAUGCGUACAUCCGCAUACGUUAUUUUCUCUCUUAUCAAUCGUUAGUAAAGUCGCAAUCGAGAGGGGGACAACUUUUAUUGCAGCUGAUGUGUUGUUAUUGGAAUUAUCGGAGCAUGUGUUGCACAACGGGAAUAUAAAGGACUGAUAAGAGACGUGCAUGAAUUAAAAAACAGUUACUGACGAUGGAAGAAGUGACAAAAAACAAAAAGAGAUUUAUCCUGCCGACAAAAAAAAGAGUAAAUGAUAAUGAAAGAAGUGGCGAUGAGGAAAGAGAUUUAUCCUACUGAUGAACGAAGAUAAUAAUUAAAAAAAGAGAAAAAGGAAUAGUUCCGCUUAAUGCAGAGGUGUGAUCCAGUUUGGUUCAAGCAAAAAAAAAAAAAAAUCGGUUCGAUUCAAGCAAAGAAAAAGAAACACUUGAGACGGUUUUGGGUAAAGCUUAUACUCGAUAGUGAUAGAUUCAGUUCAAGUAUAAAAAGAGAAAAUAUUUAGUUUAAAGAUGAAAACAUGUGGAGCAGUUGGGUUGGUUCAGUCCAAUGCAACAGGUUGAUUUGAUUCGCUUCAAGUAAAGAAAAAGAGAAAUCAGGUUCAUUCCACGUAAAGAAAGAGAAAAAUAUGUGAAAAACUUAAGUCUGUUCGGAAGAGUUUACAUUCAAUAAUUAUUGAUUCGAUUUAAGUAAAGAAUAAGGAAAAUUCGAUUUGAUUCAAGCAAAAAGGAAAAAAAAAAAUUAUGCGAAAAACUUGAACGGAUUCUGAAUGAAGCUCUGAAUGAAGCUCACACUUAAUAAUGAAAGGAGCGUUAUCAUGUGGCAAAACUAGAAGGAAUAGAUAGAUAUCACUAAUGUCGCUUAAAUUAUCUAUAGCUAAUAUUCAAAGUUUUCUACAUCAUUAAUGUUGCUUAAAUGGUAUUCAAAAUUUUCUAUAGCGUAUGUUCAAAAUUUAUUAGAACUAAGAUUAGGAUAACGCUAUUUGACAUAAGAUAACAUGAGAAAUAUUUAUAAUAUCUUUAGAAGUGUUUGUGAUAGUUUAAGAUUUUGAGGAGUAGCUAUGAAGUUGUCCCUAAAAAAAUCUGUAGUUCGAGCUUUCACAACCUCGUUUCAAAAUUCGGAAGAUCAAUCUCCUCGACUUUCGACUUUUAUGUAGUACAAUUAAUUUUUAGACGUUGUUCUUAAGGUAAGAUAUUUAUAAGCAACUUUAAAGGAGAAAAAGUUAUAUACUAACAGGGAUCGCAUUUAAUUCGGAAAUUUGAAUGUGAGUUUUUACUUUUUAACCGUCCAGAUUUCACACUUUGAUAAAUAAUACGACUUGAAUACUCAUAAAAGACGAUAGCAUGCCCUUACCCACUUUUCUUAUGCACAAGACAUAAACUAUAAUGUAUGUUGGUGCAAGCAAAAUUUAUUUUAUUUGAGAUUUGAAUUCAUUUUAUUAACCCUUCGACUCAGUUUGUUCUACUUACAGUACGGCGUUGGACCACAACAUACAUAUCGAUUAUUCAGAUACGACUUUAUUAAAUUGCAUUAAAGGCCUCUAAAGUUAAAAAUUUAGUUUGGGGACCAUUUGCUUUAAUUUCGCUCGGGCAUCAUCUGAAAUAGGCCAUGCCAAAUUAGGCCCCGCCCUCAACUACAGGCCACGCCCUCAUCUACAGGACAUUCCAAACUAGGUCCCCCAACAUUUCUUUUUCUGUUUUUUUUUAAAAGUUUAUUUUUGUUUUAAAUUUUUUGAUAAAUUAAGAUGUUUUAGUCAAAUAUAUUAAGAAUUUUAUCAAAUUUUUCGUGAUUUCAUCAAAUUUAAAAGUUUUGACCAUUUCUAACAAUUGAAGCUUGAAUAAUUUACAACUAAUUAGAAUUGCCCAAAUUAAACAAAUUUAGAAGAUAAAAAGAUGUUAAGAGUUGAGGAGUCGAUUUCAAAGGAGCCUAUGAUUGAGCAUGCCUUCGUACACUUCUAUCAAUUAUCUGCUCACAGCCAGAGCUAAACUAUGUUUAUCAGGGCAAUAAUCCGCCCUUUUUUUUAAUGAUCUUAAGAACAUGGUUAUAAGCUUUAAUUAAAAUUAUAAAAAAUAAAUAAAUAUUAUAAGCACAGUCCCACAAAAUUGUGGCAGCAUAAGAUUUAGUUGGUAUCAUAUUACACGAACGAGCCAUAUUUCAUGCGGAAUAUAUUAAACAAAAAUGAAAAUACAUGACGUGCAACAUAAUAUUUGACGCAUAUCGGGAGCAAUUCUAUGCACAUAUGCAUUUUGACCGUUCAUAUUGGAUGGUCCAAAUAGAACGAUCGGUCUUGGUUGAUAAGGUAUAUAUUUUAUCCAGUUACAUAUAUUAUUAGGAAAUAAAUCCAAUUUCAUUUGUUCCCUAUGUUUUUAAUAAAAUAGGAAUCAUUCACUAGGCUCAGCCUAAAUCUAAUAUUCAUAGUAGGGGUGGCAAUCCAGCUUUGUUGUUCGUAAACUAGCUCGUGUUCGGCUCGAAAUGAGCUCGAGAUCGAAUUGCUCGUUUAGUAAACAAGCCGAACACGAGCUGAAUUUUUCAGCUCGUUUAAUAAAUGAGCCGAACACGAACCGGCGUCAGCUCGCUAGUGUUCGACUCAAUAACAGCUCAAAUACAUAUAUUUUAUAUUUAUAUAAUCUAUUUAAUUUAUAUUUAUAUAUUUAUAUAUAUAAAUAAAUAAUUAUAUAACAUAUAUAUAUAUAUAUAUAUAUAUAUAUAUAUAUAUUAUUUAAUAUUUAGAAAAAAAAAAUAAAGUCGAGCUCAAUUAAAAAAAGAUGCAUUUAUAUAUAAAGUUUCAACCAUUAAAUCAAAAUCUAAUGGAUAAAAUUUUAUAAAUUUAUUGUUUAUAUAUAUUCAAUCUAAUCUAUUUAAUUUAUUGUUCAUUGGUCAGCUUGUGUUCGGCUCAUUUAUUAAUAAACCGAACACAAGCUGACUUUUUUGGCUUGAUACUUUAACAAGGCAACUCGUGUUCAGCUCGUUUAUUAAACGAGCCGAAUGCGAGCCAGCCCAGCUUACUCGUGUUCGGCUCCUUAACACCUCUAAUUCAUAGCUACUUCGAUCUUAGACAUCAUGAAGGUGCAGUCUGAAUAUCAAAAUAAGUUAUUCAAAAAGAAGAAUUUCUAGGAUUAUUAUAAGAAAGAAGUUUAAUUUUUUCUUCUAGAAAAAAAAAAAAUUGAUAUCCAUAGUUAGAUAGCAUAAUAUAUUUUAUUUACGAGAUAGUUUAUCUUAUCCAGAAAAUGAUUUCACAGAUUACAUUAGUAUACAAUUUGAAAAUUUUUAUCACACUGCUCAUCUACUAAUAUUAUGUAUAAAUUUUUCAAAUAAUAUUUAUAAAAUAUAUCAAAUAAAAUAUCCAUAUAUCCAAAUAGAGCCAAAGUUAGGACGGAAUCAAUCCAACUUAGAUUAAAGCAAAACUAAACCAAUUCAUUCAACGAAACCAAUCCGUACCUAACAAAACAUCUUUUAUUAGAGAACUGCCGAAGAGGAUGGACCUGGACCAUUGCUCGUGGGCCUACUACUGUGUAGGAGUAGAACCAUGUCGGUCCACCGAAGAGGAUGGACCUGGACCAUGUCUCGUGGGCCUGCUACUAUGUAGGCGGAGAACCAUGUCGGUCCACGAGAGCACCUAAUCUUUUAAAAUUUUUUUUAAUAGAAUAAAUUUUUUUAAAAAAAAUAUUAUUUAUUUAUGUAGAAUUAAUGACUAGUUAUUGUAAUAGAAUAAAAUUUUUUCAUUAUUGUAAUAUUUUUUUAAAAAAAAGAUUUUUUUUUCAUUAUUGUAAUUAAAAUUUUUUGAUAUGUCUCUGAUUUCUCCAUCUUAUUAUGGUACAAAUUAAGAGAACGCUACAGUACUAUUAUAUACAACCCUUAGUAAGGAUAAGAUAUUGAUGUGGCUAGGUCUAGUUAGGCUAAACGGCAAGCCCUUAUUUCCACCCUAGUGUGCGCGCAUGCAGAAUUGCAUUGCGUAAAGAGACACAUGAUCCAUUUUACAGUACUGAGCAACAAUAGUUCACAAUAAUUAAGGAGCACAUCCGAUUAUAGAUACUCAAACUUACAUACUCACUGGGCACACCGAAACAGAACAGAGACCACAAUGUCGAAGCAAGCUUAGCUAUUGGAUGCAGCAAACGUCGAUCCUUAUUUAUGUAAGUUAAGCAAAUAAGAUAGCAAACUGCAGUGCAUUGCUAAAUCAUUUACUUCCGACUUAUUCGUAGCUUCAAGUUUCAGAAACCAUCUUAAUAACUGCGACAUUAGCCCCUGAUUGUAGAGUGGGAUAGAGAGGAUCCAUGGCGAUUCCACAUAAUCCAGACGAAGACACACCUCUCGCCAUACGGACGUAUCCACGUUCACCCCAUGAGCUACCCCAUGAGUUCUUUACAAUCCAAUAUUGUGUUCCACUGCUAUCCUGCCCGUAACCUAUAAUGGUGAUGGCAUGAUUGAGACUAGUUCCACAAGGUCCACUAAACACACCGCCAUUGUAAUAUUGAAAGUUGUCUCCACUGGCAUCGAUAGCAGCAGCUAUUGGUUGAUUCCACACAGCGUACUUCAUGCUGCUUUCGUCGUUGCUUCGCACAUAUGAAUAACCAGUAAUGUAAGCUGAAUUGGGCCAGCUAUUGGCGGUGCAAUCGCCUUCGUAUGCUUGAUAAGGAUAGUCAGCUUCGGAGGCCACACCGUUGUUAGAUAUGAUGAAAUCGUAGGCAUUGUCCACAAAGCCGCCGUCGCACCCAUUGCUAACAGCACAAUCGAGAACUUCUUGCUCCGAUAGAGAUACUAAGUACCCUGUUACGAUCUUGUAGAUUCCUUCCACCGUCGCAAUUGCACUGAAUGCCCAGCAAGAACCUAUGCCGAAACAAAGAUAUGUGUUAGCAUAACUGCUGCACGCAAAGUUAUAUAUGAGAUUGCCAUGAUAUAAGGAAACAUUCAAACUAACAAAAUUAGCUGUUAUUUGCAAGUACAGAGCUGCUUUUAACUUGUUUUCAAUGGUUGUCAUGCAUAUGGAUGUCCUGUUCUGACUAACACGUACUUUGCUUACUUUGCUAGUAUGAUUAUUGUGAUUAUUAUAGUAACUUAAUUAAUAGUAAGAGACUCAGCAAAUAGACUUAACGUGUAGAUAGAUUGAAUCAAGUCGAAGCUUGUGAAUAUUGUGGUUGAGUCCUUAAAUGCGAUGGAUGUGUCUUUUUUAUCACCACAUACGUGUUUCUGGGAUAGUUGAUUAGCACUUAAAGAUGCAUUCGAUAGCUAAUCUGAUUUUUCAUUAACUAGAUUCAAUACUUCAUUUCUUUGUGCAUUGAUAAUAUGUGAUAAUCCAUGUUUAGACACUUUUAAUCAGCCGAAGUAAUGGAAUUAUUGAGUUUUAGUGGGCGGAAAUUUGGUCCUUUUGUCCAGAAAAGGCAGAAGGCAUUCGGUAGCAAGCAUAUUUGAUCUAAGCAACAUGUUAGCAGCAUCUUAUAAAGUUAACUAAGAAUAGAUAUUUUACUUUUUUCUAGCUAAAGAAAUGAAGUUGCAUUGACAAUUUAUAGUCUAAAUUAUUUCUUACCACAGGGGUUUUGGUCUUUGACCUCUGUUACGGCACCAUAGUCUCUCCAAUCAAUACUUUGACCCACCGCAGAGAUGUUUACGUCAUCAAAUGACACCACUGGCUCUCUCUUGAAAUUUAGUGGGAGAGAUACACCAGUAUAUUGAGUAACAAAUUCGUUAUUUGUCAUAUCGGUAAACUUAUUGAUACCGAGAGUGUAUGAAUUUCCGUUGCGAUUGUUAAAGGUUUCGAUAUGAUUCACGUUGUUCUUGAAUAUCUGAAACCGGCGCAUCUUCUCGUCGUUGUCCUUGUACACUCGGCCGUACUCUGCCAUCCAUUCUUCAAACCGCUUCAUCAUGGGAUCACUGGGUUCGUCACGAGAAGCUGCCGAUGGCGAAGCCCACAUCACACAGAGAAACAAGAAAAGAAACACGAGUUGAACUUUGGAAGCCAUGCUUAUGUAGCACUAAAUAUCUAGUAUAUGUAUGAGGAAAUUGGAGAUCGAGCUACAAGAGCUU